rnacentral:lncRNA from 1 species
GCCAGUAAUCUGUUGUUGUGCUAAUAUUAGCAAGGUGAUUAAAACAGGACAAAGGAAUCUUCACUAAAAUAGGAAUUAGUCUGAUUUGUGGGAGGACAUUUGGUUAAGAAGAAUAUCUUUUGCAACAAAGAGAAAGGCAAUUUUUUGCUUUGAUAAGCAUGAACUAUUCAUUCAACAUUUUUUAUUUUUUUUGGGAGGGGAUCACAGUUGUUUGAAUAUUAAAUCUUUUCGAGCGUUAAGGUUUGUUUAUACAACUUAUUUUGGUCGUGCUCCUACUAGGGUCAUAGCUAGAAAAUCUUUUAGAGAGGAAAUUUUUUUUGAAAGAUAUGAGGAAAAAAAAUUAUUAUCAAUAAUAAAUAAACAUAUCACAAUAUUAUGAAAAUUAACUUUAAUUAGCCCAAUAAUGUAUUUACUUCUUCAUACAUAACUUAUUUUUAGCCACUCAAAAACUAUCAUAAAAUCAUGUCGACGUUUUAAAUUUCAACAAAAUAACAAAAUAUAUAAUUACAAAAAUACUAAUAACAGCUAAAAAUAUGAUUAUUAUUUUAAGUUAGUACUAAAUAAACAAAAAUAAAGUAAUAAUGAGAAAAUUCAUGAUUAAACAAAUGUAUUAUGUAUAUUCAGAAUGAAGAAAAAUUCGCUAACUCACAAAAAGUAGUUUAUACAAUUUUAAAUAUAAUGGAGAAGUUCAAAAUAGUGAUCAUAGAUCAUACUAAAAAUAAAGGGAAAAAAAAGAGAAAAAAAGAAUUGUAAUAAAUUUAAAAAUAAAAAACAAUGGAUCCUUGGUUCAUUUGGUUUAAUCACAAAACAGUAUAUGACAAUAAUAAGGGCAAGAGUGUGUAGUAAAAUGAGUUGUGAGAGAGUGGGGAACGUUACUGAAGUCACUAUAGAAUUUAGGGGGAAAAAAUCGUGGGAUAUGGAACCUGGCCUAUCUCGCUCUACUCUGGAUCCCACACCUGUCAACUCAGGAGUUUUGCCAUUGCAGCAAAAAUUAGCACCUAAGCUUAUAUAUGCAUAUUUGUUUUGAGUGUCUCAGGCAUUUACUGCAAAUUUAGGAAUUUUGAGUAGGAUUCUUGAAGUGUUGCAGCUCCUCCUCCCUCUUGCAUAUUCACAAAAACUUAUAGUAGAAAUAAUCUAUAGAUACGAACUAGCUUGAAAACCCUCCAAAAUUCUUAACUAUAUUUCUAAUUAACCCCUAGUUCAAAGAUCCCAAAUGACAUACCAGGGCAUUCAACAAUUUCUUUGCUGAAUACAUACCUGUACACAGACGUAAUGAAAGAUAUAAAAUGAUUAGUGCAAUUUUUUCUUAUUUUUACAGGAGGAUAAUAUAAUUAAGUGUCAAGGAUGCACUUCAAAAUAAAUUAUUAAUGAAGGAUUACAUGCAAUCAUUCUGGCAUACUUAGGUAGACAUGGACACGGCACCUACAUAUGAUAUGGUUCAUAUUUAUGCAAACAGCUCAUCUGAAAUAAAAAUAUUAAAGAUCUUAGAAUAAUCCAAAAGGCUCCAAUUAAAUAGUUGUGUACAGAUGAAUAUGCCUGCUCUUGAUAAAGAAUUAAUUGAUUGGAUGUAUUUUAUAUGUCAAGAAGUUAGGAUUUUUCAGUUAGUUUGAAAGUCUUAUCAGAAUAAAGUUUUAGAUAAGUAAUUUAGUUUUAAAGUCUUAUCGGAAUAAAGUUUUAGAUAAUCAUUUUUUAAAUUCAAGUUUAGAUAAGUAUCCUACAAUUAGGGGAUAUCUAUUAGGAGUUUGUUUUCUACAUUCUAUUUAAGUGUAACUUGUAGAAUGAAUGAAAUAAGGAAAAUAGUAUUUUCAGACUCUAAAUAUUUACAUGGUAUCAGAGCAAUGAAUAUUUAGAGGUCUAUUUUUCAAUGGUGAAAACUGCCAUGACUGGAGCUACCAAGAACUCAUCGGCAUCUACCGCCGAAGAUGAUGAUAGUAACACCAGAACUCCUCAGCCGCUGUUGCAGCAGUCUGAAUAUAACCAGGAUAGCUCUUCUUUGCAACUAACUGUUCAUAAAUUGAAUGGAAAAAAUUACUUAGAGGGGGCACAGUGCGUUAAGUUGGUAAUUGAUGGAAAGGGAAAGCUGGGGCAUUUGACUGGUGAAGUAACAAAACCAGCUGCUGGAGAUCCUUCUCUUCCGACCUGGAGAUCAGCAAAUUCGAUGGUUAUUGCGUGGUUGAUAAACUCAAUGGAGCCUAGGAUUGGUAAGCCUUAUCUGUUCUUACCGACAGCCAAGGCGGUGUGGGAUGCAGUCCGAGAUACCUAUUCUGAUUUAGAAAAUUCAUCUCAGAUAUUUGAGUUGAAAACUCGACUGUGGCAGUCGAAGCAAGGUAAUCGGGAGGUCACAACUUACUAUAAUGAACUAUUGAUCAUUUGGCAGGAAUUAGAUCUUUGCUAUGAUGAGCAAUGGGACUGUUCGAGUGAUAGUGUAAGGUAUAAGAAGAUGUUGGAAAAUGACAGAGUAUAUGUGUUCUUGGCUGGGCUAAACCGUGAUUUAGACGAAGUGAGAGGCAGAAUUCUGAGCAGGAAACCCCUUCCAUCUAUUCGAGAAGUGUUUUCUGAGGUAAGAAGAGAAGAAGCACGACAGAAUGUCAUGCUUAAUGAUGUUAAAGCCACCAGUGAAGUAGAGAGUUCAGAGAGUUCUGCUCUUAUUUCAAAGGCACCUGAACCUGAUGGAGAUCGAAGGAAUUCAAAGAAACCUUAGUGCGACUUCUGUAAAAGGGCUUGGCAUACAAGAGAAACUUGCUGGAAGCUACAUGGCAAGCCUCCUCGUGUGAAGAAGAAACAAGGAGGUGGUGGACGAGCCUUCCAAGCUACUUCAGAUCAAGAGCAAUCAGGUUCUUCAGAGUCAUCACCUUUCACCAAGGAUCAAUUAGAGCACUUGUAUAAAUUGUUUCAAUCCUCAUCCUUCAAUUCAUCUACUCCCUCUUGUUCAUUAGCUCAAAAAGGUAAUUAUCUUUCUGCUGCCCUUGUUUGUCAUCAUUCGAAUCCUUGUUCUUGGAUUAUCGAUUCAGGAGCAACCGAUCACAUGACAGGCUCUCCAUCUUUGUUUUCUGACUAUAAGCCAUGUGCAGGAAAUCAAAAAAUUAAGAUCGCUGACGGAUCCCUUUCGGCUAUUGCUGGAAAAGGGUCUAUCAUUCUUUCUUCCACUCUCACUCUUCAUAAUGUUCUGCAUGUUCCUAACCUAUCUUGCAAUCUUUUGUCUAUUAGCAAAUUAACUCUUGACCUGAACUGUUGUGCUAAUUUCUUCCAAAAUCAUUGUGAAUUUCAGGAUUUGACCUCGGGAAGAUGAUUGGCAGUGCUAGACAAAGUGGGGGGCUGUAUUUCUUUGAAGAAGUACCAAGUUUGAGACGACAACCUCCACGUACUUGUUUCAAUUCUGUUUCUGCUGUUAAUAAUGACAACAAAGUUUUAUUGUGGCACUUUAGGUUAGGCCAUCCUAGUUUUCAGUAUUUGCAAUAUUUAUUUCCCAACUUGUUUGCUAAUAAAAGUUCUUCUUCCUUUAAAUGUGAAAUUUGUGAAUUAGCAAAACAUCAUCGUGCAUCAUUUCCUUUCCAACCCUACAAAGCCUCAAAACCUUUUUCUGUGAUUCAUAGUGAUGUUUGGGGACCUAAUAGAAUUUCUACAUUAACAGGAAAAAGAUGGUUUAUUACCUUCAUUGAUGAUCAUACCCGUAUUUCUUGGGUAUAUUUAAUGAAGGAAAAAUCAGAUGUGGGAAUGAUUUUUAAAACUUUUAACAACAUGGUACAAACUCAGUUUCAAACUAAAAUUCAAGUUUUCCGAACUGACAAUGGGAAAGAAUACUUUAACAAGUUUUUGGGAGAUUAUUUUGUGGAAAAUGGCAUAUUUAAUCAAAGUUCAUGUACGGAUACCCCCCAACAAAAUGGAAUUGCUGAACACAAAAAUAAGCAUCUCCUUGAAGUUGCUAGAUCUUUACUUUUUACAACUCAAGUUCCUAUGUAUUUAUGGGGGGAAGCUGUACUCACCGCUGCCUAUUUGAUAAAUCUAAUGCCUUCAAAAGUUCUACAAUUUCAAACUCCAUCUGAUUUCUUUAAUCAAUGUUUCUCUACCUCAAGAAUUUCAAUCACACUUUCGCCCAAAAUAUUCGGUUGUGUUGCUUUUGUCCAUAUUCACAACCAGAAUCGGGGCAAACUUGCUCCAAAGGCUAGAAAAUGCAUUUUUGUUGGAUAUUCUCCAAUACAAAAGGGUUAUAAAUGUUUUGAUCCUAUUUUUAAAAAAAUGAUUGUUACCAUGGAUGUCACAUUUUUUGAAAAACGAAGAUAUUAUAUAGAUAAUCAUCUUCAAGGGGAGAAUAGGAGUGAAGAUUCUAUCUUUAACACUAUUCACCUAGAAACCCCUUCUAUUUCUUCUGUGCUAGACUCACUCCGUCCAGAAAAAAGUCUCGAGGCUGUCAUACCUGAACUUAAUACUGUCGUACAUGUUCCAAACACUGCUAUACCUAGUUCUACCAUUCUUGAUCCCAUAUUAGAACCUAAUGCACCCGAACCACAAGAAAACCUCACUAAAUCUGAUAAUGUAAAUGCUAAUCAACCUGGACAGCCCUCUAAUGUGCCAUUAGAACCAGAUUUGUGUGCAAGACAGGGUAAUAAACAAUCUGAGUUUAUUGUUUACUCAAGAAAGGGUACUAAUCAAAGAAGAGAGAACCCUACUUUGCAGCAAGGCCAUGAUUCCAAUCCAAGGUCAAAUCAGAUUUCUUCUUCCUCAGGUAAUUCUAAUUCUAAUCCUUCUUGUGAGUUAAAUUCAAAUUCUCAGGUUCUUAGUGAUUUGGACAUACCUAUUGCUCUUAGGAAAGGUACUAGAAGUUGUGCCACAUACCCAUUGUCUAACUUUGUUUCGUAUCACAACUUAUCACCUCCUUUCUAUGCAUUUACCUCACAACUUUCUAGUGUAGAAAUUCCAAAGAAUGUACAGGAUGCUCUAAGUGUACCUGAAUGGAAGGCAGCUGUCCUUGAAGAGAUGAAUGCUCUUGAGAAGAAUCAGACUUGGAAGGUGGUCAAUUUGCCUAAAGGGAAGUCAACAGUUGGCUGCAAGUGGGUAUUUACUGUCAAAUACAAUCCAGAUGGUUCACUUGAGAGAUACAAGGCUCGCCUAGUGGCAAAGAGGUUUACUCAAACCUAUAGGAUUGACUAUUCAGAGACAUUUGCACUAGUAGCAAAGUUAAACACUGUACGAGUUCUCUUGUCUAUUGCUACAAACCUAUAUUGGUCAUUACAACAAUUGGAUGUGAAGAAUGCAUUUCUCAACGGGGAUUUAAAAGAGGAAGUAUACAUGGAUCCUCCUCCUGGUUUCUCUGAAAAAUUUAGGUCAAAUGUGUGCAAGUUGCAAAAGUCCUUAUAUGGUCUCAAACAAUCGCCUAGGGCUUGGUUUGAGAAAUUUACUACAGCUGUGAAUAGACAAGGUUACAGACAAAGUCAGGCUGAUCACACAAUGUUCACUAGAGUUUCAGCUAAAGGUAAAAUCAUUGUGCUUAUAGUGUAUGUGGAUGACAUUAUUCUUACUGGAGAUGAUUUAGUUGAAAUGGACAGAUUGAAGCAAAGCCUAGCCACUGAUUUUGAAAUCAAGGACUUAGGUGCCUUGAAAUACUUUCUUGGAAUGGAAGUUGCUCGUUCCAAGAAAGGUAUAGUUGUCUCAUAAAGGAAAUACAUCCUUGAUUUAUUGAAGGAAACUGGAAUGAGUGGCUGCAAACCAAUUGAUACACCUGUGGAGUACAAUCUAAAACUAGGUGAAGGAGAAAAAGCCUUAGUGGAUGCACGACGAUAUCAGAAUUUGGUGGGAAAACUUAUUUACUUGUCUCAUACUAGACCAGACAUCGCUUUUGCAGUCAGUAUAGUAAGUCGCUUCAUGCAUCAUCCUCGGGAAGAACAUCUUGAAGCUGUUUACAGAAUUCUCAUAUAUCUAAAAAGUACUCCAGGAAAGGGACUUUUGUUUAGAAAAACAGAGAAUAGAGGUAUUGAGGUAUACACUGAUGCUGAUUGGGCAGGUUCAGUUACAGACAGGAAGUCUACUACUGGCUAUUGCACUUUUGUAUGGGGUAAUUUAGUGACUUGGAGGAGUAAAAAACAAAAUGUCGUUGCACGAAGUACUGCUGAAGCUGAAUUUAGAGCUAUGACACAUGGGAUUUGUGAAGUAUUGUGGCUGAAACAAGUUUUAGAGGAUUUGAGAAGACCUAUAGUUCUACCUAUGAGGUUAUACUGCGACAACAAAGCAGCAAUCAGCAUUGCACAUAACCCAGUGCAACAUGAUAGGACCAAGCAUGUUGAAAUUGACCGCCACUUCAUCAAGGAGAAACUUGAGAAUAAGAUUAUCUGCCUAUUGUUUGUUCCAACAAAACAACAAACAGCAGAUAUCCUAACCAAGGGACUCCUCAAAACUAACUUUGGACAUCUUGUCAGCAAGUUGGGAAUGAUUGACAUCUACGCACCAACUUGAGGGGGAGUGUCAAGAAGUUAGGAUUUUUCAGUUAGUUUGAAAGUCUUAUCAGAAUAAAGUUUUAGAUAAGUAAUUUAGUUUUAAAGUCUUAUCGGAAUAAAGUUUUAGAUAAUCAUUUUUUAAAUUCAAGUUUAGAUAAGUAUCCUACAAUUAGGGAAUAUCCAUUAGGAGUUUGUUUUCUACAUUCUAUUUAAGUGUAACUUGUAGAAUGAAUGAAAUAAGGAAAAUAGUAUUUUCAGACUCUAAAUAUUUACAUUAUAUAUAUAGCAUUUUUGUUUUACAUUUUCAACAGACAAAAGCAACCAAAAAGCAAAAGGUCAUAUGCUUUGAAAAGGACAAAGAAACAACACCGAGGUACAUAUUUAUACAAUCAGUCCAGAGUAAACAGUUCAUAUGGCAACAAAAAAUUGUAAGGCUCAAGGUACACUUUUCCACUCUAUUUCUAUCUGCCAAUCCUCUCAGCAAUCUUCAGCCAUAGCUCUUAUCUCUCUAAAAGCCACAUAAAGCAACUGAAGUAAAUGUGUUUCUACAUCCAAAACCAAACCUUGACUCUUCUCACUCUGAAGUUAUAAUAACCUCUUUCUACCCUCCAACAUCUACAAAACUGCCAUGUCCAGAGUGUCCACCUAUGUUUCAUAAUUAUAAAUCCUUGUAACAGCAGUGCAUAUACCAGAAAUAGACUCUAUUAAGAACCUAGACCGUAGAGCAUAUGUAGAUAUGAUAUCUUACGACACGAAUAUGCCAAUACACUAACUACAUAAAAUAGGUAUAUUACAAAUACAGCACACAUUAGAUUAAGCAAAAUCAUUAUAUAUGUAAUAUUUUUUCAUAUUACAUUUUCACUAUAUUUUUACGUAUCCUCCAAUUUCAACUUGAUAUAGUUCAAUCAGAAAAGCUCUCCUAAUAAUUGUUCACUGGCUAGACACUAAAAUUACAAGUUAAUCUACGUUUACACUUGAACAAGAUCCACAAUAAAUUAUAUGCCUGCUUGGAUUUAUCAGAAACUUUUAGAACCUAAAACAUAUAUUUAUAAGAUUAAGAAACAUUUAUGAAGUAUCAGAUGCAUAUUGGCAAAUAUUGCAAAAAAAUAUUUGUAUCUGACAUAAACAUGGCACCCUUGUAGAAGAAUCUGAGUAAAAAAUAGCACAUUUAACCUUCAAAAUGGAACUAGAUGCACCAGCAAUAAAGUAAAAUGGAAUGAUUGAAAAGCUCAACUUAAAAAGAAGAUGUAAAGGCAUAAAUUCGUUUUACAAUAUCUUUUUAGUUAGAAAAUGCAUAACUUACAAAAGUUUGGGUGAUGAUGCCCGGUCAUACCAAGUGGGAAGACCAGUUACAGGGUCCUGCAUUUAGUAAAGAGGUUUCAAGUGUCCAUGAGGUCCUUACAAUAUCAAAACCCUAUUCAGCUCAACUGGUUCGAUAUAAAUAAGAUGCAUAUUAAAAAAAAUGCAUCAAAUAAUUUUCACAUCAAAAGAACUAACCGUAAAAGGGCAAGGACUUAGAUUCAGUUCCUCACUUCUCCAUGAUCCCCAAUUUUCAGUAAAAAGUGGCCACAUCCAGUGAAUCACAUCUCCCCAACAAACCUACUUCCAUAAACUGACAAGAAGUUAAUACACAAGUAGAAUGACUCAAUCCUAUGUACAUAUACAAGGAAAAAAAAUACAUUUAAACUCAUGUUACAGGGCAAGAAUUCUUCAAAAAUUUAUAAUGGCGCAUCAUAUUAUUCCUAGAAAACUAAUACAGGACCAUCAUUCAUUAGAUUGCACUAAAAAAAUCAUGAAAUACCUUGUUGAUGGGAGCUUCUUCGAGAUAUUUAUACAAAAGCGGAUGUUCUUUAAUGAAGUGGUGCUCAAAUGAUGCAGGUGCACUGCCCAUUCAGUUGGAAAGUUAAUUGUAACUCAAUCCCCAAAAUGCAAAUGGCAACUACUGCCUAUCCAAUGCCUUUACAAGGAAAUAUAAAUGAAAUGAUACCAGAAUUCGGUGGAUUAUGAGGAAGAAUUUAGCAACACCGCAAGAGUUAAAUAAUUCUUCAAAGUUAUUACGAGUAAUACAGGAGAAUAAAACUUGUAAGUUUUGAUGUUUCCGCAUGACAUUUUCAUUCUCUUGGUUUUCCUUAAGGAAUCACCAAAAGACAAAAGGGGAAAAAUAAAUCUCACAUUACCUGUAGGGAACAACAUAAGGAGCAGCAACUAUGCAACGGACACGAAAGAGUUCUGCAAGGCUCCAUGCCCUUCCUGGAUCAUCAUGCAACUCAGCCAUUUUAGGACAUUGGAUCAUUGCUUUGCAUCUACAAUAUGAAUUUCAUUGGAUCCUAGAAAAUGCAUCUACCUAAUAUGGAUUGUUAUGAAACUACAGGCUAUUCUUUCAGCUUUUCGUCAAUAAAACCAAAUUAUCAUAAUCUCCGAGUUAUUUCCACACCUCUAUGUGGAACUUAAUUGUCUACCACAAUUAAAAUUUAACCUUAAGCGACACAUAAUUGCGUACUUUUGAAAUAUUUAUAAUACUAAGUGCGAGUGUAUCCUUUAACACCUCUGACACCUUUGGAAAAUUUUUCAUCUUCGAAGUCAUUACGACCUUUCAUUGAAAUGAAACUUCUAUAAAUCAUCUAUUCUUCUACCAAGAGCACAAUGUAAACCUUGACCACGUUAAAAGCAUAAUGAGAAAGUAUACAUUGAGAUAUAUCUUCCAUAUGUAAUACCAAUGUGAAGAAAUUUAUCACAAUAAAAUCGCCCUCCAAGCUUGGACCAUCUCCAAAGAUCUUUACGACUGCAGAAUAGCAUUCUUUUCUAUGUUCUCUUGUGCUUUCCCUUUUCUUUUGCUCAAAUGUUAACUCCAACGAGCCUGAUAAUAUGAAAGAAGUUAUAAGGACUUUGAAAAAGUAUAAAGAUCAUAGUUUUGCCCAAUGAUACAUGUGUGUGUGUGUGUGUGUAUAAGAGAUUCAAAGUACUAACCAAACCUGAUUCUGUUCUAUUGUGAUUAUCAGAAGCACAGAGCACAGGCGAUGAUAAAAUCGGAUAAAAAGUAACAUACUUUGCAGCCAAGCGAAAACUCUAGCUCUGAUACAGGAAAACAAAAUUUAUGAAAAAAUCUUCAAUGCUUACACAACAUAUAAAUCAUCCGAUGGGCAUCUUAUCAAUCAUCCGAUGAUGGGAUUAGAAAAUUAGUAAAUAACAAAUUGAUGUCAUACAAGGGUAACGAAUGAUUGGUAACACAUCAAUUAGGAUACAAACUAAGUAUACCAACUGAGUAAGCUAGCAUUAAUGAAAAAAAUAAAAAUAAAAUAAAAAAUAUAUAUAUAUAUUGCUAAACAUCCAAUAAUAAUGAGUUUAUUGAAAAGAAUUAAUGUGCUUUCUGGAAAAGCAUUUUAUUAACUACUUCCAAAAACAAAUCCACUUCUCUAAAUGCUUAAUUCCUCUCCUAAAUCAAUCAAUCAAUCAAUCAACUGCUUAAGUCAUUCUGAUUAAAGCUUAAAGGAGCGUAGAGAGAAGUUAACCUCGUGAACCGAAUGAGUUAUUAGAAACACAUCGUAUUGCCUUUGAUCAGAAGCAAAAGCUGCAGCGAUGGCCAGCACUUGACAAUUAAUUUCAAAUUAAAGCUAACAAAAUAAAAAAUUCAAACAUAAAAUUUAAAUAAAAUAAAUCAAAUAAUUUUAUAAAAAUAAGAAAAUCAAGAGAUUCAAUUACAGCGAUAGGGUAAACAUCACCCUUGGUGCCGAAGGCCAUGAAUGCAACUAUCGGGAGGGAAUUGCAGCAUAUACACCUUCAUACUUCAAAAAUUAUCUCAAUACCCUAAAAUCUGAUUUUGUCAAAAUUUUCAUCAAUACCCUUUAAAAGUUGAUAGGAAAUUACUAAGCUAUCCUCGUUUUAAAACACUUUAACUCAACCGACAACACCUCUCCCUCCCUCUACUCAAACAAACAAACACUCAUAUCUGCUGCAAUUCCCUCCAUUACCUUUACUCAAACAAACAAGCACUCAUCCUCCAUUCUCAUACAUGCUAAAUCGAAUAGCAACCAGCAUCACCUUUGCAAUUCGCUCACCGACAUCACCUCUACUCAAACAAACAUUCAUUCUCCAUACAUGCUAAAUCGAACUUCAACACGUGCAAGCUGAGCCUGAGAAGGGGAAGCUGCCACAACUGAGAAAGAGAAGCCUAGUUCGUCGCUACAUAAUCACCGGCGAGAGCUGAUCCUUUACUGCAAAAUCGUCAUAAUGUAACUAGUUGAGGCUAAUAAUUCCCUGUAAUUAGUUUUCUUGUUGAUAUUCAGGGAAAAAAACAAAAAGUUAGGGUUUUAUAUUAAAAAAAUUGAUUAAUUAGUUGCGGGUCUCUCAUAACAUGUUCAAAAAUAAAUUUCUAGCUGUUUUACUGCAUGCAAAUUGUGAAAAAUUAAUGGAUUGUGCCGAUUAUACAAUUUAUGAACAUAGGAUUUGGUCGUGUAAGGUCAUGUAACAUAGGAUUCAAGGUCGUGUAAUAUACUCGUGUAAUACACGACCCUCAAUCGUAUAUGACAUGACUUUGUGUAUUAUUACGCGAUCUUGAAUCAUGUAUUACGAGUCUUUCACGACCUUUAGUUGUAUAUUACACGACCUUCAUGCACUACACGACUUUAUGUAUUACAUGACUUCAUUUAUUACACGAUUACACAACAUUCAUGUAUUACACGACUUUUUCCAAUAAUCAUUAGAUUAAUUUAGUUCUUUAAAGACUUAAUUGGUGCUAAUAAUUUAUAUUUGCUGCUAUGCAAAAAAUGUCAACUCAAAUUAUAUAAAAAAAAGAAGUGAAAUUAAAUUGGAAUGUAAAAAAAUUAAGUUAUUUCAUAAUGCAACAAAUUUCAGUCGAAAAUUUAAAGUCUUUCAUAAUGCAGCAAAUUACAGUUUCCAAGCAUAACAUGUCCAAUCCUAUAAUUUUGUAAAUCCAAUUAUUUAAGUUUGGUUACGCAUAGGGCCAUGCUCUUGCUCUGAAAGUGGAAUUGCUGCAGUGCAUGUUAGUCGAUUAUGCCCCCGCAAUCCGCACCUACCACACUUACGGUGCACGAUGUCUUCCCCUUGAGAAGCUAUUCUAAUAGUUCGCGGCUGUCCUACCUCUCGCUUUUUCACUAGCAGUGAUAGCACAUAUGCACGCACCUCUUCUGAAACAUCCCAUUCCUCUAGUGGACCCACAGGAUAAAUGCUCUCUGCAUAUGUUGUAACCCAUGCAUUGACAGAAUAAUAAUGAGAACAUAAAUCAUAAACAGAAUAGUUACGCAUAUGCUUACAUACAGCUACCACAUGUUCACAAGGAAGUUGGUCAAUUUGAAACUCAUUACAACUGCAAAUCUUUUGUAGCACGUCAACAUGGCCAUCAAGGUCGCCAUCCUUAACUAUAAACUCAUGGAAAUUAAUCUGUAUUACUGGAUAUGUGUGUGAUUUUUCCAAUUUCCCUUUCAAUUGCUUCUCAACCCAAGUAGUCAUUGGAGUACAUGCAUCCAUUGUCAAUUCUCGCCUUUUUGCAAACCAUUCCUGCAAUUUGUCAAUGAUAGAAUCCAUUAACUUAUGAAUAGGCAAGCUUCGUGCUUCUUUUAAGACAGAAUUCAUACUUUCUGCGAUGUUAGUCGUCAUAAUCCCGUAACGCCUCCCCUCGAAGAAAGAACGAGCCCACUUCUCAUAUCCGGCAUCAGUCAGGUACUGGUGAACAUUUAAACUAACACUGCGAAUGGCAUUCAUAUAUUGAGUAAAUUUAAUGGGCCGAUAUUGCAGCCAAUUCAAAUAAAGCACCCACAUUGACUUCUUUAAAAUGAACAUUUACAUUUCGUUUUAGAUGAUGAGUACAUAUGCCAUACCCUGCACCAGGAAAUAUGUUAUCAACUGCUUUUUUAAUACUUCCAUGGUGGUCAGAAAUAAAUACUAAAUUAGGAACAUUACCAAUGGACUCUCUUAACUUCGUAAAAAACCAUUCCCAUGAAGCGUCAUUCUCACUAUCACCUACACCAAAUGCAACAGGGUAAAGUUGAUUAUUGCCAUCAAGAGAUGUUGCAACGAAUGAUGUUCUUUUAUACCUGCCCUUCAUAAAUGUACCAUCAACUGCAAUAACAGGCCUAAUACAUGAAGUGAAUCCUCUCAAAGAACUUCCAAUGGCCAUGAAACAGUACUUGAAGUUGUUCGCACUGUCGUUUUCUUCUUUUUCAAUGAAUGUUCGACUUCCAAGAUUUUUUUUUUCAACCAUUGCCAUGUACGAGGGUAAUAAAUGGUAUGAAUAUGCCGGAGUGCCCCUAACCAUCUCCAUUGCAAACUCCCUUGCUUUCCACGCCUUGUGAUAACUUAUUUCAUAACCAAACUCCUUUUGAAAAUCUUGCCUAAUAUCAGUUGGCUUAUAAGAAGAUGAAGCGCCAUCAAACUUGUACCGAAAAUUUUGCCCAACUAGCUUGGAUGAAGCUUGACGGUGGUCUUUUUCCUAUGAAUCAAGGGAGCAAGUAUGAACAUUGUAAUACUUUCUAAUUUUAAACAUGUUGCAACCUUUAAGCUUACUUGCACAAAGGCGCCAUUUGCAGUUGUCAUCCACACAAACAACAACAAGUAAGUCCUUGUCUAACUUUGGGGUUUUAAAUUGGAACCUUUUUUUCACAGCUAGUGCUUUAAGUUUUUCUUGCAAUGCCUCCUUUGACUCAAACACCUCUUUCACUAUCGACACAUCAGUAUCACCACUAACUUCUGUUGAUAAUAAAUUACUGCUACUAGCAAGUAAAUUUAUUCUGGGCACAUGUGCAUUGUUUGAGGUUCUUGAACUUAUAGUAGCUGGAGUAUUAUCUCCUAAUGCUGAAUCAACAGCUAAUGUUGGCUCAUCCAAACAAUCAACUCCAGUCACAAAUUCAUUAACUACUUCUUGUUCAUCAGUCGGUUGCGUAGUAGGAAAACACUCAAUUGGUGAUUCAUCUGCAAAGUAAAAUUGUUCGAACUGAGAAUAUGAAAUGAUGGAGUCACGUAGCUGGAGCAAGCAUGACUCUCUUCCCAUGAAGGACGAGGUGAAGGUUGUCUAUCCACCGGAACUGCCGAAAUUGAUCUACGUUCAAAAGUAAUGCAGAGCGGGUUUCUAAACUCCAUUCCACUAGCUACUUCCUCUAAGAAAAAUUUCACAUCAUCAUUGGUUUAAUUGUAACGGGUGGCAUAGGAUCAGAUGUCUUAAGCUUGAACUUCUUGUGAUUUCGAAUUUCGAAGUAUUUAUAUCAAUAACUUGAGCUAUCUUCUCAACCAAUUCGGCAUAUGUUGUCGAUCAUGGUAUCAUUAUCCCUUUAGCCUUGGAACCUUUGAACUUAUACUCAUCAUUUUGCUCAAUCCAUUCACCAUUGAAGAGAAUAGGCACACGUACCAAAACCAUAUCUGAUGAUACAAUAAAAAUAAUAAUAUCAAAUUUCAUAUACAAGUAACUACACAACCUACACGACUUACACGACUACAUUACUUACAUGACUUACACAACCUACAUGACUAUAUUACUUACAUGACCUACACGACUUACACAAUUAUAUUACUUACACGACCUACAUGACAACUAUAUGACGUACACGGUAUCAAAAGGAAUGCACGACGCGAAACAUUUUUGCCAUAAAUAAGUUAUAUUGCUGGAAAAAAAAAUAAAAUAACCUACAUUGCAUAUAUUUCUACAUAUAAGAAAAAAUUGUGAAAAUAAAACAUUAUAAUGUGAGGAAAAUUUCUAAAUUUUCCUCAAAAUUAAAAAACUUAAAACCCAACAACAUUAACAUACCUUAUUGGGUUGUUUAAUAAGCAAUGCACCUCAUAUCAAUUAAAGAAAGAGUGGGUGUUAAAGAAAUGAAUACAUAAUUGUAUUUGUGUAAGAAGUUAUGAGAGAUUUUGAGAGAAUUUCAGCAGCAAAAAUAGAUUUGGGUGAAAGAAAUAUGAAGAAAAUGAAGUUGAGUGAAUUUGAUGCAUUCAUUAAGGGCAUUUCAGACUUUACUCACAUUUGUUAGGGUAUCCAUAAAACAAAAAAGAGAGGAGGUAUUUAAAUGAUUUUGAAACUAUUAAAGGGUAUUUAAUUAAAAACCCCAGCUAUCGGUUUCUUUCUCUCUGCCUGCAUGUGUGAUGAAUUUUUCUCACAACGCAAAGUGCAUUAACUAAUUUGAAUUAUAUUUUAUAUUUAUUUGUCUUGGUUGAAAUGACAACGUUGCCCCUGUUUACAAAUUCUAAAAUCUUGUCGGAUUUUCGGGCGAAAAAUUAUCGAAAAUCUUGUGAAUAGGGCUGAGAUUAAAAAUAUGAAAAAUGCUUUUUUUUAAAAUUAAAUAAAGUGCUAAUAUCGUUUGACCACCUCAGUAAUUGUAAAAUAUUAAAUAAUUAUUAUAAACACACACACACACACACACACACACACACACACACAUAUAUAUAUAUAACUAGCUUUAAGUCUUGUUGCAAGAUCGUAACCUGGUUUCAUAUUGUUGUUGAGGCGAUCAUUCAUGUUAGUUGCAUUUGCAAUAUUUGCCAUGAUCAGGGAAGUGAGAGCCAAAAUGAAAACAUAUGUUUUAGAGCCAUUGCUAUUUCUGUUCUUUUAUGUUGUGUUUAUGUUUACGUGGGACAUUAUAUUUUUUGUUACUAUUUAUAAAUUAAGUGAGGCAGAUGAGAAGAGUGAUUAAAAACAUUUAUAAAUUAUUGCUUAAUUUAUGAUCAAGAAGGUUUCAAUUAGAGAAGAUAGUUGGUCUUUUGAUGAACUAUUACAUAUUGAUUGUGUAAUAAUAGUCAAAUUAAUUAUGAGAACAUAAAAAAUCAAAUUUGAAAGAAAAUUUCUCUAUUUAUUAGAUAAUAGAGAAUAUACAAAGAUGAGAAAUAGUGAUGUCAUAUCACCUCUUGUAGUCCCAACUUUAUAAAAAUAUAUAGAUAGAUUGUCUAACAUUUUACUGUUAUUAUAUUCUUACAAAAUUUUUCAAUAUAUUAUAUUUUUAGUAGCAUUAGUUGAUCUAAAAUACCCAUUUACUUCCUUUAAUAAAAGUUUUUGUCAAUAACAAAAGAGUAAUAUAGAAAACAAUACAAUACUAAACAUUUUAGAUACAGUCUAGAUAAAAAUAAUAUAUAAAAGCAUCUGGAUUUAGUAUUUGACACUCUAUUUGUGUAAUAAUUAGUCAACUAAUGAUACUAAUGAAAAUGUAAUCAAAUGAAACACCUUGUAAAGAUAUAAUAGGAAAAUUAAAGGCUUCAACACUUCUUAUAGUUAUUUCAUAUUUUCCAAUUCGUGAAAUAGUCAAAAGAUAAUAAAUUAAAAAUAAAAAGUUUUUAUUUGCUCGUAUGUGUUAAAUAAUUUAAAGAUUAUUUGUAAUAUUAGAGGAUUAGAUGGAAGGGAGAUUAAAAGAAUUAUCACCACUUUAACUUAAGAGUCUAUGUUAGUAUUUGUUUUUUUUGUCUAAAAUCUGAAUAUGUAUAAAUUUUGAUUGAAAUCUGAAUGAGUUUAACUGCAAAUUUCUGAAUAAAAUAUAUUGUUUUUUUUUCUAAUAUUUGAAUAUAUAUGUUAUCUUGUUUAUUUUUAUAAGUAAAAAAAAAUUUAAACAUAAUUAUUUGACAUUUAUGUCCUCAUAAGUCAAGACGAAUGAAUGAAUUAGGUUUUAUAAUUUAAAAAAUAAGUGUAUUUAAUUAUAGAUAUUUUUGGGGUGUAGUAUUUAGUUCCAAUCCAGAUUUUUUUCUUAUUUGGACAGAAGUUAUAAAAGUUUAUUUUUUCUAUUUAGAUGUAAAUAUUUGAAAAUUUAAUCAGAUAUAAGUUGCAGAGAAUAAAUAAAUAAAAUUAAAAAAGUAUAAAAUUAAUAAAAUUUUAGACUCUAAAAAUUGACAAGCAAGUUCUCAGUUAAAAUAUCAUAAUAAAUUUUGUGUCACUACUUUAAUUAUUGUUGUCUUUAAUUAUUGUUGUUGUUGUUAUUAUUAGUGUCACCUUCACUUUAAAGUUAAAAUGACAUAAUGGUACUUGCAUAAAAACACAACAAUGAAGUAAUAAAUAAUGCAUAAAAAUACUACAAUGAAGUAAUAAAUAAAAGUGUGAUGCACGUACAAAUUAUAUAGAAAAAUAAAUUAAAACGAAAAAUGCAAAUCAAAACUAGCUUUUGUGUGUGUGUGUGUGUAUAUACACACCUUGAUAUGAUGAUAUCAAAUGCUUUAAGUAAUUUUUCAGGAAAAAAAAAAAAAAAAACAUUAAGUGUGUGUUGCACAAAAUUAAGAGAAUUAGGACGUAAAAAUUCUCAUUUGCCCAACUUAAAAAAUAAAUUAUGAUUAAUUUUUCUUCGUAUGCUUCUAGAUCGUAGAAGAAUUUAAAGAGGGGGGAUAACAUCCUGGACAAUCUUCUUUUGAAAUAUUUCUUAAUAAAACAUUUUUUUUACAUUAUGACAUUAUUAUUUUUUAAAUAAGGACUUAAUUAAUAGGCAAUGGUGCUCACAUUACAGCGAGAAAGGGUCCUCGUUUGAAAUCUUUAACUAAUUCAUUAUAUUAAUUGAAUUUACGAGAUACGUUUUAUAUUCUUAAAUUUGUGCUUCAACUGUUAGCCUGCCUCCUCUGAAUUAUUAUUUCCAGUUGUGCCUUUUUUUGAUGUUGUGUUAGUAGUGUGUGUUGUUUUCAAUUGUCCUUUGGAUGUUGUUGUCGCUGUUUUUUUUAUUGUCUUUUUGUAGUUGUUGGUGUAGUGUGAUGGCCGUGCACUACAAGAAAACAGGCAAUAGAUGACAGGAAAGAACCGUCAUAAAAGGGGGUGCAUGACAGACACUUCAUAUGUCAUCUAUGUCACUGUCAUUAAUGUAUGACAGAUUAUUUACCGUCAUAUAUUAACGAUGGUAUUUUAUAAUCAUAUAUCCGUCACGUAAUAUUUUAAUGUGAAAAAAUAAUUAACUUAAAAUUUGAAUUAAUUUAAAAUUUCGCGCCAAAUGUUUGAAUUUUGGCGGGAAAUUUUAUUGUAAUUGGUAAAUUUUUUAUUCAGUUUUGGCGGGAAAUUAUGUUAUAAUUUGUAAAUUUAUUAUUCAAUUUUUGGCGGGAAAUUGUUUAUGACAGACCAUAUGAUGGGAAUUUCCCGUCAUAAAGUUAAUUUAAAAAAAAAACGAUUACAAUUAAUUUUUGUAUUCGUGUUUACAAAUGUAAUUAAUUAAUAAAAAUGAGUAUCAUAAAAAAAUAAAAAUAAAAAUAAAAAUAAUUAAUAUUAAUUAACAAUUAAUAUUAGUUAACAUACACUCAUUCCAACAAGUUAAUUUCAAAAUAAAUACAUUUAUUAUCUAAUAUUGUCAUCACUACCAAUACAUAUAUAAGCAACAUCCGAAAUUUAAAAAGAAAAAAUUCAUCCAGUUAAACUACAAGAACAAAUUUCCAAAUUCCAGCCACCAAGCCAAUACAUGCAUCAUUCUACACCACUGGCAUAACGGCAGCAAGCCAAUACAUAUUUUCACACCAACAAAAACCUCCAGCAACAAUACAUCUUCUAAGUACACUCCACUACUAUUCCAGCCACUUACCGAACAACGCUCCCAACACACAUUCAGCAGCAACCCAGCAUCUUCCAACCCAACAUCUGUCCACACCACUGGUAUUCCAGCCACAUACCCAGCAACCCUCCAACCGAAACCCAGCAAACCAAUACCAAUCUAUUUGGAAUCAAUCAAAAUACCCAAUGUUAUUGAAUGCAAAACACGUACACUACAAUUGUUAACAAUAACCAUUAUAAUUUGACACUAUAACUUUAAUUUCAAUAAAUUUUUACAACUAAUAUUUAUAGUUUCAUACUAAUACUAACCAUUUUGCUGAUGCAACAAGGAUGUCAGAAAAAUGGUUAGCCCACUCCAAACGAACCUCAUCUAAUUCGUCCUGAGUGUAUACUUUCUUUCCAUUAAACUGUUAAUCACAAGAUUGUAAAGAGGUCAAACUUAAAAAAUAAUGUCACAUAUAUGGAAUAAAAGAAAGUUAGUGAAAUGUCAUCAUCAACUUACAUUGUUCAUUAACAAACUAACAUCUACUAUUAUUUCCUUCAUGUAUCUUAACACAUAAUAGCCACACUCCAAUUUUGCGAUAUUUUGUUUUGGAGCCUGUUCAUGCCACCAAAAAAAAAAAAACUUACAAAAUCUCAUUCAUUUUAGUUAUGUAAUCGAUAGGCACAUAUAGUUUCUGUAGGGUUACUUUUUUUUUACCUUCACAAUUCUCAUCUUAGAAUUAUAAUUCCAUUUUUCCCUACUUUCCUCUGCUGUGAAGAGUGUCAUGGUGCUAUAAAAAAAAAAAAAAAGCAAAGUGUUAUCUCUUAAUUAUAUUGAAAAAACUUAAAAUAUCAAUUGCAUGAAAUGGAUUGGCAUACAUACAUUUUAAGGAGCUGUUCUAAAUCAGUAUCAGGACUGGACUGCACAAGAUCUACAUAAAACACUUUCUUUUUCACCACGUCAAACACAACCGAAACCCAAUGGUAGCUACAAUAGGAGAAGGCAGUUGGAAAAAAAGCAGAAAACAAAAUCAUGAAUUAACAAACAGUUGUAAAAGUAAUAUAAAUUCAGACUGAAUGAAAAUUAAAACUUACGAAGGAUUAUAUGGCAUGAGAAUGAGUUGUCCGUUUUUGGCUUUUUUCAAGCGGUCAUGGAUAUGCUCAACUCUCUUUGAGCGAAAUUUUUCUGCAGCCUUUGGAUUUGUUAGGCAAACUAAAUUUGGACACAUGAAUCCAAAUGGUUUUAUUCCUUUUCUGGUUGGCAGAAUUGUGGAAUCCAACAUCCUGAAUAGAAAAUCAGUGCAUCAAUAAAAAAAAGUAUACUAAUUUCAAAUAAAGCUAGUUUAAAGAAAAUUCAUUAAACCACUUACGCCAUAUAUACUUGAAUAGCAUUUACUCCUAGUGCUUGCAUUGACAACAGUUCAUUGCAAUCUUUCUUCCCAAUAUAAGCACAUGCAUGUCUUUGGAAUACAUUAUAAUCAAUCAUAUAUGUUAUAACACCAUCAUUUUCAUCAGACAUGUAUUUCUCACACAAUUUACCAAAUAGUUGCAGCAUAGGAUGACUGUUUUGGUGCUUGAAAAUUGCACUCCUUGUGUUCCUCAUAGGCUGCACUACAACUUUUUUGGCUCUAUCCUUUUUGAAAAGUGGCUUUUUUGUUGGGCUAUCAAGAUGCCUCUCUUGUAUACCAUCAGUUGUACCAUCAACACAGUCAAAAUCCAAUUGCUUUUUACUGCUUCCAACUAUUUUCCUCUCAUCAUUUGCAUAAUCCUUUAGGAUUGAAGGAUUGAGUCUUGGACUUUUCCUCAAAAUGGCAGCAGUAGUAUUUUUUGGUGGCUUGCCCAAAUCAUCUGGCUCCUGUGGAUGUUAAUGAUAUCAAAUUGUUAGUAAACAAUUAGCCAACAAAAAACGAAAUCACACAUAUGUUGAGUGUUAGAAAAUGUAUAUUUAUAAAGGAGAAAAUCGUUAUUUUACACUUCAAGUUUUACUAACACCCUUACUUAUGUGUGUUGUAUUAUAAUUAAGUAUUUUAUGUAUUUUAGGGGCAUCAUAGACAUUUCACAAUGAACGAGAGAUCAGACGGCAAAACGGACAUCACUUUUGAAUUUAGGACGGUCGAAAACCUUAGGAGGAGCAUAAAAGGAAAAAAAAUGGAAUUGUUCUCAUGUACGGUACUAUUCACAUGUACGGUAUUGUCUACGUUACUGUUCACGACACUGUUCACAUAUACGGAUCGAUGACGUGGCAUUGACCGAUGAUGUGGCAUUGACUGAUGAGGUGUCACGAUCCUGUUGGACUAAAAUUCUUAUGCACUGUUGAUUGGUGACGUGGCAGCAUAUCAGUGGACCAAACAUCUCGCGUACAGUACAUGCAUUACACAUGAUUAUUUUCAACCAAACCGCGUCACUGUUCAAGCCGGGUCAAACCGUGUUACUGUUCAAACUGCGUGGUCAAACCGCGUACUGUUGACUGAUGACGUGGCGCAAUCCUGAGCGUCCGAAAUGUUUUUGAUCCAAUGGCCAUGAUUUACUCAAUGUAUCUAUAAAAAUGGGGCUCUCCCCCCCUAAUUUGAUAUCUCUGAAUCCAUUUUUGGGCUCCAUUUUCUGUAAUUCCUUCUACAUCUUGAAUUUUCUACGUAUUUUAAUAAAUUCCCAUUUUGCCCCUAGUUCAAUUAUGAGUAGCUAAUUUUCUUUCAAGCUUGGGUUGAAGGUGAAGUCUCAACAUGUGUCAUGGGCUUUAUUUGGUAAAUUUAUUUUCUCUUCCCCUCUAGUUUUUGUGGAUGUUUUGACUUCUCGUCGACAAAUAAUAAUAAUCUUGUCUACAUACCGCCUUGGUUUCACCGGCUCUCUAGUACAAGGUUAUUAUUAUUUGGCACGAUAAGCCCUUAGCACCAUAUUGAUUAGAGUGUGGUUCAUGAGGUGUGGAUUCCCCCCUCAUGAUUUAAUUGGCAUUAAUAAGGAAUAUUUAGCCCAUGAUGCAUGUUGAUACGGAUCCAGAUACCCAAGUACGUCAUUUCAAUAGAUUUCUCUUCAAUUUACUCUCGUCAUUUCAAUUCCAAUUUUAGGAUAAUCUAAGUCACUUUCACCAUAAAUCCAACACCCAUUUAGAAAAAUUGAUUCUACACACAAUUAAAAUCCACCUUCUCGUGGGAUCGACACUCAUCACCAUUAAUCUAUUCUACAAUAGAUUCAUGCACUUGCGAGUUCAAUAAAAUUUGCACAACAAGUUUUUGGCGCCGUUGCCGGGGAUGUAAGUUAUUUUAAUUCGUACAAUUAAUUUUUGUGAAUAAUUUCUUUUAAUUGUUUUCUUGUAAUUUUUUUUAUUAAUAAAAAAAAGAAAAAGAAAAAAAGGGCGAAUCUACAUUUAGAGGUAAAAAUUUCUUUUCUUUUUCUCUUCUUUAAAAUUCUGUAAUUUAAUUUUCAAGUUAUUUUUCUUUGUAAUUUUUCGUUUAUCUUAUUAAUUAAUUUUUAGUUAAUUUAUUUCACGUUUUUUUUAAGUGUGUUUUUAUAGAAAGGUUGUAACAGCGUGAUAAGGUUAGUACCGUAAUUUCUCCUUCUUCUUUAUUUUUAUUUGUUUUGUUUCCAUUUAUUUUUGUGUUCCUUGUAUGCAUGGUCGUAGGUCAUUAUUACCUAAUCUUGAGCCUAUAGACCUUGAACUAGAAAAAACACUUCGCACACACAAACACGUUAAAAAUAAAAUGGAUUUGCAACAACAACAAGCACCACAGGAGAGGCCAUUUAAGGACUAUUUCAGUCCCUUAGCUAAUUUGAGCACAUCAUGCAUAAGAUACCCAAAUGUAGCUGCUAGGAGUUUUGAACUAAAACCUAGUGUGCUAAAUUGUCUCCCAACAUUCUAUGGCUUAGAAAAUGAGGACCCAUAUAAUCAUCUGAAUGAUUUUCAUGCUAUUUGUCAAACUUUUAAAUACGAGAAUUUUUCAGACGAUGAUGUUAAACUCAUAUUAUUCCCAUUUUCUUUAAAGGAUAGAGCUCGUUCAUGGCUUAAUACAUUGCCUGCUAAUAGCAUUACAUCAUGGGAACAAAUGAUAACAAAAUUUUUGAAUAAAUAUUUCCCAGUGCAUAAAACCAAUGCUAUUCGCAGGGAAAUCUCAGAGUUUACCCAGAGAGAUGACGAACAGUUUUUCGAAACAUGGGAGCGAUUCAAUGGGCUACUCUUGAAGUGUCCACAUCAUGGGUACGAGAAAUGGCACCAAUGCCAAUACUUUUUGGAGGGAUUAUUGCCGAAUGUGCAAGAAUGGCUAAUGGCAACAAGUGGAGGAGAGCUAAUGUCAGAAAGUGCAUCAGAAAUUUGGGAAUUCUUACAACGACAAGCAGAUAAUUCCCAACAACGGAGUUGAUCACUCAGGAAUACUAAAAGAAUUAAGGGAGUAAAUGAGGUUCACAUUGGCGAGUCAACUUCGGGAAUCAAAGAAGUCAAGGAGAUGGUUGAAGGUCUUUCUUGACAAAUAGCAUCAUUAACGACUGUUAAAUCAACAGAGCCACAUGACCAUAACUCAUACUCAGAUCAAGCUAAUGCCAUAAGUGUAAUGAGAAAACCAUCAAAUUACAACCCAUACUCCAACACAUAUAACCCUGGAUGGAGAGACCACCCCAAAUUUUCAUGGUCUCAAGGAUUCCAACAGAAUGGACCAGCAGCUCCAGCUCCACCAAUGCAACCAAUUCCUCAAGCCUCUCAGCCACCAUUUAGACCAUACAAUCAGAACCAGAACUACUCUCAACCCAGACCAUGGGAGGAUUCAUUCCAGAAUCUUAAGAAUCUUACUCACUCUACGAUUGAGCAACAGAAUCGCACCAUUGAUGGACUACGAAAUGAGUUGAGAGCAUGCUUCAACUCACAAGCCCAAUCAGUUUCAAGCCUCGAGAAGAUGGUAGGACAACUUGCUUCUUUAGUUCAGACCUUGGCAAUAACUGUUGAGAAAGGUAAAUUUCCAAGUCAACCAGUGCCUAAUCCUAAAGGAGUACAUGAAGCAAGUACCAGUUCACCACAGCAGCAUGGAGAGGUCAAAGCAAUCAUGACCUUAUGAAAAGGAAAAGAAGUCGACAACAAAGUGGAGAUACCAGUGACAAAAGAAAAUCAAAUUGUACCUGUGAUGUUAAGGACUCAUCGCCGGAGGAGAGAAAAGAAACCAACUCACGAGAAUAUGUUCACAAAGGUCCAUUUCCCCAGAGGUUAGCUAAAGGAAAGAAGGGAAAAUCCACAGGUGAGAUGUUUGAAAUCUUCAAACAGGUAAGUGUUAACAUCCCUUUACUUGAUACUAUAAAGCAAGUUCCAUCUUAUGCCAAGUUUCUUAAAGACCUUUGUAUUAAAAAGAGAAACAUUCACGUUCAAAAGAAGGCAUUUUUAACAGAAAACGUUAGUUCUAUACUCCAACAUAAAAUUCCUCUAAAAUGCAAAGACCCAGGCUCCCCCACUAUCUCAUGUAGCAUAGGGAACCACACAAUUGAGAAUGCUUUGUUGGAUUUAGGAGCUAGUGUAAAUAUGUUGCCUUAUUCAAUAUUUGUGAAACUUGGACUGGGAGAAUUACACCCAACUCCAGUGGUGUUACAACUUGCAGAUCGGUCCACGAAAAUACCUCGUGGUAUUGUGGAGGACGUGCUUAUCCAGGUAGACAAGUUUUAUUUUCCUGUUGAUUUCAUUGUAAUUGACACUCAACCAAUACAGGAUUCAAAGAAGCACAUCCCCAUUAUUCUAGGCCGACCUUUAUUGGCAACUGCGGAUGCUCACAUUCAAUGCAGGACUGGAAAUAUGCAGUUGUCCUUCGGCAACAUGACUAUGGAGCUGAACAUCUUCAACAUUGCCAAACAACCUCAUGAUGCAGAUGAUGAAAUUGUUGAUGUUGAUUUAAUAGAAGCAUUAGUUGAUAAUACUUUUCUUUCAAACUUUAGUGAUGAUCCUUUACAAACAUGUUUAACUCACUUUAGUUUAGAUUUUGAUAUUGACAGAUCAGUCGAUGAGGUCAAUGCUCUACUUGACUUAGCAUCAUCCAUGGAUACCAAUAAAUGGAAGUCAAGAGUUGAACAACUAGCACCAUCAGAGAAGAAACUCAUCCCAUCAUCAGAAUCACCACCGAAACUCGAGCUUAAACCAUUACCCAACACUUUGGAAUAUGCAUUUUUGGGAGAAGAAAGCACUCUACUGGUUAUCAUCUCAUCAUCCCUAAAUGACGAACAAAAAGGUAAGUUGUUGGAUGUUUUAAAAGAGCACAAAGGAGCAUUAGGAUGGACCAUAGCGGACAUAAAAAGUAUAAACCCAGUAGACUACAUUUAUUACAUUCACCUUGAUAAAAAUGCUAAACCUACUAGGAAAAUGCAACGUCGGUUAAAUCUUAACAAUAAAAAAGUUGUUAGAACUGAAGUUCUUAAGCUAUUAGACACAGGUAUCAUUUACCCAAUUUUUGAUAGUUCAUGGGUCAGUCCUAUACAAGUUGUCCCCAAAAAGUCAGGAGUCACAGUAGUUACCAAUACUGAUAAUGAAUUGAUACCCACUAGAGUGACUACAAGAUGGCGUGUAUGCAUUGAUUAUAGAAAGUUGAAUUCUGUCACACGUAAAGACCAUUUUCCUUUACCAUUUAUCGAUCAAAUGCUUGAUAGAUUAGCAGGCCAUGAAUUUUAUUACUUUCUAGAUGGUUACUCGGGAUAUAAUCAGAUUCCCAUAGCACCAAAAGAUCAAGAGAAAACCACUUUCACUUGCCCUUUUGGCACAUUUGCAUAUAAGAGGAUGAUAUUUGGAUUAUGUAAUGCACCUACUACAUUUCAACGAUGUAUGUUAAGUAUUUUUUCUGAUAUGGUUGAACGAUUCCUUGAAGUCUUUAUGGAUGACUUUUCUGUCUUUGGUGACUCGUUUGAUCAAUGUUUACAUCAUCUAACACUAGUUCUGUAGAGAUGUAUCGAGAAGAAGUUAGUCUUAAAUUGGGAGAAGUGUCAUUUUAUGGUAAAAUAAGGUAUUGUUAUGGGUCACAUCAUUUCGAGCAAAGGUAUUGAGGUUGACAUAGUCAAGGUGGAUCUCAUUUCCAAUCUUCCUCCACCUAAAACAGUCAGAGAAGUAAGAUCUUUCCUUGGGCAUGCUAGUUUUUAUAGACGUUUCAUUAAAGAUUUUAGCAAAGUUUCUAGACCCUUAUGCAAUCUACUUGCUAAGGAUGUACCUUUUAUCUUUAAUGAUUCAUGUCUUGUGGCUUUUGAAAAAUUAAAGAAAUUGUUGACAUCAUCACCCAUCAUUCAGCCCCAAACUGGAGCUUACCAUUUGAGCUCAUGUGUGAUGCAUCUGAUUAUGCAGUAGGAGCAGUUUUAGGACAAAGAGUUGAUCGAAUUCCCCAUGUUAUUUACUAUGAUAGUAUGACAUUCAAUGAUGCACAGUUGAACUAUUCAACUACUGAAAAAGAAAUGCUAGCAGUAGUGUUUGCAUUAGAGAAAUUUCGAUCUUAUCUCAUUGGUUGUAAAAUAAUUGUAUUCACGGAUCAUGCUGCUCUUAAAUAUCUUCUCACAAAGAAAGAUGCAAAAGCUAGACUAAUUCGUUGGGUGUUACUUUUGCAGGAAUUCGACUUGGAAUUUAAAGAUAAGAAAGGCACAGAAAAUGUUGUGGCAGACCAUCUUUCUCGUCUCUAUUUUGACACAAUUACUGAAUCAUUACCAUUAAAUGAGUCAUUUCCAGAUCAACAAUUGAUGAGUGUGGAAGUAUUACCGUGGUAUGUUGAUAUCGUGAAUUAUCUUGUUACAGGUCAACUUCCAGAGCAUUGGAUCAAGCAAGACAAGGCCAAAUUUUUUACAGAAAUAAAGAAUUUCUUUUGGGAUGACCCGUAUUUGUUCAAGUAUUGUGCAGAUCAAAUUGUUAGACGAUGUGUCCCAGAAAGUGAAAUUCAGAAUAUCCUUUCAUUCUGCCAUGAACAAGCUUGUGGAGGCCAUUUCAGCGCUAAGAAAACAGCGACUAAAGUUUUACAAUGUGGUUUCUAUUGGCCAACUAUAUUUCGAGAUGCUUACACUUUUUGUUCUUCAUGUGAUAGGUGUCAACGAAUGGGGAGCAUUACACGAAGGAACAUGAUGCCAUUAAAUCCAAUUUUAGUGGUUGAGAUUUUUUAUGUGUGGGCUAUCGGCUUCAUGGGUCCUUUUCCCUAUUCUUUUGGCCAUCAAUACAUAUUGGUUGCGGUUGACUACAUAUCGAAAUGGGUAGAAGUAAUUCCAUGUAGAACCAAUGAUCACAAGGUGGUGAUAGGAUUUUUGAAAAGCAACAUUGUUUCACGCUUUGGAUUCCCUCGAGCGAUAAUCAGUGAUGGUGGUGCCCACUUUUGUAACAAAUCAUUCAAAGCUCUUUUGACAAAGUAUUCAAUCACUCACAAAGUGGCGACCCCAUAUCAUUCGCAAACCAGUGGCUAAGUUGAGAUCUCCAAUCGAGAAAUAAAGCACAUAUUAGAAAAGAUUGGUCAUUAAAACUUGAUGAUGCAUUAUGGGCAUAUAGAACGGCUUUCAAGACCCCGAUUGGGAUGUCACCCUACAGGCUAGUGUAUGGAAAAGAAUAUUACAACUGGCAGAACUUGAAGAAAUUUGCAAUGAUGCAUACGAAAAUGCCAAGAUUUACAAGCAGCGAAUGAAAGUCUUUCAUGACAAGCACAUUAUGAGAAAAUCUUUCACUCCAGGUCAGAAAGUGCUUUUAUUCAAUUCUCACUUGCACCUAUUCCCAGGUAAGUUACGCUCUCGAUGGUCUAGCCCAUUUAUUGUUCAUACUGUUUUUCCACAUGGGGCAAUUGAAAUUAAGGACCCAAAGAACGGUGUCACGUUUAAAGUUAAUGGUCAAAGAUUAAAGCCAUAUCUAGAGUACCAACCACAUGGAGAGGACACCGAAAUAAAUUUGAGUGACCCACCAGAUUUGAAUUAAGUUUUUUCUUUCUUUUCGGUGAUUUGAUUUUUCUUUCUUUCUUUCUUUUUAUUAUUCUUUUGCUAAUUGAAAUUAUUUUUGCAUAAGUGUGUUUGUUUAACCAUUAAGUUUUCUCUUAUCAUUGUUAAUCAUGAGUGCCAUAUCUAAAUAGUUCCUCCUGGACAUUCUUAAACCACUUCAACGUGUAAAAUCUCAUCUCAAAAGGUAGAUUCGAUUUUAUAAGACACAUCAUAUUUGGGCUCUGCAACUACCAGAGUUAGUAUCCUUUGUUGAGGAUUUAGAAAGCCAACUCAGAGACAUUGAGAGAAGUGUGUACAACAUCCAGUUGGAGCUUGAGGUAAAUUCAAUAAGAGGACGAUUGUAAUUUUCUUUACGUGUUUUAGUUUGUUUUUCUUUAUUUGUGUGCUUUAGUUUGUUACCCCGGUGAAGUGGUGGAUAACGGUACUCCGUGACAAUCAAGUCGGUUACUUCAGUUUCCCAUAAUAACUGAUAUUCUGAGGCGAAGGUAUGGACAGAAAUGAGAUCUUAGCAAAGCUUCACAAGCGAUUCCCUUCACUUUCUCAGAAUGUCCUCCUUACAAUCUAUAAAGCUCGGUCCGAACGCAUGCGAUUGCUCAUGAGGAAUAACAUACCUGCUGACAUCCGUUGGUUAAUCGAGGCUAAAGUACGAUUAGCAAGUGAGUUGCCUCCAAAAUUUAUUGCAUACAUGCCUGGUUGUGGUAAAGGAAAUUAUACAAGAAAACGAAGAGCUCGAAGAAUUUUUGUUGCUUGUCAUAAUUGUGCCAGAAUGAGUUGCGAUAAAAACCCAUGUUCUUUAGGAAUGAUGUCUGAUAACAUGGAAGAUAAGAUUCAAUUCAUUAGGGAUGGCUUGAAUAAGAAGUCAUUGGAUGAUAUCCUUUUGUCUCUUGAAACGCAUCCCAGUGGAUAUGUGCAAGGAGCGAUUCUCCAGUUAUGACCAUUAUUCCAGAAAGAGCAUGCACGAUAUAGUCUCGGGAAUCUGACUAUAAACGACCUUGUUUGUCAGUUUAUAAGAAAACUGGAUGGGACGCCUAUCCUCGACCCAUAGAGGGCGUUUAAGCUGUUUCUAGACGUAAAACCAGAGGAAGAUGUGAGCCACAGUCGUAACUACUUGUAAAUAUCCUUUUACUUUACUGUUAUUUUAUCUCACUGUUGUUUUAUCAUUUACAUUAUUGUCUUUAAUAAUUUUAUCUUAUCAUUGUUUCUUUUUCUUUUUACUGUUUCUUUUUUUACUCGCGAGCCAUGUGCUUUACGCAUGAUUUGACACUGACAUGCCAUCUCAUACACAGUUGUGACCCAUUGUCACCAAGAUUCUUAAAUAUGACUUUUUGUCAAGUACUCACAAAUUAUUUUUGAGAAGUAUCCCAAUAGCAACUACUCCCAAUAGACAAUUCAAGAACAUUUGUGUGCUUUCUGGAUUUAACUAUGACAAACAUAAAGAGUUCGUUGAGGCAGCCAUAGAUCUUGGUCGAAGCAUAGCAGAGAGAAAAUUCCACGUGGUGUAUGGAGGAGGUAACCGAGAGUUAUCAAAAUUGGUCUCAAAAGCUGCUUUUAUCAGAGGAAGUCAAGUGUUAGGCAUCAUCCCAAGAGCCCUAAAACCUUUGGGCAGUUUGUCCGACUCACCGAAUGGAGAAGAGUUAGUCGUCUCAGGUAUGCAAGAAAGAAUAACUGAAAUGCUUAAUUAUGCUGAUGCUUUUAUUUUCCUUCCAGGAGAUCUUGUAACACUAGAGGCACUUAUCACACUAGCAUCUUGGGCCCAUCUGCACAUUCACCAGAAACCCAUCGGUUUGUUAAAUGUCAAUAACUUUUAUGAUGGCUUCAUCGCAUUUCUUAACCAUGCAAUAAAGAAUAACUGAAAUGCUUAAUCAUGCUGAUGCUUUUAUUUUCCUUCCAAGAGAUCUUGUAACACUAGAGGCACUUAUCACACUAGCAUCUUGGGCCCAUCUGCACAUUCACCAGAAACCCAUCGGUUUGUUAAAUGUCAAUAACUUUUAUGAUGGCUUCAUCGCAUUUCUUAACUAUGCAAUAAAAAAUUAUUUCAUUCCUCCCAAUGCGAAAAAACUUUUUAUUUUUGCUCACACUGCUAAUGAGCUACUUGAUCUGUUACAAGCUUAUAGACCGGAGCCAGACCCCUAGACCUUUGUGUUGGAGCAUCCAAAUAAUGACGGUAACAGUAGCCGCAGUAAGAAGUACAAAUUAGAUUUAAUUCUCCACUUGUAAAUAUUUUCUUCUGUGUUGCACCACCCAGGUGAUGUCUUCUAAACUCUACUUUUUUCCUUUCAAACAUUGAGGACAAUGUUUUUUUCUGGUUGGGGAGGGGAUAGUCGACAAUUGUGGAAUCUUGGUUAAGUUUUUACUAAUUUUUUGUUGUAAAAACUAACUGUUGCUAACUUUUUGUGUUGAAGAUGGCUGAAUAUGGAGUGUAGUGACUCUAGAAACGCAUCUUCAUCGUUUGAAAAAACAAAAAAAAAUUUAAAAAAAAAGACAAAAAAAAUCAGACAUUUUCUUUUUCUUUAUUAAGCUUUGACAUUCAUUGUUCUUCCUCUUUUUAAUUUCUCCUUUAUAAAUAUACAUUUUUAAAUUUUUGAGUCGAAGAUGGCUGAAUAUGGAGUGUAGUGCCUCUAGAAACGCAUCUUCUUAGUUAAAAAAAAAAACCAUUUUUUUUUUAUCAUUUUAAGUGUAACUUUUCUAAUUAGUUUUUCUGCAUCAUUUUCACAUUUCUGCAUGCAUAUUUUCCUUUCAUGUUUAGAAUAGGUUGGAGGGUAGAAUGUUGUUUGAAAAAAAAAAAAAAUUGUGUGAUUUGUUUUAACAUUGGAUGACAUGAUUAAUUUCAAAUUUUAGUAUUUGUUUUAUCUUUGGUCUUAAGUGAUGUUACGCUAUGUUUGCUACUUUACAUGUUGAUGUCGGAGACAAAUAUGAGUUGCUUGAAGGAAUGAACAUGUCAUAAUAAGUACCAAGAGAGUUUUUGAGCCUAUCAUUUUUCUUGGAGAGUAACCCUUUUGCCCAUUCUUUAUACAGCUUAGCAGUUUAUUAUUUUAUACACGAUCUCUAGAUUUCUUUUAAGUUAACCCUUAAAAAAAAUUGUAAAAUAUAAAAAAAAAGAAAAAAAUGUGUGUUGCUACAUUUGUAGGCUCAUCUAACUAGUAGAUAUAGAUGAUUAUUUAGAGCCCUAAAAGACGAUGGAAAGGUCAUCUUUGAUUCGUUUGAGCCUUUCUAGCCAUCCCUUUUAUGAAAUAUCAAUAGUUAACCCUUUUGAGAAAAAAAAUAAAAAAAUAAAUAUUUUCUUUGUCAAACUUAUCAUCUUGACCCACUCCGAUUUGGAGUAUUACCCAAUCCAUCACUUAUUUAUGUUUGAGAAAAAUGUAAAUAAUUAUUUUGUUCAGUAAAGUUAUGUCAAACAAAAGCAAAAAAAAAAAAAAAAUUUGUUGCUUAAAAUAAUAAUAAUAAUAAUAAAUUGUUGCUUAAAAAAAACAAUAAUAGGUGAAAUCCACUUUGCAACUUCCAAAAAAAAAAAAUUCUACAUUUUUCUCAAACAUACACUUUGUUUUCCUUAUUUCCCCUCUUUUGUUAGCCAUGUCCCUAACCUACGUUACGUUCUAAUAAAAGUCCUUCUUGAUUUUAAGGAACUAUAGUCUAAAGUAGAAGCUAGUUAUAUGGGCUAAAAAGAUGUAGUGGUGCAUAAAAAAAAAUUGGGUUGACUAGCAUUUUUAUUUGACUUGAGAUCAUAUUAUUUCUAAGCUGAGGGCAUAUUUCUUUCAUCUUGGUGAGAGCGUGUGAUAUCACUUCUUUAUUAUUUUCUCUCAAUUACCAUUCAUUGGAGUGACUAUUUUUAUUGGGUUUAAUUUCUUUGUGAGAAUGUCACUAUUUUCAGUGAGAUUUUGGGGUUUAACAUGUCAUUCUUGAAAGUAACUGUGACAAAGUAUACUGGGCUAAUUCAUGUGGAUGGUUGAUGUGGGUGUGAUGUUUCUUUAGAAUGGAGAUAAUGCUUAUACUUUUAUUUGACUGCUAUCAUUAGUCUGAUUGAAUAAACACGAGUGUUUAAAAAAAAAAUAUUUUGGAUUUGAAUUUUGUUUUCGCUUUAUUUGCUAGGGACUAGCAAUAAGCUGGUUGGGGGGUGCGUUGAGUGUUAGAAAAUAUAUAUUUAUAAAGGAAAAAAUCGUCAUUUUACACUUCAAGUUUUACUAACACCUUACUUUUAUGUAUUUAAGCUUCUUGUCAUUUAAUUAUGUAUGUUGUAUUAUAAUUAAGUAUUUUAUGUAUUUUAGGGGCAUCAUAGUCAUUUCACAAUGAACGAGAGAUCAGACGAAAAAACAUACAUCACUUUUGAAUUUAGGACGGUCAAAAACCUUAGGAGGAGCAUAAAAGGAAAAAUGGAAUUGUUCUCAUGUACAGUACUAUUCACAUGUACGGUAUUGUCUAUGUUACUGUUCACGACACUGUUCAUAUAGACGGAUCGAUGACGUGGCAUUGACCGAUGAUGUGGCAUUGACUGAUGAGGUGUCACGAUCCUGUUGGACUAAAAUUCUUAUGCACUGUUGAUUGGUGACGUAGCAGCGUAUCAGUGGACCAAAAAUCUCGCGUACAGUACAUGCAUUACACAGGAUUAUUUUCAACCAAACCGCGUCAUUGUUCAAGCUGGGUCCAACCGUGUUACUGUUCAAACCGCGUACUGUUGACUGAUGACGUGGCGCAAUCCUGAGCGUCCGAAAUGUUUUUGAUCUGAUGGCCAUGAUUUACUCAAUGUAUCUAUAAAAAGGGGGCUCUCCCCCCCUAAUUUGAUAUCUCUGAAUCCAUUUUUGGGCUCCAUUUUCUGUAAUCCCUUCUCCAUCUUGUAAUUUCUACGUAUUUUAAUAAAUUCCCAUUUUGCCCCUAGUUCAAUUAUGAGUAGCUAAUUUUCUUUCAAGCUUGGGUUGAAGGUGAAGUCUCAACAUGUGUCAUGGGCUUUAUUUGGUAAAUUUAUUUUCUCUUCCCCUCUAGUUUUUGUGGAUGUUUUGACUUCUCGUCGACAAAUAAUAAUAAUCUUGUCUAGAUACCGCCUUGGUUUUACCGGCUCUCUAGUACAAGGUUAUUAUUAUUUGGCACGAUAAGCCCUUAGCACCAUAUUGAUUAGAGUGUGGUUCAUGAGGUGUGGAUUCCCCCCUCAUGAUUUAAUUGGCAUUAAUAAGGAAUAUUUAGUACAUGGUGCAUGUUGAUACGGAUCCAGAUACCCAAGUACGUCAUUUCAAUAGAUUUCUCUUCAAUUUACUCUCGCCAUUUCAAUUCCAAUUUUAGGAUAAUCUAAGUCACUUUCACCAUAAAUCCAACACCCAUUUAGAAAAAUUGAUUCUACACACAAUUAAAAUCCACCUCCUCGUGGGAUCGACACUCGUCACCAUUGAUCUAUUCUACAAUAGAUUCGUGCACUUGCGAGUUCAAUAAAAUUUGCACAACAUACAAAGUCAAAAGCAGCUUAAAUACAAUUUAAUUUAUUAACUAACCUUAUGCAGUUCUCCUUCACUGCCUUCAUUUUUUGUUGACUUCACCAGAAUGGCAGCAGCGGCAUUUGCUGGUGGCUUGCCCAAAUUAUCUACCUCCUGCGAAGAUUAAUUAUAUGAAAUAGUAAGUAUAUUAAACUAGAUUGAAUAGUAAAUAUACAAGGCAAUAAAUCAUAAUCUAGGAAAAAUACAACCAUUUAUUAUGAUUGAACUAACCUUAUGUGCAUCUCCUUCAUUGUCAUUUUCAUUGUCAUCAUUUUUGGCUGACUUCAUCGGAAUGGCAACAUUUGUGUUUUUUGGUGGCUCUUCUUUCUUCUGAACUUCUUCCUUCUUUCUUAGUGUUGAUGCUUUAGGAUGUUCAUCCCUUUGACCAAACAUUCAUUUCCUCUUCUUCACAGCUGACUUCCCUAAAUUAUCCAGCUCCUGUCAGCAUUAUUGACAAAUACUAAAUAAUUUAAACUCUAAUGAGUGGAAGAUAUACAAGGAAAAAUACUUAAACUAGGAAAAAUUUGGGUAACACAGAUAACUAAAGUACCUUAUGUAUAUCUCCCUCACUGUCAUCAUCGACCAUAUUAUGUGGGAAAGUGGAACUUCCAACAUCUGAAUGGCGAGGUGUCCUCUUCAAUGCUUUGCAAAUUUCUCGCAACUGUUCAUCUACUGAUUUUUUCCAAGCAUCCAGCUCCCUCUCUCUCUCUCAUUGCGGAUGGGUCCACACAUGCAGUGAAAGUACAUACGAAGCAUAAAUAAAUUUGCCCAAGCUUUGCAUAUGACCAGUUCGAGGAAGCUUUCCCAAUGCUUGUGCAAGUAAGUCAUUUCUUGCAUCUGAAUUGUAUGAGUCUUUUUUGUCCUCCUUCUCUAGCAUUUCCUAAUAGCCCACCAUAAAGAAACUAAUAUUAUUAAAUGAGCAUAGAUCAGACCUCAAAAACUCUGUUUGUUCUAGUUAAACUUGAUUACCAUUUUCUUAAUGGUCUGUUCGGUUUCAAAGUCGUAUCCUCCAUUCUUUAGCAUCCGAGCUCUCUUCCAUAGUUCACUCAUGUCAAUUAACUCUUUAGAAAGCCCUAAUUCUGCGCACUACUUCGAUAAAGAAAUUAGAUUAGUUAACUGUUACAAAAUUUAAUAGUUAACUAAGUGAAAAACAAACCUUUAAAAAAUAUUUAACAAAUCAAAAAAUUGACGUGCUUAACUGAUAUAUAAAUUAUUUCAUUAACAAUUUAAAUAUUUAACACACUUACAAUUUCUUUCAUUAAUCCAACGUAUCCUUUUCGACUAAGGCGGUGAUUGCACUUGUUCAAAGCUCUCCUGUUCUUAUUGACACGAUUGAUUUUCUACGUAAUUAGAUUAGUUAUAACACAAGGUAAAUAUAAUGUAAGUACUAACAUAUUACUUGUCCUAACUUGAAAAUACUUACUUCAAAAGAUUCCGACAAACAUUGGUCGACAAACUUUAUCCAAAUAGGACGUUUUAUUUUAGGGUACUCAAUUGGGGGUGCAUACAAUUUCUUUUUAUCAUUUCUGCAAUUCCAGAUAUAGUUUUUUGCCAGCAUAUACUUGAAGUUCUGAAAUGUUGUGAUUGUAUCACCUGCUUCAUACUUCUAGGAUGAACAAUGAAAAGACCCUAGAUAAGAGGAAGAUUGUUUAAGUGACAGUUAAUAAAAAUUUUGUUACAUUAAAGUACAUAAUUGAAAAACGACAGCAAAAUGAUUAAGUAGAAUGCAGUGGAUUUUUAAGAAUUACCAGAACAGAUUUCCACAAACGCUCUUUUGUCUCUAGCUGAACCUUACGCCAGUCGGAAUAGAGAAUUGAAACUGAUGUACGAGCUAAUACCCCAAUAAACGAAGCCAACUCAGUGGCUUCAUCGCCUGCUGGAACGCCCAUUUCAUUGUAUUGUACCACAAUCUUUCCCUUCUUUGUUUUAAGUCUUUUAUUUUGCCUAGCUCCCAUAUUUACACCUCUCCUAGAGUUACUGCUUUCAGGAACAUCAACAUCAGGAGGAACGAAAUUAACACCAUCCAUCUCAGCACCAUAAAAAUCACCUCUAUCCAAAUCAGCACCAUCAUUAUCACCUCCAUCAAACUCAACACCAUCCAUCUCAGCACCAUCAAAAUGAGCCACGUUUUCUGCAUCUGCUAAAUUAUCUACCUCGGCAAAUAAGUCGUCGUAUUCGUCUUCCAAAUAAGCUUCCUGAUCAGAAGCAACAUCAGCCACUACAUGUUUUCCCUUAGCCAUAUUACUGCACCUGAAAUAAGUAAAUUAAAUUGUAUUAGUUAACUGAUAAUAUAAAACUAUAUAACAUUCAAUCAACUGCAAGAAUAAAGUAGCUACAAUAAUUCAUUAUCAUAUUAGUUUGUAACAUAUACUGAAUAGUUGAAUAAACACUUACUGGAAAAAAAUUUAUCAAUUGGUAACCCAAAUUCCCUCUUUGCUAUUUCGUGCAUAGAUUGCUCGGUCGCCAUUUGCGGAACGUAACAAAUCAUUAGUUGGAAAUUCUCUGGUGAAGGGAGGAUAUUCUGUUACAUUAUUGACCUCAUCUUCAUUGUUUGGCUUGAGAAGCUAAUAUAAAUAGAUCAGAUUUAUAUCCUAAUCGGUUUAAGUCUACUAAGAUGAAUCCAACCUCAUCCUUCUUGACGCAACUACUUUGAACCCAAUCACACUUCAACACAGUGACUUUCAACAAAUGAUAGUCAAGUACCCAAAUUUCAUCUAUAACUCCAUAAUAUGUCAUAUCACAUAUUUCAGAAUCACCUACACUAACUCCACUAUUUUGAGUUAGUCGACUUGAGUCUCGAUCUCGUGUAAUAAAAUGGAAACCAUUAAUGUCAUAACCAUUAUGUUUAGUUACAAAAGGAAGAGGCCCAUGCGAUAACCAUCGCAAAGUAUCCGAUACGUGAUCACCCUUUUCAAUCAAGUCAUAUACCUAACAAGACAAGGAAGAAAAGUAAACAUCUUUACUAAGUGAAAAGAAACUUGUUAUACUCUCUUACUCGGUUCUCCCGCUGGUUCCUCUUAUAAUUAUUUCAUUUCUUUCGGCCCCCUACCUACUAAUGAGAUUUCUCUUCUUUCACGAUUUCUUUCUCAAUCUCGAGCCGGCCUCUCUGGUCAUCUGUAAUUGAACAACCCUCCGUCAUAAUGAUGCCUAUCAUCCAUGUUCCUCAUCAAGGUAUACCCAAGGUUAUCUUCUCUCCUUAUUGGGUCUCCCCUUCUCACUGAACCUUCUCUCUGCUCUUCUAUUUUACUCUUUUCUUCCUCUAUAUCUUCAGUUUUCAUAUCCAAUUUUGCAUGGUCGUAUGCCUCAGUGUAUGUUGUUAUCCUUUUACUAUAUAAGUUAUUCCACAAUUGAUUUAUUCUUAACCCUUUCUUUAAUCCUUUCAGGGCAUUCAAAUGAUCAAAGGCCCCUAAAUCGGUGACUUCUUUAUGAUACCUGGUCAUGAAGCUCCUCAAACUUUCAAAUUCUCCUUGGACCAAUUUUUUCAACCUGUUUGUAUCAUGUUCUGGUAUGCGCAAACCUCUAAAAUACACGGCGAAAAGCUCACAUAACUCUUUGAAAUUUCCUAUGCUUCCCUUCUUUAAUCUCCGUUACGACUCCUGAUAACUCUAUGAAAUGAGAGUUAUCAUAGCACUUUUAGACUUAAAUUAAUAUUACUUAGAGAGUAAAUGAUGUGAUUCUAUUGCAUUUUUGUUACACUUUGCAUAAAUAUUCAUUUUAGUUUAGUCUUAAUGAGUUUUGCUUAAUUUAAAGUAAUUCGUGCUUAAAUUGUGUGCAUAAUUGUAGGUUUCCAUAAGCUUAUAAUUCAUGGAAGGAAUGUUGAUGCAAUAGGCUUGCAAAAAUGAGGAAGAACUUAGCUACAAAAGAAUUGAAACAAAUCUGGAACAGUGCAGUUGCUGUAGCCAUUGCUGUAGCAAUCCUGGAACAACGACAGAGAAAAUUCCACGCGGGAUACUUGCAGAAUUGCGAUCUGCAGUUUCCUAAUCUGACUUAUGCGCACCCUAGGCUUCCGUUUACCCUAAUUUUCAACUAUAAAAGAAGCACACAUCAUAAGGAAGAGGAGAGAGCCGUCACCUAAGGAGAAAACACAAAGAAACAAAAGAAAAAACAAGAUUCAAGAGAGAAAUUAAGGGUUGCACAAGAGGAGAAUUUGCAGAAAUCAAUUAAGAGCUCAAUCUUUAUUAUUCUUCUCUUGUUUUCUCGUUUUCUAUUUAUUUAUGGGGAUGUGUUUCAUGGCUAAAACUUUGUUCUUUAUUUUUCUUUUGCAAAUCAUGAACUAAAUUUAUUUGUAAUUGAGUGAUAAACAAUCUUGAUGGUUUAUUGACUGGAAAUAUGUGUUGCUGCAUGUUUACUAUAGCAGUUUGUUUUGAUAGUAUUUAUUUUAUUCAUUAUUUCGGUUGAUCACCCAUUUAAUGAUACUAGCUAAUGAAAAGCCGCAAAAGGGCCUAUCUUAGUGGAACAUAUAAGAAUAAUACUUGAUCUUAAAUUGAGUUUCCCGAAUUGAGUUUUACUUGAGUCCCAAAAGGGCCAUGCUUGAUUUAAGAUUAGUGAUGAACUAGACAUAAGGAUUCACCUUGUAGGGUAAAUAGAACCUAAGCGUGUAAUGCUAUAUCUUAUGUUGGCAUAGCAACUGAUCACUGUUAGGUUGCAUAUAGAUAUAAGAUAUCCAACAGGCGACGGCUGAGGAUACAUAAGGAUUCUGCCCAGUGCUGUAGCAGAUGAUGCAGCAACCGAGCCAAACAUUAGAAAAUAGUCAAGACCAUUAAGAGAGUUUAUUCACUCAACUACUCUAUAUUCUCAUUGUUUUUAUCCUUGAGUUUGACGUGAUAAUCUAUUUUGUUGCAUUUUAUUUAUUGCUUGUUUAUUUUAAUUAGUAUAAUAGUUUCACUAAGUGUUUUAUUUUAUUUUAGCACAAAAUCUGCACUGUUAAGAUUGCUGUAGCAAAUCUAAUAACAUCAAUCUCUGUGAAGACGAUCUUGAAUACUCAUCACUUUAUUACUUAUUGUGUACACUUGCACAUUGACACCAAUAGCAUUAAUAUUUAUUACCCAACAACUCUCGUUCCUGUCUUUAUAGAGUUAAGGGAAAAACACGACACCUUUGAAAAUCAUUCAAACCUUGAAUCCCGAUCAUCUCAUUAACACUCUCCACAUGAUGAUUCGAGUCAGUUUUUCCUUCAUACACCACGACUGGAACCACAUACUUGGUUGGCAAAGUUACCGCCAUCACCUUAGUUAUCAAGGGGUAUUCGUCAUUAAGUAACAAUCUUCCUACCACUUUCUUGCCCUCCGUUUUCGCCUCUAAUGCCUCUAGUUUUUUUUUAAAUUGCAACAUUCUCUGCUCAAGCUCAUUUGCCCGUUGGGGGUUUCUCAACUCUUCUCUCUCUUUUUUAUGAUUCAGGUCAUUGAUUCUCCUCCUCAACUUGUUCACUUGUUCUCCUACACUUCUGUUAUCCUAUCAUACCCCAACUUGUGGUAGUCCUAUUCUGCUCUGCUGUUGACCACCAAGCUCUUCCCUCUCCCGCACUCCACUACUCUCUGGAUCAUUAAUUCAAACUUGAGGCCCUCUGACUUGGGCAUCAACCAACCCCUUGAUCAUCUCUUCAAAUCUUUCCAUUUGCCUCUCGAUCCAUUCUCUCCAUCUCUUAUCUGCCGUGGCAUUCAUUUCCUCCGCCAAUUGGCACAAGGUCUGCAUUUCUCCGUCAUUAUCAUCCAUCACUGUUUCCUAAUCUGAUAGUCUUCUCCCUCUAAAUCUUCAAAUGUAUGACUUUUCGCAUCAUUCCUCACAAACGGCGCCACGAUGUUGAUGCCAAAAAACGACAUCAACAGAUGAAUGUUUUCUUUAGGGAAAAACAACAUGAAUCCAAGCUCAAACGUCAGUCUGAUCACAACUUUCUAUACCUGCCAACCAAAAAACACGAUUAGGAUAUGCCGGUGGGGUUCCGGCGUAGACCAUCCGAUGCUUAAGUCAGAAAUUGUAUAUAAGGAAAGAAAAACGGGAUGGAAGAAUUGAGAAUAAGUUAAAAUCAAGGAAUUUUUUCGGCAGAGGUGUUGAAAGUCUUGUAGGAAAUAAAGAGGCUUUUAGAUAAGUGACUUGUAUAAUUUUUGGUUGAUUUUGCUAACCCUUCCUCUGUUGCCCUCUUCGGCUUAAAUAGGCCCUUUGUCGGGGGCGGUUACCGCCUUAACUUUAGCCUACUUUCUUCAGCAGUUGCAAGUGCUCAUUAAUUGGAGGUGGUUUAACAAAUCGUGGCAUACAACUUUCCUAAAAAUUAGGCCACAUUAUCUCGAUUAGUAAUUUUCCAUCUCAAGUAGUUCUCAGGUCAGACAAAUGAAUUUCCAGGUCAGACUAUCUUACAUACUUCCAGAUCGGAUUGGUGAAUUUUUGGGUCGCUCACAUAGGCUUAAAGUUGUAUUCUUAAAUUAGGUCGUUUGCAUAAAUCUUAGGUUGUACUUAUAAACCAGGUCGCCAACAUAGGCUCCAAGUUGUACUUAUGAGGUUUGCUCAACGGUAAUAAAUUCUGAGUAGAUUAAUGCUGACUCUAUUUCUAGAUGCUAUCAGAAAAAUCCAACCCGAACACCAAUUAAUCCAACCCUUAAAUCAUUGGAUUGAUUAAAAUUAAAAAAUUAAAGAAACUAUUUGUUACUUAAAAUCAAAUUCGCAAAUGAAAAAUAUAUGUUAAUUUUCCAUCAUAACAUUAAAUGUUAUCCAUUGUAUCUAACAUUUAUUAAUAAAUAACAUGGCCCAAUAUUUGAAUAUUUAUUAACUUACUUUAAGUGAAAAUGGUAAGUUUAGUUAUUUAUAGUUUAAUAGCGAAUAGUUGACAUUAGUUUUUUUAUGAUUUUCAGAAAUUUUGGUUUGGGCUAAACUAUAUAAGAAUAUGAAUUCAACCUAACCCAAUCAUCAAUUGAGCUGAAAAAAAACAAUAAUCCAAUUAACUCAUUAUAACAUAAUCAAUUUAUGUCAAUUUAAUUGGAUUGAGUUGAAUUGGAUUAGGUCCAUCCAGUUAAAGUUGGGCUUACUCACCCUAAAGGCAGUUUGUUCUUAAAGUCAAGUGUUAGUGUGUGUUUGAGAUUGAGAUUAUACAACUGUACUUUAAAAGUUACAACACUAAAGGAUUUAGUAAACACUAGCUGUUGUAACUUGUAAGCUAUAUUGAUAUAAUUUUUCACUUGUAUAAUGAAAAAUAUAUUAUAUCUUUAAUAUUUUUUUCAUAAUUAUUAUUUAAAAUUUGUAUUUACUGUAUAUUAUUAAUUUUUAUUUGAUAGUUACAACUUUUUUUCCAUAGCAGCUCAAUUUCGAACGAGACCUUAAUCUAGCGUGUUAGUCUGGCUUUAUAAAUUUAUUAGAUUACUUAUCUUGACUCCCUUAUUUGGAGCUAUCCUAUUGUAGGCACGAUGUGGCAUUGUAAUGUCAGUUAGUAUUAUUUAAUUAACAAAAUUACUCUUUAAAAAAAUCAAAAUCAAAAUUUUAAAUUUUAAUAAACAAGAAGAAAAUUAUGUUAUUGUAGCGAUUAUCCAGAGCAAUUUUUUAAUUUUGACAAAUCUACACUCUAGAUUUUUUACUUAAUAAAUAUUCUUAAUUUGGAUCCUUUUUUUAUAAGACAAAAUUACUGGUUUGAAUGUAUUUAUUCCAGUUCAUUACAUAAAUUGCUAAUCUUUUAACCAUUUUGGGAAAGUGAAUAAAUUUUGGACGCAUAAAAAAAACAAGGGCUUCACCCAUUUCCACAUCAUCCUCCAUCUCUACCAGUCUUCUCCAAUAGAUUCAAUUUUCUUAUGUUCUUAUUCUGAAUUGAAAUUUCGACAAUUAUUCAGAGAGUAAAAGUACUAAAAUUUGGUAAGGGUCAUAUUAUCUUUUAUUCAUUAUCUUGCACUAAUAAAUUAAAAGAUUUAAAUAAAUUACAAUGGUUUGCACCGUAUAAUAUAUAUAUUUUACUUGGUUAUUUUAUUUUAUUUUUCUUUUGUUGGAUUAUUAUUGGCUGUGAACGAAGAUUUGGAACACGAUUUAAACACUACAUGCCUGCAUGGGAAAACGAGGACCUUGUUUCCAUUGUGGAACUGAAAGUGAGUUUUUUGUUCUAUUAUAUUAAUUAAUUUAUCAUUUCAUAAAUUACGGCUUUUAUUAUGUAUACAUGAUUAUAUAACAGGCUUUUAUUAUGUAUACAUGAUUAUAUAACAGCCGUUUGAUGAAUUCCAUCCAACGGUUGUGAAAAUAAUAUAAUUUUAUCUUAUAUUUCUACAACCGUUGGAUGGAGGCUACUACAUAAUCAUAUAUGUAUACCCGUAAUGAUUAUGUAACAUAAUAAUCUCCAUAAAUUACAUAUAAAUCCAUCGGUCAUUUUUAAGUACGGAUACCCGUAAUUUUGUAUCAUAGUGCUAACUCGGCAGUUUAUGAAGUGCGGGCGUUCAUUUGGGUGCCUAAAUGGGCAAAAUCAAAACCACGUCGUUUAGGAUUUUGCAUGUUUGGGCACCAACUUUGGACAAACCAGCUUUUAUUUUUUAUUUUUUAUUUAAGAUAUGUGUGUUAGUGAGUGAUACAAGGACUGAACAGGGACUCCACUUUGGCGAAAUGGACCCCCUGAGAAACCAGUGCUUUGCAAUGCAUGUGGAUCAAGGUACAGGUUAAGAGGAACUCUUAUCAACUAUGCACCAAAGCAUCUUCAAAGUGCUUUUCCAUUAAAGAAGAAAAAGAAGAAGCAGCAGGAAAGCAAAAUGAUUAUGAUCAAUAGUUCCAGAACUGAAGAGAAAAUUUAUGAAGUUUCAAGCAGCAGCUGCGAUGAUGCCUAUAUUACUGCAGCUUCAGAAGGUUGUGAGAGUGAUAUUAAUGAUGGGUCAAGUUCUUCAGAAUCCACAACCAUUUCUUGCACUGAGGCUGGAAGCUGCUUUGAAAUUAAUAAACAAGAGGAUGGAAGCCAGCCACCAGGUAAUUUAUUUACCUAAAUAUUCUCUGAAUUUUGCAACUAAAGGGGUUUUGUCACAAUCUUAACCCAAGCUCCUCCUUAUUUGUCGAAAUUAAUCAUUUUUUUUGCUCAUGUUUUAAAACCCACCAACAGUAAUACAAUAUAAUUUCUCUAUCACUUAACACUAGAUUUAAAUUGGAAAAAAUGACCGUUAAAACUUAAAAGAAUAUUAUCAGCAUCAGAGUGGUUUAGCAUAUGGCGGAGAAAUAAUUGAUGAAUCUCACCAAAAUAGAGAGGGAUCUUGGUUUCUUUCCUCAGUUUGCAAUGUUAAUAUAGACAGAAGCAUUGAGUUUAAUGGACAUUAAAGCCCCUUCUCAGUUAUGUGAGCAGGAUUCGAUUAAUUAUUUUAACUCUAGGGAUUUUAACAAUUGGACUAGUUAACAUGCACAAAUAGCAGUAUGCUCUAAGUGGACAAGUUUAUUGUUUGUAUUUUCGUAUUUAUGCAUUGCCAGCAUAUUUUUUUGUCAACAGCUUUAACGUAUUUCAUAUUUAUAAAAGUGCAAUGAGUGCAGAAGAAUAUCAAAACAAUUUUUCAAAUGUAAGAUCAUAGUACAUACCAAAUGAUCAUGAUUUUAUUUCAAAUGAUGAUAAUUCUCUAAUGGUCUAAUUGCAUGCAUGCAGGUGAAAUCCAACAGAGCUUGUGGGAUGUUCAUAUUCCUUCAAGAAAAAGAUCCUUAGUAGUCUACCAAAGUCUUUCCCCAGUUGAAAGGCUUCAAAGAGACCUUAAAAAAAUUCUAAGGCAUCAUCAAGAUCCCAAUUCUAGCAUUAUUUCUGAAUCUCAAGAUGGUGUCCUCCUUUAUAAUCUCAACAACCAAAUAAUUUAUCCCUCCGAAAUUGGUCUCGGAACCAUUCUUCUCAAAUAAUUAAUCCACUAUUUUAGGUACAUAAGGGGUUGUUUGAUAUGAAAGAAAAUAAUAGACAAUCAAAGAGCCAUGAUUGUCAAUUAAAAAUUAAAAUGUAAUUUGAUGUCAUUUUAUUUUUAUAAACAAGAAUUGUUAGAAAUGUUUUACAUAAGCAGUGUUCCUUUGAAGUUACUUUCAGAUUUGGUUUAUUUUCGUUCCUCAACUAAUAAAUUGCUAUUGCCUAUUUGUGGCUCUAAUGAAUAUAUUCAACUCCUUUAAAUGGUAUUGUGUGGCCAACCAGCAGCUUAUUAGCUUUCAGAAGUGAAAAUUACUUGGCAUGUAUAUCCUAUUAAAUUUUACACACGCGUGCACUUUUGUUGUUGCAAAUUUAAAAAACAAGUUUCCCGAAAUAAACUUAAUAACUUAUUACUUUAAAUGAAAACACAUUAACAAUUAGGAAAAAAAAAGUUUGAAGUAUUAUUAUAUGUCGAUGAAUCCAUAAUAUAUGAGUCAUAAAAUUCAACUUAAAAUUUUGAACUAUUGAAAUCAAGCAAUUUAAUGGUGAAUGAAUAACCAUCAGUAAAAUGCUGCUUUGAAUUUCAAAAUCUUUCAUUGGAUUACUUGAAAUUAAUGAUUAAAAAUUUAUGUCAAAAUUUCAAUAUCUUUCUUCUUAUAUCUUAUAUAAUUGGCACCCAAAGCACCCAAUAACAAUACAGAUUUUCCAGAUAAAAUACUCGCGAAACCCUAAUUUUUCAGAACAAGUUAAAGGAGUAAGCAUUAUCUGUAGAGAAGAAGCAAUAAAUUGGGGCUCAACAGGACCAAUGCUACCAGCGUCUGGAAUAAAAUGGGAUCUUCGUAAAGUUGAUCAUUGCCAAGGGAGUUUUGUAGCGCCUUAGACUCCGCAAAAAUAAUCAUAGAAGCACUCUUCUCUGCCAAUUAGUGUCUCAACGGGGAAGAUAAUUAAACAAGAUCUCAAGAUGCAUUUUUGGCAUUAAAAAAAAAUUGGGGAUAGAAAAGAAAAUAAAUACAACAUUUCAAAAAAUGUCAACAAAACAAGAACCAACCAAAAUCAUGCCGUUGGUUUCUUGCAUGCAAAUCUCCGCAAAGAUGCCGGUAGUUCAACUUCCUCGGAUAAUUUUUGCUUCUUUUUAGACAAUGAUUGUUCUUCCUUUAAUUGUUGAUCCAGAAAAGGUCUCUUGGCUUUUGCAACCAGUUCUUGUUUCUUCUUGGCUUUCUUACUCGGUUUAUUCCUACCCUUUGUUUUAUUCUUCCAAACGAAGCCCUUAACGGCCUCAACAGCAGCUUCCAUUUCGUCUUCUCUCUCCUGCUUAGUUGGUUUCUCUUUCUUCUUUGCUUCCCUCACCGUACCAAUCUUAGAUGGAUUCAGCAUGAUUGUUUCAGGUGGGAGCUUGUCAAGAAGAGAGUGCACUUCCUUCUCUCUCCUCUGUUUAGAUGUUUCAAAUGGGUUUGCCACCCAGGAAUCGAAGUUGGGUUCACCUGAUCCGGGAAUAAGAAUACCAGACACACCCAUGGAGUGUCCGAUGCCUAACACAUCUUCAUAUGGGCGAAAUGAAACUUUUCCUAUUUGGUAGCCUUUCACCAUAGAAUAACCCAUGUAUCUGUUAUAGUUAUGAGAUCCAGAAAAAUCUCCAGAAUCUGUACAAAUGAUCCAGUCCCGACAGCAAGCAAACCUUUCCGACUGAAGUCUAAAGUCUUUGCAUGGCCAGGUAAUGUCUGAAGAACCUCAUAUUUCCUCAAGUCCCAAAUCUUAAUUUUACAGUCUUUGCCAGAUGUGGCCAUGAGAUGACCAUUAGGAUGAAAUGCCAACGCUGAAACAGGCCCCUGAUGACAUAGCAUCUUGAUAAGCAGAGCAGCGGUGGUGGGUUUCCACAUGGUUACCGUACCACCAGAAUGACCCAAAGAAACAACCCCAUUGAAGGGAUUCACCCGUAUUACAUCAGUACGGCCUAGACCAGUCCAAAAAUUACCCACAAUCUCACCCAUUGUAACAUUUUGAUAUCGAAGCUGCCCAAGUUUGUUUAUGGACGCCAAGAGAAACUGAAGUUUCAGAACUUCACCAUGUUCCUGCAAGAUUGAAAGAGCAUAAAUUAUUAGUCUUGUUGGGUUGGACUACAUCACUUUGGGCAUUCUCAAAUUUGAACGACCUACAGCUAAAAAGAUCGAAAUCCUACAAGUAAAGCGAACUCGCCUUUGAACAAUGAAGUUCAGUGCCAUCUCGGUUGUAAAAAUAAGGGUACCUGUCAAAAUUUAGAAUUUUUAGCUGUCAUUCAAACAAAGCUACAGAAUUAUCUGAGUCCAUUACAUCAUUGUUCAUAUUGAUAUCUAACCAUGCAAAAUAUAACUUUGAGACUGUCAUCAAAAGAUGGCAAAACAUAAAAACAAUAAUAAAAAUGAAAGCUCAUUUAAGGAACUACAAAACUGCGAGGAAUUGCACUGUGUGUGUGUGUUGUCAUCAGUAACAAAGAAAUUUACUUAUAUGAAUAAAACCAAAUGUCCAAAACAGAGUAUGUUGGGAAUUUGAGAAAAAAAAAAAAAAGAAAGAACUGGAGCACCUGAAAUAGAGCUUCAUAAUGAGUUUGGGUUGAAAAAUAAACUCCAGAAAAACCAAAAACAAUGAAGGAAUGGUAACCUAGGCCAACUCAAACAAGUUAUGCCUUCACGGGGUUCAAAUUUAAGCCAUAUAAAGGAUUUGGGAUGACCAGUUUCCUAUUACAACCGACCAUAACAAGAAAGGAAUGCCAAUAAUUUUCCAAUGUUGUACAGAAAUAUGCAGCAUGCUGCAGAGGAAUAAGGAUUCCUUUAAACAAGUAGUGAUAAUUGAAAGUCUCCAAUUUUGUUCAAAAGAAGAUUGUCACUGACUGGUUAAAAUAAAGCUAAAUCAGGAAAAUAACUAAUCAGUUCUGCACAUGAUUUGUUUUUCCCUCGAAUGACCUCAUGCAGAACGAUCAAUUAGAUUGAUCAAGUUCCAGCGAUAUCCAAUAUAGCCAGCAGUGAAAAUUCAAGUAAGACUCAGACCAAAAUAGACCUCUGGUCCCAGAGACAAAAAAUUCAAUUAAUUCAAAGUGUCUAAUUCUUAUGAAGGUUCCAAAAGAUAUCAGGCAUCAAAUAUAGUUAAUAAUGCAUUCUCUAUAUGAACGAACACCAAUACGUUUAGAGCAUACGAAUUUACUAUUCAUUGAAACAUUAAAAAAUAAAAUAAAACAGGUAUACUUUUUCUGGGCAGCAGCAAAAAACAGCUUAUUGUGCAAGAAGACCACAUCGCGUACUGUUUCUCUAACCUGAACAAACCAACAAACAAUCAGUAUAUCCAUUUAAUCUUCCCAGAUAGAACCUGGAGGUACAAACAAAGAAAAUUACUCCAUUAGAGUAUGCAAAGUAAUACUGAGAUAUCUAACAAACAGUAAGAUAAAUAAAAUAUCAAAUUUGAGUCAUUUGUCCCAGCAUAACCUAUUUUUUAAAAUUCUAAAUAACUUCUUGUUUGUCAACACAUACUAGGUUUCCUAGAUAAACACAAGUAACAUUGCAAUCAGUUUGUCAAGAGAUAUAAGAGGUCUCAUCAAAAGAACAGCAUACCUGUAUUUCUUUAACUAAGUUCAUAUUGUUCAUGUCCACAACAGCUAGGUGCCCCUUGCAUCCAGCAGCUGCCAUAUAUCGACCACUUGACGUAAAAUCCAGAGUAUAUGGACCAAGUUCUGCACAGGUAGGACGAAAACAAAAGUUAUCAUUAGCAAUAUGACACUAGUCAGGCAAUAGACAAAGAAGUAAGUUUUGUUUAAGAUAGUUGCCCAACAGAGCAGUAUGAACAUCAGUGAAUGAACCAUUGAUCAAGCAACAUCACCAAAAGACCAAAUGUACUUUUAAGUCAUUCAGAGGAACCGCAGCAACAAUUUUAUAAGGUCGUGGGCAAUGAAAAUACAUAGCAUAACUAUCUCAAAUUGGAGAGACCAGAAAACCAAAGAAGAAUCCAAAGAUGAAGACAUGGCCCAAAACAGAAAAUUAAAAGGUUGUACCCAAGUGUUGUUGAUCGUAUUACAACCUAACAAAAAGUCCAAGAUUCUACUUUACCAGGCUACAGCCAUAUUUGAUAUUAAGGUUGGGCAACUUUAGCUUUUAAAUUAUAACAUUACAAUGUUCGGUAAAUAUUAACUACUGUGGAUUGAAAGCUAAGUUGUUUUAAUCCACCACUUGCAUGGUGGAAAACCUAUAAUACCCUUAUUUUUUUUCAAAAUUAUUAUUUAAAAGUCAUAUUUUCUACACACUAUUAAGCUACAACAUCUAAACAACAAACAGCGCCUAUAUUUUAUUAAGAAAAGCAUGCAAUGGGAGCCAACUUUUAACUCUAAAGAUAACUCUAGCAAAUUUAAUUAAACAUUGAAGCACAAUUUCCCUUUUUAUUUUCAUAAAAAUUCCUUCUUUUACCAGUCCCUUCAAAGUUGAAUAACAAAAGCCAAAUUACGGAUUUCACUCCUCAAACAGAAAUUCUAGAGCAAGUGUAUGGUGAAGAACUCUGAUCCCAUUCUACUCAUUUUACAAAAUAAAACUCUUUAUUACUUUUCAAUUCCUUAUCCACCUUCCCUUUUCAGCCAAGAUCUCUCCAUAGAUAACAACAUAUUUUCAGCAAACCUUAAAAGAGUUGCAAUGAUUUCAGUAUUUUUCUUUCAUAGUUUCUACAAUUCUCUUAAUUUUUUGCAUUUUUAACUAAUUCAAACAAAGAUAAUAGGUAUGCAACUGCAUAAGACAUGCCACAAUUUCACUAUAGGAACAAGAAAUUUGAAUUUAAAAUUGUCCUUAAAUAGACAAUGAGUCAAACAAAAACUUAACCAAUGGAAACUGGUAGAAAAAUAGUCAGGGAGCAGGCAUCAACCUGGUAACAUGAUAUCAUAUUAAUUUCUGGAGCUUAGGAUAUCUACUUCACGAGCAAUUGCUUCUUGUUUGAUCCGCCAUGUCUUUUCUACACCUUCCGCCUCCAAAUAGCCUCCCUCACUUGGCAUAAGCCACUAGAAGAAAGGAGCAAAAAUUAAUUAAUUAAAUCAUAUAAUUCUUCUCUGAGAGCAAGUUGACCCUUCAAUUUUUGUCUUUUAAAAUCUGCAGAAAUGAAAAGCUUAGAACUGAAUAAAUAUCAUAAAAAAUCAACUCUGACAAGAAAUCUCAAUCAACAAUACCAUACCUCCAAAUUAGCACCCUCUCCUCUGAGAUAUUUCUUGACCUUUGUAUCUAAUUCAUUGGAGAUCUCCUGAAGAUUAAACAUAUAUCACGUCACUUCCUAACUUCGAAAUAGAAACAAUGCGCAUCCAAUAUAAUAAAAAUAUAUUGUUGAACAUCCGAUAAUAAUGAGUUUAUUGAAAAGCAUUAAAGUGCUUUCUGGAAAAGCAUUUUGUUAACUAUUUCCAAAAACAAAUCCACUUCUCGAAAUACUUAAUUCGAUUUCUAAAUAAAUCAAUCAAUCAAUUAAUCAACUGCUUAUGUCAUUCAGAUUAAAGCUUCAAAGAGCGCAGAGAGAAGCAAACCUCGUGAGCGCAAUGAGUUAUUAAACCUUGUGAGCGGAAUGACUUAUUAGAAACACAUCGUAUUGCCUUUAAUCGGAAAAAAAAAUGCAGGAAGUUUCCAAUUUCCAAAGUUAAUUAACUUAAUUAGUAAUCUGACUAUACGCAAAUCUAAGUAAAAGAAACUGCCACGUAAUUGCACACUGAGAGAUAUCAUUGACAUCUCAUGUUUGGUUCCACUACUCUCCUCCUAUGGGUAGAAAAAAUGCACCCAUUAUCGCUUCUUUAUUCAACAUCUACUAACCAACCAAAAGCACAAUUAACUAAAAGGUUGAACCGGGCUUAGACUUCUGGGUUACACAACUAAUUCCUUUUGGUUUGCAUAAAGUCCCACAAGAUACAAACUCUGCUAAUAAUAAUUUGAGAACUAAAGAGUUGAAUAGAUUCCCAUAAUCCACAGUGCAUCUCACCUAGUACAUUAUCAGAGAUGUUCGUAUCAAAUUGUUGAAGAAAAAUCAGUUUUUUUUUUAUUAAUAAAAAACUUUUAGGAUCGAUCUCAUACAAUAUAUAAGAAUUCGUAAUAUAGAAAUCGUACUUUGAAAAUCUUAGAAGAUGACCAAUUUUUGCUUUUUCCGUUGAAGUGAUUUAGGCUUCCAGAUCACGAUCCGUCACCGCCACUCCUGUUAGAUCACGAUCCGCCACCAAAUAAUCUUUCAGGCUAUGACUCAAGUUUGAUCUGCACUUGACGUGUGAGCGCCUUUAUCACCACUAAAGCAACUAAUAAGUUAGAGAGAAAAUUUAUUUUUCUCUGAUAUGUAUAUUGCGACUCUUUCUUUUUCUUUAGAGAAAAUAAACCUUUUUAUAUAUCCCUUUAGUGAAAACCCUAAGCUCCAAAUAAUAAAAACCAAAAGUCAUGUUACUUGCUUUUUCUAUAAGGGUCCACCUUGUAAAAUAACAUAAGGCCCCUUACACACAAGCAUAUUAAAUGGAGCCUCCCACUAAAUGAUAUAUUUAGACUUUUGACCUAAAUAGCUAGUUAUCUUUCUUAUUAAUCCAGUAGUAGUGUAGUCAAUUAAAUGAGCUAACCCGGGAAUCAUAUGAGUACAUACAAUAGUGGCUACAAUAAUUAGGCCUGUAAUUAAACUAGCCCAAUUAUUUAAUUCCAAAUCUACUCCACUAAAAGAUUGGAACUGACCUCCAUAAUUAUAUGCUAUCCAGGAUAGUGUUCUCGAAUAAUAAUUCGACCCAUGCCACAUUGAUUUCUUUACUGCACAAUCAUUUGUACCACAUCGUUAAUUAAAUUGAUAUCUCAACUAUCCAAUCAAUUUAAUAACAUCUUGUUCCUUGAUACUUACUAGUUUUCUCUAAUGAUCAUUUUCAACAUACUAAAUAUGUUGACACACUCUGGCUAGAGAAUUCUAUGAUCAAGUACCGAAAACCCAUCAAGAGAUGUGUUGUACAAAUUCUAUAUUGUUAAUCUAUAACUCCAAUACUUAUAAUUGCUCACACUAAGAUACCGGGUAAUCUUGCCCAUAAGUGUGUGUCGUGCCUAUUGGUAACUCAAAUGGAAUAACAAUUACAAUCAUGAAAUCAUAACUAACUCAAGAUUAAGAUUACAGUAAAAUCAAUGCCUAUGAGAUUUAAUAAGUUUGACAGUCAUUUCAAGGUUAAUUAAAUCUCAUAUGUGAUCCUAUUCAAUGUAGUCGUACUAUAUCAAUAAAUUCAUACAUGAUUAAGACAAAUCAUUCAAUGAAUUUAUUACAGUCUAUACCUAAAUAAAGUAUCCAACUUUAUUUAUCAACUGCGAACAUAAUUUAUUUAAUCAUAAGAUAACUUGUAUUUAUGUCUUCUGUGAAUCGACAUGGUAAUCACAUAAAUACAUAUAAUAUGAUCAAAUGGACUUUACUCAAAAUAUUAAUAUAAUUCAGAUACUUGAAUAAAAUACCUCAUUUAUUUUAUUAAUCAGAAAAAUUAUUUAUUACAAUUAAAUAAACACAUAUGCUUUUAAAGAGCACAUUUUCCCGACACAAAUAACUAAGAUUAGAUCAAUUCAGUUCAAUAUAUUUGGGAACAAAAUAAUUGACAUUUGACAAUUAUUCCAUCAGUAGAAACCAUAAGAUGAAAAUAAAGUUGGUCAAAUUGCACAUAGGGACAAUAAGAACACAAGCCAAACCUGUAUCAAGACAAAGGCUUCAUCCGAUAGACCUUCCUGCAAUAAACAAUAGCAUUUUAAAGACUAGUAAAGGCCAGGUCGGAGCGAUACAAAGCAGGAGGAGAUGGUGCAGUAAGAUUUAUGUAAAUCUGGAAUAUGAAUAAAAAUAUAACUCAAGAAAGAACCUACCUGGGUUGCUUCCAGCUGAGAGGCAUUAUGAUUUUCUCUGAUAUAUUCAUGCAGCAGUCCAGGAAUUUUCCAACUCUGGUCUUGAGAACCAGAGCUUUAUUCGCUAGCCGAUAAUAUCAAAUCCUUGAAAGGGAGGGAGCCAACUGAUCUCAAAGCAAAGUAUUCACAAGCAGUAGUUGAUAAACUGCAAAUCUGCAUUAAAUAUUACAUCCAUUACAUGCCAGCAUUUGCUUUUAAUAAGAAGAACAAAUAAAAUCAAUAAAGAUAUUGUUUAAAGCCAAAGCGUGAACCAGUGGUUGCGCGGCUGUCUGGCUGACGAGGAGGCGACAAUGAAUGGCGCGAGCUCGACGGCUUGAUGAUCGGCGGUCGCCAUCGGCAGCGGGAUGAAUGCGGAAAGCAUGGGAACGCAAAUUUGGAGCACGGGGUUUCAGUUCUCAUUCGUUUUCGAGCUAUUAAGCCUCUUCGCUGGUAGGCUUUUGUUUUAAAAGAUGGUCCUGACCCAGAGAAGCAACAAAGAAAAUGCUGUGAGUUAAAGAGAAUUUUCCAAUGACGAUUGUACCCUUAAAUAAAUAGUUAAAUGUUGAAGAAAAGCACAAUAAUGGGCGGUUAAAUAAUUCCCAAAAAUAAGGGCCAAAAUCAUUUUUUAAAUUUAUAAUACACUUUAAAAUAGUGGUUGGAAAAAGAGUUGGAGCUGGUACCAAUUACGAGUGGGGAAAUUUGCAUUCCAAUGAAUUUGAUUGUGUUAUGAAUUUUUCGGAUUGGGAUAUAAUUCAUUAAAAAAAAAUUAGAAACGAAUAAAAAAUUAAAAGUAGUAAGCAUUUCAUUAAACAAAAUUGCAAAUUCAUAUGUAUUGAAUACAAAUAAACUUAAAACAAUCACUAGAAGCAUAUUGAAAUUAAGAGAACAAUAUAAGACAGCCCUGACGGCUAGGUGCGAUGUAGAUGGAAUAUCUGUUCGUGCCUGGGUGGGUUGGCACGAUGGAACUAUUGACAACUGUCGGUGGCUUAGCGUGGUUAGUGGUAUUUGUUAUCAUUAUUAUGGUGUGUUUACUUGAGGGUUUAGGGAAUGAGAAUGAAGAAAUGAGAAUGAAACCUAUGUUUACUUGACAAAAUGUAAUUUGAGAAUAAGAAUAAAAUGUGUGGGUCUCACACAAUUUGAGAAUAAGGAAUGAGAAUCUUAUUCCCAUGGGGGGUUGUAGGGAUGUCAAUGGGGCAGAAUAGAUCCGUCAUGAAUCUAUAUUUUUCGCUCCAUAUCCAGAUCCAAAAAAGAAAUAAAUAUCUAUAUCUGCUCCAAAUCCAAAAAAAAAAAUUAAAAUCCAAAUAUACUCUAGAUCCGUCAUGAAUUCUAAAACUCAGCAAUAAAAAAAUAAUAAUUUUUUAGAAUGAAAAUUGAAGGCUAAAAUGUUUUGAUAAAAAAUAAAUUAUAUAAUGUAUCUCAAAAUAUAAUAAAUAUUGUAGUUUAUACUUUUACACCAAAACAACAAAUAAGAAAGAUAAUAAAAUAUUUUUCAAAAGUAAUUGCAGGAGUAAGAUCAAUCUAAUAUUAUAUUAUCUCCUUCAUCAUUCUAAUAACCACACACACACACCCACCCUCAUUCUUACAACAUUAGAUAAUGACAUAUAAAUUAAAUAUGAUUUAUAUUCAGUGUUUUAUUAUUUUUAUUAUGGCCAUAUUUGACUAAAUAUAUGAAUAACUAUAUUCCUUAAAAAUUAUUUGGCCAAUAUAGCAAAAUAAAUUACCAAGUUGUAUUACUUGGCUUGCAAUUUGAAUAUUGCAUGUACAUGCUUUAGGGCUGACUGGCCUUUAAAUUUACAAAACUAACCUUUAAGUUUUAAGAAUUUAAAUGCAUGGUAAAUAUCACUAAUAUGCUAUGAAUAAAAUUAAUUAUCAUUAUAAUUCUACAAUUGUUAAGAGACUUUUAAAAUAAAAUUAAAUUAAAAGAUGGGUGGAUAUGGAUAUGGAUUUAGAUAUUAGGAUAGAUCCAGACCUACUCCAGAUUCGUCUUAGAUCCGCACAUCAAUAUCCAAAUCCGAUCCAAAUUCAUUUUAAACCGAUCCAAAUCCGAUUCGAUUGGAUUUGGAUCACGUGGAUCUUGGAUCAGAUCCAAUCCAUUGCCAUCCCUAGGGGGUUGGGAAUGGGAAUGAAAUUCAUGUUUACUUUUGUAUUUCUCUAAUUUUUUUAUAUUUUCUGAAUUAUCCUCGUUCAAAUCACAAUUAAUUUUAUUAUUUUAAAUGUCAUUAUUAUUAUUAUUAUUAAAUUUUAUUAACUUUAUUAUUAAUUAUUGUUAUUAUUAUUUUUAUUAAUAUUAUCAUUUAUUAUUAUUAUUAUUUUUAUUUUUUUAAUUAAUAUCAUUUUAUAAUAAUAUUUAUACAUGUAUCUAGUUAAUGAAAUUACCUUAUUUAAUACUAUGGGUAUUUUGGUAAAUUGAUUCUCAUUCCUCAUUUUCAUUUAUUUUGCCAAGUAAACACAUCAAUGGCAUCCCAGCACAUUCACAUUCCCAUUUAUUUUUGCCAAGUAAAUAUCGGAAUCUCAUUCUCAUUCCCCAUUCUCAUUCCAGCUCAUUCUCAUUCUAUCUCAUUCUCAUUUCAUGAAGUAAACACACCAUUAUUCUUUUAAUCUCGAAAGGGUUUGUUAGAAUUAGAAAUUAGGCUUUAGUUUUGUCUUAGUUUUAGGAUGCAUUAUUUUUUUGUUUUACUUUUUUUAAUUUUGAGAUCUAAUCCAAUCUAAUUUAACUCGAUCUGAACAUAAAACAAUAAAAAUUAUCUAAACAGUUCUCAAUUCAAAUAAGUUCAAUUAAAAUCUGAAUUUGUAUGAAUUAGAAUAAUGGCAAGAAAUCAAAGUUUGGAUAUGUUUUGAGUAACUUUGAAUAGGUCCAAAUCUGAUAAGAUCAGUAAAAAUUAUCUAAACUCAAUCGAAUAGAUUUGAACCGUUCAGGUUCAAAUCAGAUAUGGUUCUACAUACGUUGUGUGAAACAUCAAAUUUCACAACGAAAACUCUUUUCUUGUUCAAAGAAACAAAGAAAAAGGAUAGUGUUGACACCAUAAGUUUGGCCUAACAAUAAGAUCGGAAUUAAUUUGGGAAUGGACCCAUAAUUCCUCGAGAUGAUUACUCAAGAGGUCGGAGAUUGAGAUGCUUUGAUCUACAAGAGAAAAAAAACAGUGAGGGUUGUGUUGGAGUUACUAUCAAUGAAGACCUUUCAAUGCUUAAGCCCAAAAUUGGGAGCCUCGACAAUAACAAUUGUAAAUGUUUGAGGAAAAUGUGUAUGCUAACAUGGACUAAUGAGUUGAUUAUACAUGGCGAAAGAAAGUCAACCAAAUUAGAGUCAGCUCAUUUGACUGAAUAGUGGUAUAGUUUACAAAGGUUAAAAGAUAAGCUCCAUGGGAAAAAGGACAGUUUCGAUAAAUAUAUUUCCAAGCGGUAUUAUCAGAACUCAAAUUUUGUUGGUUGGAGCUAACAAGUAAAUAGUGCACUCCAUCAUGAGAAAAAAUAAAAUAUCUUCUUUUUAACUAAGAAUAAGGAAACAAUAUGAAUAAAGAUUCUUUGAGCAAAGCAAUAAGAGGGGACCAUGUCAGCUAUCCUUUACUAACCCUUGAUAAACAGAAUACCCUUAGGAACAAGGUUGAGAGACUGCCAUGUGCCCAGCUACGGAGGCAAAAAUGUAACUGAAGGUUUUCUUACAUCCCAAGCUUAUGGAAGUCACCAUCAAAGAACAAAAAAUUGAAUUAAUAAAAUAACCUCACUUAAGAGCAAAAAGGCUAUUGUCAAAGAUUCAAGCUUCCUUGAACCUUCAGGCCACUGUUUCAUUGUCCAAUACCUUACUUGAGAGGAGGAUAUCUCUCUCUUUUUCCUCUAUCCACCUCUUGGGAGCUUCUUUCCAAAUCUGAUUUCUUGAAAAGUUACUUCAUCUUUUUCUUCCUCUACUUCUAGGGUUUUUCCCUCCAUGUGUUUAUAUCUUCAUGGAAGAUCUUGACUACCUCACCUCUUAAAAGAGUUUUUUCCUUUAUUAUUCUACUAGAAAACUCUCUAAUUUUCAUAAGACCGACAUCUUCCUCAUACUAGUAUUCACCAUAAACGACCUUUAAUGAGGUUUUGUUGAUAUUAAGAGUUGGCCUGCCUAAGGCCACGUUUCAAGAACUUAAGAGAUGUUUCAAGCUCCAGACUAAUCCAAAGGAGCAUGAGGGCUGGUUUUAUCCAUCAUCAUGGCCCAAAACGAAAAGGUUGGUUCAAAAUCUACUGAUCAUAAAUAAAAAUUUUAAAGAUCGAUGGCUUUGGGCCUUAGGAGAUUGCAACCAAUUCGUUAUACAGAAAAAGACAAACAAAGUACCAAGUGUAUUUAGACAACUAGGUCUGGUUUUAGUUAGUACUUAAAACAUACAUAGAGGUAUGAGCGUUCAUAACAAACAUAAGUACAUGUCAUGCAGUUUUGUGAGGUGAUCAAUCAAAGGUAUCACUGCAAAUUCGAACAAAUAUUAGAAAAGCACUGCAAUACUGCAAUUCGUACAUAGUAGAGAACUUUCAAGUGAAUGGACUUGUGGAUUUGCAAGAGGCUAAGCCAACACGAUAUGUGAAGAAAAAGAGAAAGGAACUGACCUGAUCAUAUGAGCUAUGCUCACAUAAGAUGUAAGAUAAAAUAUGCAAUUACUAACUGGGAUAGUGGGAUAGCAAUGACCACCACCUGUAGCGGGUUUGUUAUUAUCGAACCCACACCGUCAAAAAAAUUUAAAUUACCAAAUUUAUUUGCAAUCUGCUGUGGGUUUUAACAAUUACCAAGUACAUUUAAAACCUACAAUGAAUUUUGCUUGUAACCCACAGUGGCUAUAAUAGCAAUAAAUUUAUUUUAAAUUAGCAUGUUCUGCCCAUAACCUGCAAUGGCAGCAUAAGCAAUAGAUUUAUUUUAAAUCAUAACACAUCUAGAAUUAUAGUGCAAUAGAUUUAUUUUAAAUCAUAACACAUCUAGAAUUAUAGUGCCAUAUUACUAUUGCAUACAAAAUAUACUAUUACAUUCAAGAAUAUUAUACUUUUCCUAUUACAUUAUUACUAUUGCAUUAAAAAAAUUAGAUUUAUCUAAACAUUUCUAUAAAAAUAUACUUUUACUAUUUGCAUACAAAUAUGCAAUUAACUCUGCAGUAAAAGUUAUGCUUAUACUUGAGCUUUUGAUUAGAUUAGUAGUAGCCAAGUUUAGGUUGAUUUUUAACCCAAACCAACUAAUUUAAGACAAACCAAUUUCAACUAAUAUAGUUGUCUUUUUAUUGAUAGCUACACAAGUGUAUUUAAAAAAAAUAUAUGCAUAUGUUCUAUGAAAAGUGAAAAGAACGACAUGAAUCAAUCUAGCGAUAGCAAUUAUUUAUCUUUAUAAUUAAAUAUUUUUAUAAUUAAGAAGAUUAUGUCAGGUUUUGAACAACAAAUGGCCACUGAUAACUUAGUUUAUGUAUUUUUAUAAUUAAAUAUUUUUAGUGAAAUUUUAAUAAUUAAAAUUUAUAAAAAAUAAUUAAAAUAAAAUUAUGGAUUGGCAGAAACCCAUGAAUAUCCGCUGAAUUUUUUAUUAAUACCAAACUCACCCACAACUCGCACCGAAUUUAAAUUUGUAAUAGCAAUCUCAUCUGCAGCCCACAAAAUUACCAGUAACAAAUGGUUUUUUGGUUGGUAGGUUCGGACAGAUUUAGGGAUUUGUGGGUACCAUUGUCAUCCCUAUCAUUGACCCCAUGCUGUCAACAAGAACCGUAUAAUCAAGUAUUUUUGGAAAACUAAAGAAAAGGACCCACUAGGAGAUGGAUCCAAAAGAUGGAGGUUCAAAGCAAACAUCCAAUAUAGUUGGGGCACAAACACGAAGACAACCCCUCGCAGCAUGCCUGACAAUAAUGGUACCAAUUUUAGCAUCAACUGUGCAUAAUGGAAAUUCAGCAAUCAUUGUUAAACAAAAUCUGACCGAGACAAAGAAAAAAGAAAUUGCUUUGAGCACACCCGACAUGUGGUGUAUUUUACUAAAGCAUACGUGUACAGAGAAAGAGCUCGUAUGAAAUCCUUUAAUGGAGUGUGAUCAAGAGGUAAUACAUAAAAUUUAAAACGUAUUAAAGAUUCAAAGUAUAUGAAAAUAUUAUAAUAGAAGUAUAAUAGAUCUAACCUUUGCUUAUGGCCAGGCAAAUUAUCGUAGAUGUAGGCUUAGGCAAUACCAUGACCAUCUGAUCAAACAUGGAAUAAAGGGCAUUGCUAUCCUAAAUAAAUUGAAGAGCAACAUGGCAGAGAUGAAAGCAAAGGCCGAGAAAAAAUUUAAAGCACAUGAGAGCGAAAAAAAAAAAUAAUAAAAAAAUAAAAAAACUAAGGCAAGGACAGAAAAAGCUAGAGGAAAAGGCUCUUCGUUGGGAAGAAUUAAUCACAAAAUUGAAGAGAACGAACAGUUAAUUCGAAAAAGAAAAGCAGAUCGAAUGUGACGAAGGUACUUUGCUGGUGGAGGAAAAACACCCUGGCAUAGAUUUAAAGAGCAUCAAGGAAGAGAUCGGAGUCUCCAAGACUAAAAUACAAAAGCAGCUAAGGCAAGUGACCAGAGAAAGAAUGAAGGGAAUAGAUGCGGAAACAAUGGUUCUCCAGAAUAAGGAUGCCCCAUCAACCUAAAUUGAUAUUAAGGAAAAGCAAUCAGCAUGUAAUAGCUAUAUAAUUUUGAAUUAAUAGUGAUGUAUGAUUUGAACAACCAGCAAGUUAUUUGUGAAACUUGUGGCAUUGCAUAUAUUUCAUAUCUUAUUUCACAUUGAUUAAAUGUAUUGUAUUAAAAAUAUAUUUUAGAAGCCAGAAUUAAAAUUUUAAAAAUUAUGCCGCGAAAGCACUACAAGAAAUAAGAUUAUAUAGCGAAAGGGCUACAAGAAAUAAGAAUUAAAAUAAGAACAAAAUUAAGAACUGGAUCAUAAAUAAUGCUCGAAGUUUAAUUUCGUUAGGGGUAAUACUUGUGAGGCAUUGCAGCAUUAUAUUUCUUAUAAUUCUUCCAGACGUUUUUGCCAUCAGGUCCCUCAAGUUGAUAAGUCCCAGGGAAAACCAUUUUCAGCACAUUGCAAGGUCCUUCCCACUUAACCAUGAGGCUUCCCUUCUCAGUAAUGUAACCUCGUUAGAAGAUUCAAAACCAAUGGAAACUAAUUUAGCCAUAAGCAUGGCUCUUGCCAAAGGAAUUCCAAUGCCGAGAUUGUGUCAAUCCAUAUCCAAUGAAAACAGCAUCAUCAAGGCAGACAAACCCCUCAAUCAAAGUAAAUCUACAUCAUCUAGAAUCAAGGAAAUCUCUAAUGGCUAGUUAAUUGAAAUUCCUGACUGUAUGAAAUUUAUUUUUUCAUUUUUUAUCUCUUUGUAUUUUUGUGUAAAUAUCGUACAUACUCUUGUAUUUAGUACAAUAAGUGAAAUACAACUUUUAUUUACAAUAACAUUGUUUCUUUCAUGGUAUCUGAGCCUUAUGGCCUCAACAGCUCAAUCCUCGCGAAAAGAAACCAAACUUACUCUCCAAACCUUUCAUCAAUGCUCAAGCUUAAUAUCAUCAAGUUUCAUCUAAGAAUUAUCUCUUGUGGAGGUCUCAAGUGCUGCUGAUGAUCCAAAGCAUCAGCUUAGAAUAUCACAUAACUAAUUAGAACAUCACAUGACUAUCAAAGAAGGAGAAAAAGAAACUGCCAAUCCCGAGUUUACAACAUGGCUUAACAAUGACGUAUUUGCUGAAAACAUGGCUGAGGGAGAUGAUGAUGGAAGAUACGCUGGCCUUAGUUGUUGGAUGAGAAGCUGCAAAUGAAGUUUGGUUCACCAUUAAAGAGCAAAUGUUUCCCGUCACAACAAAAAAAAAAAAAAAAAAAAAAAAAAAAAAAACAAGAAACUUGACUGAAAGACAACCUUUAUUGACUGAAGAAAGAGUCUUCAGGGCUAGAAGAAUUUCUCCGAAAACUCAAAAGGGAUUUCCGACAACUUAGCAACUAUUGGAAACCAUUUGCAAAUGAGGACAAAGUUUUACGAUUGCCCCAUUCACUUAGUCCAAAGUAUGCCAACUUCAAAACAGCCAUGCUCACGAAGCCUCCGUAUCCAAGCCUGAAACAAUUCCUCCUUGCCCUAAAUAACCUUGAACAAUCAUGGCCUAAAAGAAAAGAACACAUCAGACAUAAACGAAGCCUUUUUUGGGCAAAGGGCAAAAGAAGAAAUCAGCAUGGCGGUAGGUUCAAUGGUCGUGGCAAAAGACAAAAUCAAGGAGGAAGAAACACAUCACACUUACUGAUGUGCUAGUAAUUUAUAUAUUAUUUAUAUAUUUUCUUUAAAUUAAUUUUAGGUUAAAUUAUAUUUUAUUAUAUUUUAUUAUCUUAAUUUUUAUAUUUUAGGUGUAUUUUGGGAAUAAAGAGGAAUUAAAUCAAAAUAUUCAAAUAAGGAGAUUUUAAAGAAGAAAUUAAUUGGAGAUUUAAGGAAAGUAAUGGGAGUUAAAAUGGAAAAAAAAUCGAAGUAGCCAAGGCUUAAUUGAAGUUCGCGUGAAGAUGAGAAGACUUAGCAUUGGAAAUAAGUUAAUUAAUAAGGCAAAUCAUAUGAAGAACGAAUUAAAAGAAGAAAGCAUUCUUGUGAUAGGCUUUGGCCAAAUCUUUAUUAGCUUAUUAAUUGAAUAAGUCACGUGCAUGCAUGAAAGAAUAAGGCGGCUUGGCUUUUGUUUUUAAUUCUUUCCAUAUAAGGAUUUAAAGGCCACAAUUGAAGCAAUAUAAAAGGGCCAAGCGGAAGCAACGGAGGACGGAAUUAAGAGAGGAGGGCAGCCGCACGAAAUUGGAGCCAAGAAGAAAAAAAAAAAUAGAACAGCAGCCGCAAGUCUUAAGCCAAAACCGAGAGCAGCAGGAGCAAUUUGGAGGAGGAAGAAGACGCUAAGCUUAAUUCUUGAGUUUUUCUUUCCCUUGUCUCUAUUAUCUUACUUGAAUGUUCCUAAUUAAAUUUAGGAAAAUUAUCAUUUGUAUACCCUUAGUUUACUCCAUUAUCAAAAAUACUACAACACUUUGAGGGUGUAUCAAUCGUCCACCCUAAGUUGACAAAAUGUAUCAGCUGACCACCAAACCGUUAGUUGCCGUUUAAGUAUGAUGACGUCAGAAGGGUAAUUUGGUCUUUUCAUAUGAUACAAGUGAUAAUUUAAGGGUAUACAAGUGAAAAAAAGAGAAUUUAAGGGUACACAAGUGAUAAUUUUUAAGGGUAAAAUCGUCAAUUCACUGUAACUCCGUUAACUUUCAAACGACAACCAACGGUUUGGUGGUCGGUUGAUACAUUUUGUCAACUAAGGGUGGACGAUUGAUACACCCUCAAAGUGUUGUAGUAUUUUUUAUAACAGAGCAAAUAUAGGGUAUAUGAAUGAUAAUUUCCCUUAAAUUUAUGAAUUCUCUUUAUAUUCUCAUGAACUAAUUUAUUUUGUUAGAGCUACGAUGUAGCCUAACUAUGAAGAUUUAAUUCCAUAAAUUUAUGUUAUUUUUAAUUUAUUAUUCCAUGGUUGAAUGUUCAUUAUUGUGCUUAAUGCUUUUAAAUAUCUGGCCAAUAUUUGAAUGACUUGAGGAUACAUAAUGAGACCGAGAGGAGAUUUAUGUAUUUUUACUUUGUGUAAUGGAUGCCAUGAAUUGAAUGAAAGACAGAGAUGUGCCAACGUGAUUCGUAUAGUUUUAUCUAAGAAUUUCCAUAAAACUUAUUGAAUCUUUGCAUGUUUAAAUUCACAUAGAGAUAUAGUGGGUUAAUAUGUGAAGGUAUUUUUGAUAUUACUCGAGAGAGGAUAUUGAAUAGACUAGGGAAAUUCACUGUCAACAUGGGUAAUGAACUUUAAUAGUAUAGAUGGAGGAUUAAAUUGGAUUGGUCAUGGUGAAAUCGGAUGUCCUAGUGUUUUAAUCGCUUGGUAUUUUUUGUUACUGCAUGCAUCUUUAUUUAAUUUUUAGUUAUUUUAUUUUAUUUUAUUUUAAAUUGACUUUAUUCGAUUGUUCGAAUAAAUUAGGGUUAGAAUAAUUUUGGUAGCUAAUAGGAUAUACAAUCUCUGUGGGACGAUACUCUACUCUUCAUUAUAUUACUUGUGCCGACUAGUACACUUGCUAAUUUAUGCAUCAAGUUUUUGGCGCCGUUGCCAGGGAUUGUUUGGAUUAGUAUCGAUACCAAAUAACCUUAGUUUAAUUUGAAUUUUAUUGUUAUUGUUAUAUUUUAAUUUUCGUUUUCUUGUCUAAUUUUAUGAGACAUUCAAGAAGUUUUGAUUUAUUGUCUUUUGAUCCAGAGAUUAACGUACUUGUAGAAGGCUUUAUAGAGAAAGGAGAGAAGCUUUACAAGAGCAACAACUAAUCAUGGCUAACGAACCAUUACACGAAAAUGAGGAUACGAGACCUUUAAGAGACUAUGUUGUUCCUACAGUUAAUGGUGCUCGCUCAAGCAUUGCACGCCCUGCUGUUCAAGCCAAUAAUUUUGAAAUCAAGCCAGCCAUAAUCCAGAUGAUUUAGACGUCAGUACAAUUUGCUGGGAUGCCAAAUGAUGAUCCAAAUUCUCAUAUUGCAAAUUUCUUAGAAAUUUGUGACACAUUUAAGCAAAAUGGUGUUUCAGACAAUGCUAUCAGGCUAAGGCUUUUCCCGUUCUCACUAAGGGAUAAAGCAAAAGAGUGGUUGAACUCACUCCCUGCUGGAACAAUCACUAUAUGGGAUGGUUUCGUACAUAAGUUUUUAGCAAAGUACUUUUCUCCAGCAAAAACAGCCAAGUUGAGGAAUGACAUCACAACCUUUGCUCAGUUCGAGAUGGAAUCAUUAUAUGAAGCGUGGGAGAGAUACAAAGACCUACUAAGAAAAUGCCCACAUCAUGGUCUAUCAGUUUGGCUUUAGGUACAAACAUUUUACAACGGUUUAGGAUCCAAUACCAAAACAAUGAUUGAUGUUGCAGUGGGAGGAACGUUAAUGGGAAAAACACCAGAAGCAACUUACGAAUUAUUAGAGGAGAUGGCCUCCAACAAUUACCAGUAGUCUUCAGAGCGACCUAUAUCAAAGAGACCGACAGGAGUCCAUAAUGUUGAUGUGGUCAUUGCUUUAUACGCAUAGAUAACUGCUAUUCGUAACAAGUUGGACAAUAUGAAUAUUCAAACUCAACCACAAGUGUGUGAAUUAUGUGGAGGGAAUCAUACUAGCGUCAAUUGCCAAGUUGGAAGUCUUUUUGCACCAUCAUCUACUGAACAAGCUCAUUAUAUGUCAAACUUCUAGAGGCAACAAAAUAACCCAUAUUCUAAUACCUACAAUCCAAGCUGGAGAAACCAUCCAAAUCUAUCAUGGAACAACACUCAGAAUGCAUUGGCACCACCUCCAGGGUUCCAACCACAAGAAAAGAAGUCAAACUUAGAAGAUGCUCUUACCCAGCUUACAACAAAUAUGUCUCAAUUCAUGACUAAAACAGAGACAACUUUUCAUAAUCAAGCUGCAUCAAUUCGGAACCUCGAGGUACAAGUGGGUCAGAUUGCAAACUUGUUAUCCAGUAGACAACAUGGCUCUCUGCCAAGCAACACCGAGACAAAUCCAAAGGAGCAAGUUAAUGCAAUUAUACUUCGGAGUGGUAAACAACUUGAUAAGCCACGAAAAGAAGCAAAGAAAGUUGAUGAAGAACAAGCUGAAGACACCACCAAGGUUUCAAAGGCAGCAAGUUCAGAUAUACCACAACCUAAACCAGCAGCACCAGUCAAGGCCUAUGUUCCUCCAACCCCUUUUCCUCAGCGUCUCCGGAAAAAUAACAUAGAUAAGCAAUUUUUAAAAUUUCUUGAUGUGUUUAAGAAAUUGCAUAUUAACAUUCCUUUUGCAGAUGCUUUGGAAAAAAUGCCGCUUUAUGCCAAAUUUAUGAAAGAAAUGUUGUCCAACAAGUGGAAACUUGAGGAGCAUGAAAUUGUAAUGCUGACUGAGGAUUGCACUGCCAUUUUACAAAAUAAAUUGCCACUAAAGCUGAAAGAUCUGGGGAGUUUUAAUAUUCCAUGCACUAUUGGAAAUUGUUAUUGUGAUAAAGCUUUGUGUGAUUUAGGUGCAAGCAUUAAUUUGAUGCCUUUUUCUGUUUUUAAGAAAUUAGGUUUGGGUGAACCUAUGGCAACAACUGUUACCCCCCAAUUGGCAGAUAGAUCUAUAAAGUAUCCAAGGGGCAUAGUUGAGGACGUGCUUGUGAAGGUUGACAAGUUUAUAUUCCCUGUAGAUUUUAUUGUCUUGGAUAUGGAUGAAGAUAUAGAGUUACCUCUUAUUCUAGGCCGACUAUUCUUAGCUACAGGAAGAGCUUUGAUUGAUGUUCAGGAAGGGAAAUUGAUUUUAAGAGUUCAAAAUGAGCAAGCUUUUUUUUUAUGUGUACACACCUAUCAAGUAUCCCACUGAACUCAAAGAAUGUUUCCAAGAAGACACUAUGGAUAUAAAAAUGGCCAAACCAUUUAAGGAUGAGCAUCUAUCUGACCCUCCUAACAUUUAUACAAUACAUAAGCAGUAUAUUAAUGAAGAUGCAUCAUCUCAUUUUCGUGGGAAGAGACCUAAUUGCAAGAAACUCGGGCAAGGUCCAUCCAGAUCAUCUCCUUCCAUCCACGAGCCUCCUUGAACCAUCUCUUCGAAGACGGUCAAGCUAAUGACUAUAAAUAAAGCGCUUCUUGGGAGGCAACCCAAGCUUUCUAAACUUUAUUAUUGCCAAUAUUUCCUUUUUUUUUUUUUUUUGUUUUCUUUUACUUUUUUUGUUUUUAGGAUUUUGCACAAGUUUGGGGGUCGACGAACGUUGACUUUUCACAUGCCUUUCAACGACUCAACUGGAAGGUUACAUCUUCAAGUGCAAAAUUGAGGGAGUUUCUCUUUUCCUUUUCUUUUUCUUUACAUUGAGAACAAUGUUUAUUUUAAGUUUGGGGGUGGGAAUAUUUUCUUUCAUUUAUUAUUAAAAAAAGAUAGAUUUUAAUGCCUAUAAUGAGUUUAUGGUUGAAAAUGAAUAUGGUUCUGAGAAAGGGAUGAAUAUUGUCUUAGUUUAUACUUGAUUCUUGUGUUAGUUUCGUCUUCAUUGUGAUUCUUUAAAUAACUUGCGCACUUAUAUCGAUUCUUUCAGAAUUUUGACUUGAGAUUUGAGAUUGAUACAGCCUGAGUUGAGAAUUUUAGAUUGACUAAAUAAAUGUUUGCCUCGAUUCUACAUUACUUAAGUUUACCUAGGCACCAUAGUCAGAAAUAGGUACCUAUAACCCUUAAGAGUGAAGCUAUCUUUGAGUAAUUUGGGCCUAUGUACCACCAGUAUGUAGAGGAUAAUCUACCAUGAGAAGAAGGCUACCUUAAGGGGUAUAGUGAAAGCUCCUGACUAUGGACAAAAAGAAAAAAAAAAAGCAUGUGCUUCAAGAAAAAUCAAAAUAAAAUGCAAAUUUAUGCCUGUGAAAAAAAAAAUCAAGAUGAUGAGGUUAGUUUGACCUACUCUGUUUAUUAUUCAAGACAAGGGCUGUUGAUAUUGAAGAUUUUGAGAAUGAGUUGUGAUUGAAUUGAUUCACACACAACACAAGGAUCCAGUAUGAGAUGAGGCUAGCCAUUGAAUUAAAGUUAGAGCUUUGCCAAAUUUUUUAAUUUUCUUUUAGCUAUAUAUUUUAUGCAAUCUUUGAGGCAUUUUUCAUGAUGUUUGUGGGUAUCAUCGCUGGAAAGCCUCACGAGACUAUAACUCGUCCACUAGGGCCGCUUAGGGGUUUAACGGCUUGUUGCAUACGCUAAAUGCAAUCGCGAUCACCUGCGAAAGUGGUUUAGUUAGAAUUUUCUUUUCGUAGUUUUUAUUUUAGUUUUUGCUCGAGGACUAGCAAAAUGUUAAGUUUGGGGGUAUUUGAUGUGCUAGUAAUUUAUAUAUUAUUUAUAUACUUUCUUUCAAUUAAUUUUAGGUUAAAUUAUAUUUUAUUAUGUUAAUUUUAUCUUAAUUUUUAUAUUUUAUUAUUUUAGGUGCAUUUUGGGAAUAAAGAGGAAUUAAAUCAGAAUAUAUAUAUUCAAGUAAGGAGAGAUUAAAGAAGAAAUUAAUUGGAGAUUUAAGGAAAGUAAUGGGAGUUAAAAUGGAAAAAAAAAUCGAAGCAGUCAAGGCCUAAUUGAAGUUCACGUGAAGAUGAGAAGACUUAGCAUUGGAAAUAAGUUAAUUAAUAAGGCAAAUCAUAUGAAGAACGAAUUAAAAGAAUUUAAGGAAAGCAUUCUUGUGAUGGGCUUUGGCCAAAUCUUUAUUAGCUUAUUAAUUGAACAAGUCACGUGCAUGCAUGAAAGAAUAAGGCGGCUUGGCUUUUGUUUUUAAUUCUUUCCAUGUAAGGAUUUAAAGGCCACAAUUGAAGCAAUAUAAAAGGGCCAAGCGGAAGCAACAGAGGACGGAAUUAAGAGAGGAGGGCAGCCGAACGAAAUUGGAGCCAAGAAGAAAAAAAAAAAAGAAUAGAACAACAGCCGCAAGUCUUAAGCCAAAACCGAGAGCAGUAGGAGCAAUUUGGAGGAGGAAGAAGACGCUAAGCUUAAUUCUUGAGUUUUUCUUUCCCUUGUCUCUAUUAUCUUACUUGAAUGUUCCUAAUUAAAUUUAUGGAUUCUCUUUAUAUUCCCAUGAACUAAUUUAUUUUGUUAGGGCUACGAUGUAGCCUAACUAUGAAGAUUUAAUUCCAUAAAUUUAUGUUAUUUUUAAUUUAUUAUUCCAUGGUUGAGUGUUCAUUAUUGUGCUUAAUGCUUUUAAAUAUCUAGCCAAUAUUUGAAUGAUUUGAGGAUACAUAAUGAGACCGAGAGGAGAUUUAUGUAUUUUUACUUUGUGUAAUGGAUGCCAUGAAUUGAACGAAAGACAGAGAUGUGCCAAUGUGAUUCGUAUAGUUUUAUCUAAGAAUUUCCAUAGAACUUAAUAAAUCUUUGCAUGUUUAAAUCCACAUAGAGAUAUAAUGGGAUAAUAUGUGAAGGUAUUUUUGAUAUUACUCGAGAGAGGAUAUUGAAUAGACUAGGGAAAUUCAUUGUCAACAUGAGUAAUAAACUUUAAUAGUAUAGAUGGAGGAUUAAAUUAGAUUGGUUAUGGUGAAAUCGGAUGUCCAAGUGUUUUAAUCUCUUGGUAUUUUUUGUUACUGCAUGCAUCUUUAUUUUAUUUUAAUCUAAAUUCGCUUAUUCGAUUAUUCGAAUAAAUUAGGGUUAGAAUAAUUUCAGUAGCUAAUAGGAUAUACAAUCUCUGUGGGACGAUACUCUACUCUUCAUUAUAUUACUUGUGCCGACUAGUACACUUGCUAAUUUACGCAUCACUUACCAAAAUGUGCCUUACCAAAAUCAAAACCAUAACAGCAUACUCAACAUGGAAACCAGAAUCCUCCACCGUUCAACAAUUAAAAUUUACACAAAACUAAGGGAGAUUAAAAAAGAUACAACAAUAAUAAGUCAAGAAUGAUCUAUCAGAUUUGUGGCAAAACUAACCACAGUUCUGCAGUGUGUUAACACAAUAUGACUAUGUGUAUGUCGAAAAAGAGAAAGAAGCUCCACAAGAAGCCGUUGAGGCAAUGAAUUCAACAAUUUUUUGCUGAUUCGAGGGCAACUGCACAUAUGACAAACAACGCAGGUAAGCUUAAAAGAGCCAUUCUAUAUAAAGGUUGUGAUAAGAUCUUUGUUGGCAAUGGAAAACGUUUACCAUUAUCACAUCACACAUUGAAAAAACUUUGUUAGAGACUACACAUGGGCAUUAAUACUUGACAAUAUUCUUCUUGUUCCUAAUUUGACCCAAAAAAAAAAUUCUCUCUACUAGUCAACUUACUGAUGAUUCUGGUGUAAUGUUGAGUUUAAUAUUUCCUUAUUUAUUGUCAGGAAGAAGGAGAACAAAGUAAUGGCACGAUCGAGGACAAAUAGAAGGGAAUUUUUUAUUUUUUUUAGGUAACACUACUAGAAAAAUGGUCUUUACUGACAUUAGAAUGGUGUCAGUAAUUACUUUUAGUGACACUUAUUAAUUGUGUCAGUAAUCUGGCAGUCAGAAAAAUCGUGACACUUGUAAGUGGUGUCAGUGAUUACUAUUACUAUAGUCUCACUAAAAUCAUAACACCAUAGUAUUAGUAAUUAUUGAUAUCACAUUAGUGUCUAUAAUUACUGUUACUAUAGUAUCACUAUUUAAUUUAUUUAAAAAAAAAUAAAAAUUUGAAUUAGCUCAUUGUGUAUUCAUUUAUUGGUAAAAUUAAAAAACACCACAAAGUAACCAAAAAAAACUUAAUUUAUAUUAUAAAAUCUUUCAUUUCAUAUUUAAAUAUUAUUAGUACACAUUACAAAUUCCAAGACUCCAACAAACAAGAGAUGAGAAAUCCCACUCUCAUAACUGAAUAAUCUAAAUUAAAUACAUAAAAAUUUCUGCCACAUCCAAUCAGAUGCCUACUAGUUGUGGCUAAAUUUAACAUUUCUAGAAGCUAAAAUGAAAAGGAUGAUUGCCUCCACUCUUUGAACAUAAGUAGUGCAAUUACGUUAACACCAAUAGUAGCUUCUCCAUUCUCCAUUCAAUAGUGGAUGGGUUAGAAUACAAGUGAAGUUGAGGAAAAAGAAACUUCAAACACAUUGAUCAAAUCUGCAAAUGAAUACAUGGAAAAGGGAAAAAAAUUGCCUGUUAAUUUCCAACCAUGAGAGAGAAACAAUGGUUAAUAGAAAUAAACUUUUGUCAUAUUUGUGAUUUUGGCAAAUUUCUAUGUUUAAAACCAUAAUGUUCCCUAUAUCUUCAACUAGAAACAGUGGUUGUUGGAUUUCAAGUUUUUCAAAAUAGGGAAACUGAACCCAGUAAGCUUGUGAAUAUUUGCAUCUUUACUAAAUAUACAUAAUCAUUCAACGGUGAAUAAUUACUAUGAUAAUAAAAAUAGUUCAUACAGUACACUGCAUUGCAUAAUUCAAGUACAUAUAUACUUUUAAGUCUAUUCACACAAUCAAUGCAAAUUACAAAUUCAAACAAAAAAUGAAACCAAAGCAAAGUGAUAUAGUGUCUAUUAGGGAAAAAAAACUAAAAAAUCACGGCAUCUGCCAUUUCAUUUGCGAAUAUCAAAUUCACAACACAAAACUCGAACAUAAAAAAAAAACUUGAUUUAACAAAAAUAAAAAAUGACGUAAUUACCAUUAAAUUGAACUUUAUAACUUAUAAUCUGACUAUAAUUAAUCCAAUGGCAGUUAUGGUUGAGAUGAUAUUUAUCCUAAUUUAUUUCCCACAAUUGCAGUUACGGUUGCAUACAAAUUAUUGUGAAAUCUAUUUACUUCAACUUUAUAACUUAUAAUCUGACUAUGGAAUGGUUAUUUUUAUGAAUAUUGGCUUAUAAUCCUUCCUUUGCACAUGGAAGAAAGAGUAGAAACAUGCAGCAAUCAGAAUACAGAGCCCAUGCUUUGUAAGCUCAUCAAAAGUUGAGAAAUAUAUACAGAAGGUUUAGAGCAUACAGAUACCUGGUGGUGAUGUGUCAUGCUCAAAAAUUUAAACUCGCAUACCACCCUGCACAAAUAUUUGAACAUUCAAACAAAGUCAUUGAAACUGGUUCUUAAGACAGGAAUAUGAAUUUCAAUAAUUAAAUAAACCAAAAUAUUAAAAAGCCUAGCUGGCAAUGAUUUUUUCAAGAAAAUAUUAAAGGAAAAGAACAAAAUAAAUAAAAUUCUAAGAACAUUUGCAACCAAAUUCUAAACAACCUCAAUCUUAGAAACGCAACAACUAUGAAGAGAUCAUCCGACUCUUAAACUAAAAUAAAGAAAACUCAAAAUCACCAAUAAUUAAUUUUUUUAAAAAAAACUCUUGCCUGUCUAAUUCGAAGUAGAACCUCUUCUCCCUUUGCCGCUUCUUCUUUGCUUUCAUAAAGCCCAGCUCCAACCAAAAACUUCAACCCUAAAGGAAAUCAAAAUUAGGGUUUUCCAUAUAGAAAGAAAAAAGUAAUUAUAAAUAAAGAUAAAACAAAACCUUUAACUAUAGAAGGCAAAAUUUUAUAGUAAACUAACACAGGUGAAGAAAGUAUGCAAGUGCAUAUCCAUAGAUGAAUAAGCUACACAGUAUCAUAGGAAAAAAAACUGGAAAUCUGUUAAAUCGUGUAGAGAUGAUUGAUUAGAGCUAAUAGGUAAAAAAAAUGCACACUCAGCCAAAAUAGAGGUUUUAAAUAGCAUUAAAGUUUUAAAAUGCAAUAACUCAUUAAGCUAAAAGAUCACCAACCAAAGCCAUAGAAUUAGAAUUACCAUGAAAACUUCAACAAGAAAUGGAUCUGUCACAUAUUCAUACUUGUAUCCUAGACAGAGUUGUCAAAAUCCCCUGCACAUAAAAUAAAAGAAAUAUGAUUUUUAUGAUAUUCAAUAGAAAAACCUUAAUGUUCGCUGUAAGAUUAAAUAAAAGCAACCUUGGUAGAAGUCGUGAGGCCAAGUUUGUAAGGGAAUAUAGGUGAAAAUGAAAAAGUGAAUAGCAUACUUUUGUUCACACUCUGGCCCCCAGGGCCACCACUUCUAAUAGUGACAUGGUUUGUAACAUGUUAACAUAGAUCAUGCUGAUAGAAACCAAAUCGAAGAAGAUACCUCAUAUUGAAAUUAAGAAUUAGUUCCAAUAAAUUGCAAGAAGACAAGAGAUAAAUAAAAUUAACUACAAGAAACAUUAUGUUAUUGUAAAACAAAAAGUUGAUCUUCUCCACUAUUUUAAAAGUUUUUAAGCUGUGUCAUUGUGUAAGCCUCAAUGGUACAAUAACAUAUGGAAAGAAUUUGUAAAUAUGAGAUUACAUGAUCAUUUUCCUACACGUGAAGAGAAAUAAUAGAAGUUGUAAUCAAAGCUCCACAAAUUCCUCAAAAGCAUAAUCGAUUUCCCUAAUAUCGACAACAAUCACACUGCCAAAGUCUUCGCUUUCAGAGCAAUCUUCCAUAACUCAUUGUAGAAAGUAUUAGCAUCCAACUGAACACAUUAGAGGAAUAAGGAAAUAAUCGUUUGGAAGAAAUGAUAUUCAUAAAUAGAUGAUAACCUCAACUUGAUCAUAUUAACCUAAAUGAAAAAGAAAAGCUUGCUUAAUUAGUUCACUUCGAAUUAAAUUGUCCUUUCGUGUCAAUAAGUCGCACAGGAACUAGCUACGCUAGGGUAUAUUAAUCCAAUUUGAAUGAAAUUAUCUAAACAUGAAAAACCUUUACCCAGUGUUAGUGCCUUCAGGAAACUAGCUUAAGAAUCAAUUUACAAUGAUUAAUUACAUGUGCUGUGAGUCCUAGCCACUGCAACUCUAUUUACCUUCAUACAAGUAUAAAGUUAACACAUCGGCAAACUACCACCCAAAAAUUAAAAAAUAAAACUACAGAUUGAACUAAGAAAUGAUUAUCUGACCUUUAAUUUAGUUGAGUAUGCAAUAAUUCAGUUAAGCAUAUCCAAAGAAAUUAACACAAUACAAUUCAAAGCAUUAAUUUUCCAAUUAGAUAAACAAAUUAAAAUCUCAAUUGAGGCUAAAAUAGUGAUUCGACCUUUAACAACAGUGUCUUAGGCCUUGCACAUGAUUUGUCCAUCAUGAUGGAGUUCAAGCGAACCGAUCUAACCAUAAUCCCUUUUAUUUGGUGAAUUUAUGGCAGUCGAAGAUCGAAUUAGCAGAAGAAAACAAAAGUUCAGUUAACAAGAAAUCCCGAGAAGUCAAAGCGAGAGGGGCGGUGCGCACUUGAGCAGGGUGAGCAAAAUGUGGAGAUCUAAAGAGGAUCUUCUGAGCUUGUAGCAUAGUGGCAUGGUGGAUGUUUUGCAACCUGAUGUAGCUCGUUAGGGUUUCGUAUGGUAUGAGUCUUAGAAUUUGAGCAAUGUUGUUAGGAUUUCCCAUGGCAUGGACUCUUGAAUUUUAGGGCUCAAAGGGGAGAUUUUUUAGAGGUACGAAGAAGAAGAAGGAUCUUGCCAAAGAGAUGAGGCGGCUGGCCAUAGAAUUAGAAGUUAGGGAAUUUUAUGUUUAUGUUGAUUUUAGGGUUUUUUGCUUUUGUUUUAUGUUGUUGUUAUUUUAAUAUGAUUAUUUGAACAUUUUCAACAUAAACUAAAAUACGAAUUUGGCUUGGUGGUUUGUUGUUUGAACAUAAAGCACUUCAAUUUUGAGGUCUUAGGUUCGAGUAGCAACUAAAACAAAAAUAGACUUUUUUUUUUUUUCUGAUACCUUAGUGUCGAUAAUCUCUGAUGUUUAAUCUACAAACACUAGAGAAUUAGUAAUUUGUGACACUUGUCUGUUAAACACAAAAAAUGACCCAAAUAUAUGUAACUACUGAUACUUUUUAGAAAAGUGUCAGAAGACGAGUGUCAGUAAAAGUCAUUUUUCUAGUAGUGUAAGAGGAUGGACAAAAUUCAAAUUCAGUUUUUAGUCUCUUACCUCUCCCAAGAUUUAAAUUCGAGUGACUAGUGAAAUAAAUCUGCUUGAAAACCACUCGGCCAUGCCCUUGGGGCAACUACAGGGGAGCUCGUAUGCACUAGAUGAAGAAAAAAAGGAGUAACCUUUAAUGCAAUAAAAAUAGAUUCUAUAGAUACGACUUUGUGGGACAAAAUGCUUCGGCAUCCAAGUUUGAAGAUCAUACUUGCCCUAAAGAAUAAUUAGGAAAUAAACCUAACUUAUUGGACUGGGAAACCUUCACUUUGUGUUUAAUGCCAUUUUAGAAAAGAGCUAUAAUGUACCUUUUAAAUCGACUACUAAAAUAAUGGAGUUUCCACUCUGGGUCCUGCUAUCCACAUAAAAUUUUCGCAAUUAUAUCAUGUUUGUAGAUUAUUUUAGUAGAUUUUGUUGGUUGUUUUCGCUAAAAUUAAAAGUUUGAUUUUUUUGAGUGGUUCAUUAAGUUCCAAAAAUAGGUGGAGAACCAGUUAAAUAGGAAGAUUAAAUAUUUUACAAUGCGAUAAAGAGGGAGAAUUUUACUCCAUGGCGUUUUCUCUGCAUUUGGAACAUUGUGGAAUCAUUAUCUUGUCAUUACACGCCUGACAAAAUGGUAUAGUAGAACGCAAAUACAGACACUUGACAAAAACGGCUCUCACCAUUAUGUUUCAAUGUGUCUAUACUAGAAAAUUUAUAGGUUGAAGCAUUUCUAGUUGUCUUUAUCUCAUAAAUUAGAUGCCUCUUACAACUCUAAAAAUGAAAAUCCCUCAUCAAAAAUUAUUUAAUAAAUCUCCUAGUUAUACUGGAAUCAAAUUAUUUGGCUGUCGAUGCUUCCCUUACCUAAGGGACUAUAGCAAAAACAGUUUGAGAAAGCCUUGCCUUGUGUAUUUAUUGGUUAUAGUCCUUUAAAUAAAUGAUAUUAAUGCCUAAAUAUAAAACAAAAUCGAGUUUACAUAUUAACACAUGUAAUUUUAACGAGGAUGAUUUUUCAUAUCAUGACAAACUAACACCUAUUUCUUUUUUACAGGAACACAAUGAAGUGACUACGUUGAUAAGUGGAUUUCAAAAUUAGUUAAAGCUAAAAUUGCUAAAAUUCCCAAUGCAGCAAUUGAAGGUCCACAAGAGCUGCAGGCAAAUCAAAAUACUGUUAUGGGUCCUUAAAAGUCACAUUUAAAUCAAAAUAUCGUUAUUCCUUAUGCGCAUCCGAAUGUCCAUAAGAAUCCUUUGGAAGCAUGGACUUAUCCAUCAAAAUAAUGGCGUGAUUAAUAGAAAGCCUUUGACCGACCACAAGAGUCCUAUUUCAAGCGAAAUAAAUGAAUCAAAUCGCCAAAUCGGCCUGGUGAUAGUAGUGCGGUAAUCAAUGAAGAAAUUAACUCACAAGACAAUGAUGCUAUUGAAGACAUUGACAAUGACAAAUCCACUUCGUUAGAGACACAGAGACAUGAUUUUGAUGUACAGGGUAGCAAAGAUAAACUACCAGACUGAUGGUUGUCGAAGCCAGCAAAAAUAAAUACCUACUCUAAAUAAAUUGUAUAUAGUGAUUGAGAAGGGUCGUGUCCAUAGAGAUCAGUAAUUAUUUAAAUCCUUUUAAAAUGUAAAACGUAAAAUGGGAGAAUUGUUGACAAUAAUAGAAAUCAAAUUAAAAUAACAAGAAUACAAAUUAAAGUUGUAAUUCAAAUUGGAGAAAGCUCUGGUUAAAGGAAUUAACUCAGCUUGAUUCGACUACUGAUCAUUGAUUCAAAUAUAAAUUAUCACUACUUAUGAAUAGACCGGUUAUAGCUACUGAGACCCUCUAAUAGCCAAUCUCUCCUUAACUAGUCGAUAACCAAGGUACGACCGUUGGUUAUUUCCCUAAUCAAUAGACAACCCUAGAUACGAUCAUAGGAUUUAAUCAAUUGACAGCCUGAAAAACCAGAGAGACCAAAAUCCUAAUCAACAAACACAUACGAUGGUUCAUUUAAAUUAGAUUGUUUAUUCUCAUAACACAACUCACUGCUAUGCUAUUUGUCACAAACAUUAAAAUCUUCAUACGAUGAAUCCUUUAAUUGACAAUAGAUUAAGUUGAUAAUUAAAUAGUGGCCAAUUACCUAAUUAACAAACAUAAUCAUGAAAAUAAUUCAGAGAAUAAACAAAUACCCAAAAGUAAUAAAACAAUUAAAGCAUAAGAAAGAUCUCACAGUAGUGAUGAAUCAAAGCUUCAUUAACCUUCAACCAGAAUAAUAGAUUUAGUUCUUCAUAGAGAGAAGAGAAAGAUUUAGAUCUAGGGUUUCUUUCUUAUCUCCAAUCCUUCUUUUCUUUCAUAAUAGAUUCCUCCCUUAAAUACUCUCUCUCUCCUCUCCUCUAGAGUUCUUUUUAAAAUAAAAUACUAAUAUCUGAAAUAUUAAAUUUGUAAUUAUAAAAAUAACCAAAAAUACAAAACACGUUAAACUAAAAACUGCAGGUCCGUAGUUGACAGCACACGCCCACGCCUUAUCAAUAAAGUUCUUCUGACGCUCAUAAUUUCUCCGAGAGAACAAUCAUCCUUAAACAUCAUCUUGUAGCUCAAUUUUAGCACCAAUCAAUAGAAUUGCACCUACAAAAAUAAAACACAAGUAAAUCACUAUUAUUAAGUGCAAAACAUCAAUAUUAAGGGAAGUAAACAAUGCAAAACUAGUGCAUAAAUUGCACUCUAACACAUACAUCUCAGACAAAUUGUUUAUUGACUUAGUCAUUCCCGAAUUACGGCAAGCCGAACCAACAGCGACAUCAAAUAUUCAUCCAAUGUUGACACGACUCAAGCUGAAACAUACCCCUCACCUAGCCUUAGGUGCAGAUCAAGAGAUAUAUUGAGCAGCUUUAGAAAAUACUAUUUGAGUUAAUGCGGUAAACAGAGAAAUCAAAGCUCUAAAUCAGAAUAAUACUCGGACUUUUGUUCCACGUCCUACAGAUGCCAAUGCUAUAGGUUCCAAAUGAGUCUAUAAAAUCAAGUACAAGGACUAUGGCACAAUUGAUUGAUUUUAGGCUAGACUUGUUGCCAAAGGUAUAAUCAAGUUCUGGUUUUGACUUUGAAGAAACUUUUAGCCCUAUAAUAAAGCCAACAACUACAAGACUUGUCUUAUCUCUUGGUGUAAGCUCCAAAUGGCUCAUUUAAAAAUUUGAUGUCAAUAAUGCAUUUUUGCAUUGACAACUCAAAGAAAUGGCAGAUAAAGGGCAGCUUCCAUGUUUCGAAAAUUAUUUAUUGCCAUCUCACAUUUGUAAACUCCACAACUGUCUAUAAGGUCUUAAUUAAGCCCCUAUGUCCUGGUUUUUUUUUUUUUUUAAAUGUCCUAUGUCCUGGUUUAAAUGCCUCUCCCAUGCUUUUUUAGGCUAGAUUUCAUAACAGCAAAGCAGACACUUCACUUUUUAGUUAUAAUCGUAAUAAUGUUCUUCUUCUAACACUUAUAUAUGUUGACGAUGAGAUUAUCACAUGCGAUAGUGAGGACGAGAAACAAACUAAGAUCAACCAACUUAGCAGCCAAUUUGUGCUAAAAUGCAUUCGUAUUCUUGGCUAUUUUUUAGGAAUAGAAGUCAAAAAUUUUAAUCAUGGAUUUUCCUAUCACAUGCAAAAUAUACAAGGGAGUUAUUGCAUUCAGUUGGUUCGGUUCAGAGAAAAAAAAAACCGAAUAGUUCACAAAAUAAAGAACUAAUUGGUUUUUAUUUGGGUCGGUUCAAAAUCGAACCACACGGAGAACUGACUAGUUCACUGUUUUAAAAUUUUAGCUAGUAUAAAGAAAAAUUAUUCAAAUUCUUAAACCAAACCAAGCCAAACUGGAACAAACCAAAAUAAUUUAACUCCGUUUGAUUCGGUUGUUCAAUUAGGUUCGUAUAUUUAUAAACCAAUGGAUUUUGAUUCGGUUUGGUUCAAGGGUAAAACCGAAUCGAACCGAAGCUGUUAACGCCCACCCCUGGGCUAAACUGUACACCUAUUACAACACCUACAACGGUGAAAACAACAUUAGCUUUGGACAAUCAAGAACCUAUGAUUGCUACAUAAUAUCAAGGCCUAGUAGGCAGAUUGCAGUACCUUACCAAUACGAGACCUAGUAUAGCACAUUCAAUCAAUCGCAUUUGCCAACACUUUCAAAUUUGACAAAGGUGGAUGUUGAUGCUAAAAUCUGGUCAAGCUUAUGAUAGUAACUAGGUUGCCUUGUCAACACUUGAAUUUGUUUUGAUAGGGAACCGGGGAACUGUUAACUUAUGGCAGGCGAUCAUAAGAUCUAUUCCUGGCAUGUCAUCAUGCGACCAAACAAAUACAUCUGCAUAUGCUUGUAAACAGUAUACCAGCUUUUUCUUUAACCCCUCUUCCAACUUCAACCCGAUCUUGACAAUUUUUUCUGGAUCUUCUUGUUUUAUGCUUACUAUGUCGAUCUCUUCAACCGACUCCUACAUGCCCUUUUUGGCAUCUCUUUAAGCGUCCAAUAAGGUGAUUUUCAUUGUUUCCUUUGCUACUGCUGCAUAGCAGCCCCAAGCAAUCCUUUGAUCUCCCUUUACAACAACUAUGACACCAUUCACCUGAUAUUUAAGAGUCGGGAGAGGCUACAUGCACUCUAAAAAUUACUUUGAACACUCUAUUACUAUGUGCACUCAUCUAUUAAUUCUAAAAAAGUGAAUUAUACUUUGUACACUCUUUAAAAUACCAAAAAAAGUCCUCACUUAAUUCUUUUUUAAAUUAAUCAUCUUAAUUACUCUACACACACAUGAAAAAUGCUAUAUACACUCAAACAAAUAAAUCAAUUAAACAAUAUAUCAUUUGGCCAAAUCAAGGACUCUGUUUGCUCUAGCUUCAAAAUUUUGAAAUUUAAAAUCAUGAAGAGAAGUGAAGAUGAAAUUUUUAAUCGUAAUAGUUGAUUAACUACACUCACCAAUCAUGGGCAAAACACGUGGUAUGGGAGCUGGCCACAAACUGAAGUCAAACCGUCAAACUCAAAGGUGGGCUAAUAAAUCAUACAACAAGUGUCACCUCGGCGACAAAUGGAAUAAACCAUUUGUUGGUUCUUCCCAUGGAAAAAAUAUUUUAAAAAUAUUUUAAAGUAAAUUGUAAAAGAAUACAGACGCAGACAUGAGAUAUUUUAAAACAAAUUGUAAAUACUACGCCCGUUCAUCAUAACAAAUUGUAGAGUAAUUUAAAGCAAUGAUCGCUGCCUGUUCAUCAAAAGAAUACAAAUGCCACAUACACAUGAGAACACACUCCUCAGUUAGAAAUUAAGAAUCUAUUCUAUGUAGUUUCAAGACCCACAAACGAGACACAUGCUAGCCAUUAUGUUAUACUUCGAAAUUGAAAUUCAAUACUUGAAUUCAGGACCCUUCAAACGAGAGACAUGCGAACCAUAAUAUUGUACUUCAAAACUAAAUUUCAAUACUUGAAUACAAAGACACAUGCUAGCCAUAACAUUAUACUUAAAACUGAAUUUCAAUACUUGAACAUCCUGUUAUCUUCAACUCCACCAAAUUUAGAGGGCAAUCAAUUCAACUACCUAACCAUCGGGAAGGGGAAAAACAAGAAAGAUUAUUUGUGUUGUAAAUUAGAAAAUUAUGAUCACACAUGCCUCAUUAAAGUUAAAAUCUUCACAUAUUGAGUUUCCUCUGUAACUAUUUAUUUGAGAUAUUUGAAAGAAAAAAAUUAAGAUUUAAAAUAGUAAGAAAAUUAUACAUUAAUUGCAGUGCCUUAAAUGAGCAUUCAAAGUAAUAAUAUUAUAUAUACUCAUAAUAAAGUGUCCUUAAUAGUAUUUUAUAUUAUGGGUAUUUUUGUAAUGAAAAUAUUUAUAAAAAUAUGAGAUUUUAAAGAAAUUUUUAGAGUGUGUAUAGCCCCACCCUUAAGAGCCAUGUAAUAAUUGGAUAUUACUGCUUUACUAAUUCUCAAGAAAGGUCUGCCCAAUAUUAUUUGAUAUGAGUUGUAUUCAUCAACUACCACGAAAUCUAAUAUCAUGGUCUUCUGGAAUGAAGUGGAGUUUAUUGUUACAGGCAAUUUGAACACACCAAGAGGAGUCAACUUUCCCCCAUCAAACCCCUUCAAUGAUGUGCUAGUAUUCUUUAGUUUCAAAUCCGUAAUUCCCAUUUCAUCCAAGAUCGAUUUAAAUAAGAUGUCUACCAAGUUCUCAGUAUCCACAAGUAUCCGGUCGAACGUUUUGCUCGCACUGGAUGAGCACCAUCAAUGAAACUAUCCAAAUAAUGAUUCCUUACUAAGUCCUCAACCUAGUUCUUGAGGUCUCGACAACGCAUUGUUGCGUGACCAUAGGUGUUAUGAAAUUCACAGAAUUUGCUCAUGUCUCGCUUAUUGGCCGCUUUUGCUAUUGGGGAUGGGGGAUAUAACAAGCCAUGGUCUUUAAUCGUGUGAUAUAGUUCUUCCAAAGGGAUUGUCAAAAGAGUAUAUUGUUUGUACGUCGGGCUUUGGUCGAUUAUCUGCAUAGCCUUGUCCCUAGGGAACCCUCUGUGCAUGGGGCUGGGUGGUGGGGAGUCUGGUUUGUUGAAUAUGGUAUCUAGUAGGUAACAGGCUAUCGGAGCAUUAUACCGAGGGUGCUUAUGCGGUUGGUUAGGUUCCCCUAAGUGAUUGCUACCGGAAGAGUGAAGAGUUGGCUGUGCUAGAACUGAGUUGGCCUCGGAUGAGGCUGGUAAGGGAGUGCUUGACCACAUACUCCUCCACUUAAGGAUGGCUUGUCGCUUUGGUUAAUAGGCCUGCCCACUUUUUGGACUUUUUUCUUUAAAUUCCCGAGCUGUUCAACCCUUAAUCUCACUGCCUUUUGUUCCUCGAUUUCAAUGUCUCUUUUUGCUUGCUCGUAUGCUGCGAAGUAUGAUUGCAUGGCUAGAUUUCUUAAGUUAUACUAGAGCCACCCUAUCUUUACCCCUUCUUUAAGCCCUUUCAAAGCCUGUGGAUGGUUAAAGGAUCUAAGGUCAAGAACAGUACAAUGAUACAUGUUCAAGAACUUCUUGAGGGUAUCAUUUUCUCUCUGUUUGAUUCCUAAGAACUCUAUCAUAUUGUCUUCUGGAGCUGCUACCUUGUGAAAUUGUUCUGGAAAUUCCCGGCACAUCUACUCGAAGUUUCUGAUACUACCUCGAGGUAAUUUUCGGUACCACCCGUGCACACGCCCUUCCAAAGUUAAUGGAAAUACUCUACACCUCUGGGCCUGUGUUAAACCUUGUACCCCCGUCAUAUCAUUAAAACGCUCAAUAUAAACUAAAGGAUCACUCUUCUCAAAAUACUUGAGGUCGGGGAACCAGAAAUCUCGUGGAAUUAUUGUGCUCAUGAUUUCUUUUGAAAUAGGUGAUUUACUAUCUAGCAUAAUUCUCCAACUUAGUGUCUUCCACUGCCCUUGCAGCUCUUCAAUCACCUGAGCUAAUCUGCACACCUCACCCUCCAGCUCCAUAAUGCGUUCUGGGUUUCGUGUUGCGACCUAAUCACGUUCUCACCCUAUAUCAUUUAGGUGUUGUCUCAAUUCUCUUUCUCGAGCACAUGUUCCUCCUCUAUGUUUAAUUGGCCCUGAUUCUCUCUUAGCUGAUCUUUCACUCGAAUACUCUGAUCAUUACAGAGUCGAACCCCUUCGUCAUGGCUUUGUUCACCUUGGGUAACUCCAUUACUAGGGCCAGAGACAUUGGGGUUUUCCACCUGGGAUUUCUCCCAUCUGCCCUUCCCUUAAUUCUUGAAGGACAGCAGUGAAGGCCUCCAUCUGUUUCUCCAUUUGCUCCACUUGCUCGUACAUCAACCUCUCUCUUUCUUCAUUUGUCGUCUCUCGAGAAACAGUAGGAUCAAUUACUCCAGAAUCAGUUCCACGGCUCUGUUUCCUCUUGGAUUUGUUUUGCUUGUCUUGUUGUCAAUUUAUUUGGCUGGUAGCAACUUUUGGUAAGCUCCCCACAGACGGCACCAAAAUGUUGAUGUUGAAAUUUGGUCGAGCUUAUGAUAGCGACCAGGUUCCCUCAUCAACACUUGAAAUUUUUUUUUUUUAUGAGGAACUGCUAACUGCUAUUCUGAUGGAAUUGGAAUUUUCACUUUGCUUCGUUAUUUCCUGCGACAAUAGAGAACUAUCAUGGGGCGUCAGAUAUUUUUUGACAAAAACCCUCCGACGCUCAAGUCAGUAAUCGAUUUUCUUGUAGGGAACUAAUGUCACUUCUCUCGUGAUCUUAAUUACUUUUUUUUUUCUUUUUCUGGUUUAGAAUAGAUCCUUUUUUCUUUUUUCUUUUUUCUAGAAAACUUUUCUCUCCUCCCAAAAAAGUCCCCCUUUUAGGAUUUUUCAAGAUUCAUAUAGGCACCCGAGAUUAUGUGCCAUCUUCAAUGCACAGCUGUUACUGAAUUGAAUGCACUGCUUGAAUCAUGAAUUAAUGUACCAUUUACUAUGUAGUUAUUGAGCUACAGUUAUAACGCCCGGGCAUGCAUAGGUGUUAUGGCCGGAUUUUCGGGAGGAGCUCAACAAUCUGAAGUUAACCAAGGUAACCAAGGUCUCGGGAACAAACGACCUGAUUCUGGUCUCCUCUUAGAAUCCCUGAUCGUCCUUGCACACGUGACCAAUCAUAUUCCUUACAUCACUUUUACAAUAUUAAUAUCAGUAGCAGUACUCCUAUACCCCAAACAGUAGAUAUGCAAGUAGUGAAGCGGAUCCUUCGUUACCUCAAAGGCACCCUUCAUUUUGGCUUACGUCUUUUCUCACAAAGCUCCCGUAGUCUUUAUGGACACUCAGAUUCAAAUCGGCUGCCUGCCCUAACACCUGACAUAACACCUUCGAAUUGUGCUUAUACCUUGACACUAAUUGUAUCUUUUGGAGCUCGCAGAAGCAAACAAUAAUUGCUCGUUCAAUAGUAGAAGUCGAAUAUUAAUCAAUGGCUAUUGCCACAAUUGAAUUGAGAUGGCUACAUUCUCUUGUGAGAGACAUUGUUGUCCAAUGCAAUAACAUUCCAAUCCUAUAUUGUAAUAAUAAUAGUGCCUUACACAUGAUAGGAAAUCCUAUUUUUCAUGCUCGCAGCAAGCUCUUGGAGUUUGGUGUCCAUUUUAUUUAGGAAAAAAGCGAGUCAAGGUAUCAUUCCACAAUAUACAUUCCAUCUUAAAUGCAAAUUACUGAUGUCUUAAUGAAGCCAUUAGGACAUGCUUUGUUUCGCACAUUUCGAUUCAAACUGGGAGUCCAUUAUAUGAAAUUGCCUAGUUUGAGAGGGGAUGACAGAAUCUCUUUACAAGAUUCAAAGAUAUUAGGUACUAAUUUCGCCAUAUGCAUGGCUGUUGCCAAAGGAAUCCGAUGUCAAGAUUUUGUCAAUUUGAGAUUGAAGCAUCUGAGGCUGCAUUAAUCGGGAAUACAUGACAGAAUGAAUGGUUUUAUCUAUAAACUUCACCUUCAACAAGCGUAGAUUUUUCAAUAAUCUUUUUUUGUGUUUUUGUUCUUUUCUAUCUCGAAUCCAGUGAAAACGACAUCAUCAAGCCAGAAAAAUCCCACAAUCAAAGCAAAUCCUCAUCAUAUAGAAUCAAGGAAAUCUCUAAUGGCUAGUUAAUUAAUUGAAAUUAUUGAUAUGUAACUUAUUUAUCUUUUUUUUAUCUAUUUGUAUUUUUGUAUAAAUAUCGUACAUACUCUUAUAUACAGUAAAGCAAGUGAAAUAAAAAUUUUGUUUACAAUAUCCAAAAUUUUGUUUACGAUAUCCAUGUUUCUUUUACUCAAGUCUUUCUUAUACUGAGAGUGAUUCUUUAUAGCACAAGGUCUCCUUCAAAAAAUGUGCAGGCCAUAACUAUUUUGAACUGCUCAUUACCGCUCGAAUCUAACCUUUUCCUGCUUUUCUUCUACGAGUUCAAGACUUGCACAUAAGAGCUGAUGAAUUUCGUCCUUAGGGUAAUGUUGUGUUCGAUGGUAGGAAGUCCAUUCUCCACACAUGAAUGCCUCUUGACCAAAAGCUAAAGGAAAGGGAGUUUUGGUUGUAGCUGUCUUGAUAGUUAUACAAUAUGCCCAAGCCCCUUUUUUAGCUCAUCGUCCCGAGCCCCUUUUUGGCUCCUAGAUGGGCUUUGAAGUGUCUUCUUGAUUGCUUUAUUGGCUAUUUCAACUUGUCUAUUAGCUUUUGGAUGUGCAGGAGAUGCAAAUUGUAAAUCAAUAUAGAACUCAUUACAAAGUGCUUUAAAGUUAUCAAUAUCAAACUAUGUACUGUUACUAGUGAUAAUGACCUGAGGUAUAAUAUAACGAGAUGUUGCGUUUUCCAAACUUAGUCAUAUGUUUUCAGUGAUCGUUGCUAAAGGCCCAGCCUUGACCCACUUCAUGAAAUAAUCGAUGGCAACAUUUGCAUACUUUGCCUAAAAACGAUCUGUUGGCAUUGCUCCAAUAAAAUCAAACCCCAUUGAGAUAAACGCCACAGACUAACCAAGGUGGUUGUAAGGGAAUAUCAGUAAUUAUCUUACAGCUACGACAAGAAUAAACGAGUUGCGUAGAAUCUUGAUGUGUAGGGUAUCACUAAUAACCUUGUCAUAAGGAUUUAAAGGCCAGUGCUAGUGCAUCCUUUAAUGAGUCUCUCAAAUCACAAAAUUACCAUCCUUAGGCGUGAAAAAUCAAAGGUAAGGUGACAUAUCCCAUCAAUGAGACAAGGGACAUGCAGUGAGGGGUGCCAGAGUUGUUACCAACAAAGAACUGUCGAUGCUUAAGUAAAAAAAUCUGAAGCCUCGAUUACAAUAAAUGUAAAUAAAAAGUGUAAAGAGAAAGCAGAGGAGUUCCGUUGUUCUUAACACUCACCAAACCAGAAUAGCCUAACAUUGUGAGCAGGAGCCCGUAAAUAGAGGUGAUAUCUAUAGUUUUGAGUGGACAAUAAUAUGAGGGUAAGGAGAAGUACUCCUCGGAGUCGAGCUUCACAAUUGUUAUCCUAUUAGAUUUUGUUCUAACAUGUAGUAGGUUGACCCGAUUUGGACGUUUGCUCACUUAUCAGGUCGGGUUUAAUUGGGAAACAACAGAGAGUAAUGGGCAUGUAUUCCAUAAACAAAAAAUAAAGCUCAUCGGAAUUGAAUGGGACUCUGAACCCGAUUCGAUUUGAAUUCAAAUUGGAUCGAGUUGAGAUUCAUAAUUCGAAUUGGAUAGUGAUUUUUUUUUUUAAUUUUCGAUCAAAAGUGAGUGGAGGAUAAAUAAAUUCCCUAUAUCCAGAGUCUUAAAAAAAUCAAAUAAUUUAAAUUCACGGCCAUAAAAAAAAAUAAAGAAGAUGAGUAAUUACUCCAGCACAACUCUAAUGUCUUGGGAUUAAUCUAGUUUUUUGUUCUUACAUUAUGCAUGGACAGAUAAUGGAAAGGGUGAAAAUUGAUUUCGAUAUUACACUGUAAGCUACUUAUUCACCGUAAUAUACAGUAAAUUUCAUUUCAAACUUUAAAUCUUCAUUCAGGAUAAUUCAAUAUUCCUAAAAAUUACCCAAACAUCUCUGUUGUAUAUUCUUUUUUCAAUAAAAUAUAUUAAAUUAUUCUUUUACUUUGCAUCUGUUGUAUAUUAUUAAAUUUAUUUGAAUUUAAGUUUCUUAUACAAAAAUAUUAUUUUCUUUUAAAAAGUUAAAUUCAUUAAUGGCUGGGUAGCUUUUUAAAAUAUAAAUACUAGCUAGAUAAUUGGUUUAAACCUUAUGAACUAUAGAUUAAUGUUCUUAAUUUUAGUACUGGAUAAAUUUGUUAUUCAUGGUCCUGUUUGGAAUAUGGUUUUGAACUAUUUUUUUUACUUUAAAACUAAUCUCUUUUUAUAUUAUUCUUUUCUUAUCUUUCUAUAUGAUUUUGUUGGGUUACAUUUAGAUAUUCAAAAUCGUUCCAUUACAUUUACAGAGCAGCAUUGGUAUUUUAUAAUAAAUCAAGAUGUUGUAUUUACAGAAUAUAAAUAAGCUAACAUAUUGACUAAUAUUGGAAAUGGAAAUGUAAUAAAAUAAAAUAUUGUAAUGAUAAAAUAAUAUAGUGUCAUAGCCUGAUACUUUUUACAAUUUUUUUAUUUCGUAUUUCAUCCUUUUUAAUUUCACAAUUUACUGAAGUAUUGAAACAUCAAUAACUCAUAUUUUUAAUGCAUAUUCUAUUUAUUUAUUCUAUAUUAAUUAUAUAAUAUACAACAAAAAAAUAUUGUUUAAACAUGUCAAUUUUUCAUGUGUUUAGAAAAUUUUAUUUGAGAUUACAUUGUCACCGUUAUACCAUCAGUUAUUUUUAUUCUCAAACUAGACCAAUAGAUCAACGUUCAAAAGCCACUUCGGCCUUGGUCGGAGUGGUGGGCUGCUGCCCUCACAAGCAUUGUGAGGGCAGCGGUUCAAGCCCCCACAAAAGCAUUUGUGGGGGCUAACGUGCUUAUUUGUUUAAUAUUUCAAAAAUUUCCUCUCUCUCGUGCAAUACGAGUGGAGUAUGGACAUCCCUCUUCUGUGAGAGAUUAUUUGUCUGGGCAUGUACUUCACAGAAUUCAAUGUAAUAAUAUAAGUCACAAUCAUGUAUUUCUGAUUGUAAAUAUCAGUGUAAUAUAUCUGCUAUAAUAGCAGUUGUAAAUAUCUGUGUAAUGCAGUAAUAUGAUGAUUAAUCAGUAUUCAAAAAAAAAAAGAUCAACGUUCAAAAAAUUUAUAACAAUAUCAACUUAGAUGUAUAAAUAUUUUAAAACUUUUGACUUUUAUAAUUUUACAAUAAACAAUAGGGAUUGUAGUGUUAAUAACCAACAAAACAUGUACUUAUUGGUUAAGUUAGAGGAGGACAAAGUUGGGGUAUCUUGCAACUGUUGCACAUCUAAGUUUAUAUUGUUUUAAAUUUUUAAACUUUGAUAAUUGUAUGUUGUUACUAAUAUUUAACAGUCAAAAGAUGUAAAUUUAAUAAUUUUCAAAUGACUAAUGUGAUUGAUAGCUUUGGUGAAUGUUAAAUAAGGAUAUUUGACACAUGCAUACUUGCUAUUUUUUAACUGCCAAAUAUACUUAUACUUAUUUAAUAGUUUUCGUAGUUUUUAACUGUCCAAUAUACUUACCUUAUUUGAUAGUUUUUAUCUAUGAAAUAUUCCAUUGUUUCUUCUAGUGACACUUUUGUAUAGUGAAAUUAUGGCUGCCUUCCCAGUGGCACAAUUCAUCCUAUUCUUCUUCAAUCAUUUGCGCUUUGCAUAGUUUUGGUGUGACUAAGGCUUCUUGGGAAAAGUCUUCAUAUUUGGACACUGUGUCACAAAAACUCCUUCCAAGAAUGGGAAUUCAAGACUGUCAUUCUCCAAACAAAAGCUUCUAAGACUUGGUAAAUCAUCAAGUUCCAAAAGUUCCAAUAAUGAACAAGUUAUUUGAAUCUCUUGCAAAAAGUGCAAUUGAGAUUUUUUACUCUACAAGCUCCAGUUUAUGUUGUUUAUGGGUCACACGUUGCAUUUGCCCAUGUGAUAUUACGAUUGUGGCUUUAUGCCCAAAAAUCCUAUUCUCAUUGCUCUGGUUACUCAAUCAUCCUAUCACGUGCGAGUGGGAGAUGUUAGAUUUAACGCCUCUAAUGUGAUGAAUUAAUUUAACGUAAAUGAUAAACUUAGAGUUUUUCUAGGAUUCUUAUAAGAUAAAAUUAGUAUUUUAUUUUAAUCUAAUCACACAUUACAAGAAAUCUAGCAAUAGAUGACAACUACUUUAUGACAAAAAUCAUUUUAUCAUAUAACUAUAAUAUAGACGUGAUAAAAUUUUGGUCUAUCAAACUAUUAAUGAUGUAAUUGUGAUAGAAUAUUUAUCUAUCAAUAAUUUAUGAUAUGCAUGUGAUAGAAAUAAACUCAAUCACAAACAUUGUGAUAGAAUUUUAAUAUUGACCGUGUUUGACCAAAUUUAAAAGUAAUAUUUUUUUUAUAUAAUCUAAAACGCAACAUUUAGAUUAUUAAAAUGAUUUAAAAUAAAUAAAUAAAACGAAACGCUGCGUUUAAGAGAGAGUGUAAACUAAAACAAAUUUUUUCUAAGUCCUUCAAUACUCUAUACUUAUCAACAUCGUCAUUCUCACUUGCAGACAACACUCAACCCUAGCCUAAAUACUCAUCGUCACUAUCAAUCAAUCAACCACUACGUACACUACCUAAACUCUAGACGGCGGACCGUUCCCCACCUGUGUUCAAACUCCCAGCGUUCAAAUCAACAUUGAAGCCAUUGUUUAAACUGCGAACUAAAUCCUAGAAACCAAGAUUUGUCGCUACUGUAUCUAGUCUCUCGCUAUUGAAGGUUUUAGUCCUUUCAGCGAAGUAUCUUCAAGGUAAAUUCUUAGUUUCUGUAUUUGAUUCUAGGAUGCAUGCUUCAGGGGAAAAAUUUGUUUGUUUGUGAGAAGAGCUUGAUUCGAUCUACCCUAGAAAUUGAUUGGGUCUUCCUCGUGAGCUUUGAUUUUCAUUACAUUGCAAUUUUUGGUUAGUAAUUGGUCAUCACAGUUAAGAAAUUGUUUGAUUUUCUUUGCCAUAUAGCCUAUUGUUUGAAUUUGGAGAAGAUGUUAUAUUGUUAAUUUUGGUUAAGUGGUGUGACUUCACUGAUUUGGGAAGUGUUGUUGGGACGUUAUGUGGGCAAGCAUAUAGUGCAAGCAAAUAUGAAAUGCUAGGGAUAUAUAAUUAAAGGAAGACUGGAACUGAGAGGUUGUGUUAGUUUGUUUCUUUUAUGUGUGUUAAUUUGUUUAUUCACCUUCUGCAAUCAAUCUCUAUGCAUUUAAAGUUAGUUUUUUUUUUUUUUUUUUUGUAUGUUAGUUAGUUAGUUUGUUUGCUUUAGGGUCCUUUCUAAGAAAAGCAGCAAAGUAAAGGAGGACCUGGAGCUGAGAGGGCUUUAUAUAUGUAUCCACAUCCAUCCAUUAUUGUUUCUUUUCUGAUCUUAGUUACACAAGGUUCUGUAAUUUACUUUUCUUAUAGGAUGAUUAUCUAUGGUUAGCGAAAGACUGUAUAUUUUGUAAUAUUAUAUUCUACACUGCAUGAACAAUUAAUUAUUUGUUCUCUUGUAGAAAAAAAUCCAACUGGGACAAUGUUUUGUUGGCUUAUGAGCCAGUUUGGGCCAUUGGUAUUGGGAAGGUUGCAAGCCCUGCUCAGGUUCAGGAAGUAAGUUUAGGUUUAUGUCUUAUUUAAUUUAAUGUUUUAAUGACAAUGAUCUUCAUGCUUGUCAGGGGUGGAGCUACCCUUAUUGGCUUGCUAUCAGGGGUGGAGCUAGCAUAAGGCUAGAAGGUGCCAUGGCCCCGGUAGAAUUUUGAAAAAUUUUAGGGCUUCUAAAGAAAAUGUGAAACAUUAGUGUAAAAUAUCUAUAUCGGCCCCUGUAGAAUUAGAAUUUUACAUAUAUAAUAACAUAAAAAUUAAAAUUUUAAAUUUGGCCCCUGUAGAAUUUUUCCCCUAGCUCCGCCCCUGCUUGCUAUCAAUAUAAAUAUUGUUGGAUUGAUUAUAAGCCUUUUUUUUACCGGAAUUGGUUAUGAACUUGCUUAGUUUUUUUGUCAACACAUUUCUAUAUGUUUGCACUAUGUGCAUUUUACCCUAGGCAGGGCAUUUUAGAAUUUGUCUAUAGCUCUAGUAGUUUUGAAACAAGUAAUAAUACAGUAGAGCUGUUUCUGAUAGUUAUCAUCAUUUUUUCACCUUGUAGAUUCAUACAUAUAGCAAAGAAUUAUAUUUGUUCCUCAAUCCAUCUUCAGACUCCCAUGCUUGUGGAUACUCUCGUUUAUACAUCUACCUAAAUACUCACACAAACCCACAGAUAAUUUUGCUUGUGUCAUUACCUUUUCAGAUGGGGACAUGCACAAAAAUAUUUUUGUACUUUGUGUUUAUAUAUUGAAUACAAGUAAAUAGAUGUUUUCGGUCUAUUUUAGUUAUUACUUUAUCUCCUUUUGCCAGCAAAACUUGCUGACAUAAUUGCUCUUCUUGUGCUUUUAAAGUUGAUAUUUUGUCAAUUUUUUGGUAAUCAUUUUUCGCAGACCAUGUUUUAAAUAUAUGUGACAGGUCCAUACUAAACUGAGGAAAUGGCUUAAAGACAAUGUCAAUGCUGAAGUUACAGCAUCAACUAGAAUCAUCUUGGGAGGUAUCCUUUCACUACUUUGUUAGUUAUUAAUUGUGACCACCGUUUAAAAUUAAUUUUGAGUAUGCUAUAAUCGUUAUUAAUAUGUAUAUAGCCAAGAUGGGCUCAUUGAAGCUUAUGGUUGGUCUUCUUAGACAUUUUUCUUGUUCAUACAAAGUAGUAAAGAGCACUUUACAACCAAACGUACAAUAUUAUUACUUCAACCUGUUUACUGAACUUACUUUGGCCUUUUCUAUUUGAUAUCAAGGAGAUUUAUUCUUAUGGUUAUGCUUAUGAGAGAAGCAUUCUUUUGCUCUAUUAUGUGCUUAAUAUUUUUCCUUCUGCAACAAUAAUUUUAGUUGGAUUGGUUCUUAAACAAUUCCAAAUAUUUACAAAAAUGGAAGUUGCAAACUGUUGAAAAUGAAUCCAAGAACAGAAUUAUCUACCACUUAUAUUUUAUCCAGCUUAAUUAAUUAGAGGAGUAAUGAAUAAUAAUGCUGUGAACCAAGCCUGUUUUUGUAUUCCUCAUUUAUAGGUACUAACAGAUUCACUUUUCUUUUUCCCUUUACUAAAUAGGUUCUGUAAAUGGAGCAAAUUGUAAAGAAUUGGCAGCACAACUGGAUAAUGAUGGAUUUUUGGGUGGUGGAGCUUCUCUAAAGAUGUGUUUUAUUUUUGCUACCAAAGGCAAAUAAAGAAGUUAUUGUCUUUUGACUUGGCUGAUUGACUUUUUUGUCAUAUUUGAAUUAGCCGAAUUUCAUCGAUAUUACUAAGUUUGCCACAACAAAGAAGAAUUGAAGUUAAAACUAGGCUACAUGGCUUGCUGAUGCCUGCAAUUUUCUCUGUUAUGCUUCAUUGAGAACUAGAGUUAUAAUUUUGUUCAUUAUAUAUCAGUUGUAAUUUAGUUUUCUCUUUUUCCAAUUAUAUAUCAAAGGUAAUAUAUGUAUGUUGUUCAUCCAUUAUUGUUUCUUUUUUGUCCAGGUUUUGUGUUACCCCAUCCUGGACAAAUACCGGACAUUUCUCGUCCCAGCAGAGUAGGUGUGUGCAAGCUCUUAAAAAAUGCCCGUAAAGGACAAUUAUUAUUUGUGCCAUGCAAUCCCAGUCUAGAAAUUUCACAAUGUAAUAAAGUGUUCUUAUCAUUAUUUAUUCAUUUUAGCUUUUCAUAGCUGUUGCUUUGUUUCUUUGGCUUUUUCUAUUUUAGCUUCCAUUGGUUUUAGUUGUGUUUAAUGGUGGUGAAAAAAAAGUGUUUUAUUUGGAUCCUAAGGGGUACAUGCUCCUGAUCCUGAUUUAGAACAGCUGAUUAAAUCGUAUGUAUUCCUUUUCAUUUCACAAUCUUCAUAUUCUCGCUUUCUUUAAUAUAUUUUAGAUACGAAAAUAUUGUAGUUUAUCAUAUAACGCUAUGACAUUGUUCUCAGACUGAGAUAGAUGAAGUUUGUUUGGAGUGGGCUGGCCAUUGUUCUUAAAUCAUUAGUGCAGCAAAAAAAAAAAAAAAUGGUUAGUAUAAAUCUGAAACUUAAUUAGUUAUAUUCACAUGUGCCUAGGCCUUAGCCAUAUUUAAGUUUUUUGUUUCUAGAUAUAUACUUAAUUUGUACAGGACAAGAUGUUUACCAAAAUUAACGAACUUGGAUCUAGAUAUAUGCCAAAGAAAUCACAAAAUAGGAAUCAUAAAUAAAGCCACAGCAAGGAAAUUUGAUAUAUCAUAUGGAUAUAUGGUCUGUGUGUGCAUCUAGUAGUAAAUUUGUAUACUAUCUAUUUAAAGCUUCCUCUUUAUUUUCAUACUUGCAAGAAAGUUAAUUGCCUUUUGUAUGUACCCUUUUGGUUCCAUAUUUUAUUGCAAUAAGGAAUUAAUUUAAGUUGCAUCAGAAAUUUGGAGUUUUAUGUUAAUAGAUAACUCUUUAUAAUGAUAGUGUUGUCUAUAUUCAUUGGUGCUGCACAUGCAGAUUGAGUUUGAAUUUGUCAUGAUUUUGUUGCAUCUAUAACUUAGGAGUUUUACUGUAGUAGUUAAUUCUUUAUAAUGAUGGUGUUGGGCAUAUUCAAUAGGUGUUGCGCAUGCGGGUUGAGAGAAACUGCUGAACUUGCGAGUUUAUUCAUACAGCGCUAUGACACUGUUCUCAGCUGAGGAUUGUAAAGAAAGAUGGAAUUAUGGCUCUAAGAUGAGAUUUGUGAAGGUAAACUAAUUAUCUUAACUAAAAUUUUGUGUAUCUACCACUUUAAGCCUAAAAUAUAACAUAUUUAUAAUUUUUUUUUGUUUAUUUUUUGUGGGUACCAUUUUGGUUCCAUGUUUUAUUUCAGCAAGGAAUUAAGUUGCAUCUGAAACCUGUAGUUUUAGUUUAAUAGAUAAAUCUUUAUAAUGAUAUGUUGGCUGUUAUCAUUGGUGCUGCACAUGCAAAUUGAGUUUAAAUUUGUAAUGAUUCUGUUGUAUCUAAAACCUAAUGGUUUUAUUGUAGUAGUUAAUUAAUUCUUUAUAACAAUAAUGCUAGCUAUAUUCAUUUGAUGCUGCACAUGCAGGUUGACAGAAUUGAAGCUACUGGACUUGAGAGUUUGAUUGGGUAUUUGUUGAAAAUGGCAGUUCAUGUACUGGCAGUUUACUGAAAUUAUGGGUUAAGUUCAGCACUACAGCCACUUGAUGCCUUCUUAGCUUGUAAAACUUGAUACAUUUGUUCUUAGUUGCUGGAUUUUGUCUGGUGAAUUAAUCUUGUUUGAUAUAAUUGUUGGAUAAAACUGUUUUUGGAUGGCAUUAUUAAUAUAAUUUGUUUUUUGACUUAAUAUAAUAUAUAAUUUAAUUUUUGGUUCAUAUGAAUUUAUGCCUGAAUUUCCUAUAUAGGAAUGCAUAAAUUUUGUUGAAAUAAUUCAUAAUUAUGUUCGGGGUUUUUAAUUAAAGAUGCCCUAAAAGUAGGGUAUUUAGUUAAAUAUAUCACAUGUUUGAAAAUUAUCUAGAUAUACCUUUUUAUGUGGUACAUUGUUUAAAAUAUCCCUAAAGAAAAAUAUAAAACACACACAACUCACCUCCAACACUCUUUACUUCUCACUAUUUUUAACUCCACACAACAAAAACUCACUCCACACUCAAAAUCACUCACAAACAGUCAAUGCACUGAGAUUUUAGUUUGCAGCUGGGAGCAUUAUUCAUCACAUGAAUAAGGUAUUUGAAGUUUUAUUUUUAUUUUGUAUUAUUUAUUUAUUUUGUUGACAUUAUAUUAUUUUUAGGGUUUUGUUUGGUUUGUGAUAAACAAUAAAGCAACUCACAUAUUCAUUAUAUUUGCAUCAUAUGACUGUUAUUUGAUGGAUUUUAUAACUACAUUCGUUAAAAUUUAAAGUUGCUGCCAAAAUUUUGUUCUGCACCCCGACAUACACGACAGCAUGGAUUUACACGACUGUAGUCGUGAAAAUGUGCAAAAGAUUCAAAUUAUUAUGACACCCUAUCAUUUUAUUGGUGCAAAAAAUAUAUUAUUUUCACUAGAUAUAUCCUUUUACUAUUACUGGACUAUAGUGGUGUGUUUUAAUAAGUUACACGACUACUAUCAUGUACGUAUGAAUUUACAUAUUAUAAUUGUACAUAUAUGUAAAAUGUUCCAACUGUUAUGAGAUCCCAACAUUUUAUUAGUGUAAGAAAAAUAUUUUUUAAAGAAGAAAUAUGUCCUUUGACUAUUUAUAGUCAUGUAUUUCUAUAACUUACACAACUGUCAUCAUGUAUGUAUGAAUUUACACGAUAGUAGUUGUGCAAGAUUGAAAGAUAUAGUAGCUGUUAUGACACAUAGCAUUCUGUUAGUAUAAAAAUUAUAUUUUUUUACUAAACAUAUUCUCUAACUGUUUACUAGACUAUAGUUGUGUAUUUUAGCAAGUUACACAACUAUUGUCGUGUAAAUAGAUAGACAAUUCCACACUUCAUAAUAUACCUUGUUUGAUUUUUUUUUGUAUAAUCAUCUGUUGUAUUAUUGCAAGAAGUGACUUCAGUAUGUUUGCCGAUUAUUCUUUAGAAUCAUAAGAAAUUAGGAUAGCAUCACAAGGUGAAGAAAAGUUACGUUGUAAGUAUGGUAGGUGUGGUUCUCAAUGAUAUAAUCGACUAACUUGCAAUGCACCAAUCUCACUGUCUAACAAUCAGCCCGUAGUUAGACCAAAUGAAACAAAAACAAGCACACAUACUACUAUGAACCUUACAUACUUGUCAUUUUUGUUGUUUUAAUUUCUUUAAUAUCUAAAAUAGUUAGUUGAUAAAUUUCUACCUUUUUUGUUUUGCAGUUGGAUAAACAUGUUUGUGUGGCUUAUGCUGUUUUCAAAAGGAGGCGACCAGGGCCUUAUAAUACAUGGGUCGAGUGUUUGGGCUGAGCAUGCAAAUAAUUAUGAUGAUUGUGCAGCAACUUCCAUUGUAUUACAACUUAUUUAUGAUUUGAACAUGUAUUGGAUCUAUGUUGUUUGAUGUACAAUUACUUUUGUUAUUUGUUAAAUUGAAGUAUGAUAUGUUAAAGCCUAUGUUGAUUUUGUUGUCAUUAUAAUGAAUGUUUUAGGUAAUUUUAUGUUCUAUGUCUACUUAUCCAACUACAGUCGUGUAUUUUGGCUCUUACUCGACUAUUGUCGUGUAUAUCUGAUUGUACUUAACUAUAAAUGUGAAUCUAUUAAAUACUCGACUAUUGUCGUUUAUUUAUGAAAAUAUCCGACUAAAGUUAUGUACCAAUGCAGAUACCAACUGGUUAUGUAUGUUUACAAAUACUCAACUGCUGUCAAGUAUUUGUGAAAUACCCGACUGCAGUCGUGUACUAAUACAAAUACCAGCUGGUCAUGUAUGUUUGUAAAUACUCGAUUGCUGUCGAGUAUCUGUGAAAAUACCCGACUACAGUCGUAUACCAAUACAAAUACCAGCUGGUCAUGUAUGUUUGCAAAUACUCAACUGCAGUCAAAUAUCUGUGAAAAUAUCCGACUGCAGUCGUGUACCAAUCCAAAUACCACCUGGUUAUAUGUGUUUGGAAAUACGUGAUUGCAGUCGAGUAUCUGUGAAAAUACCCGACUGCAGUCGUGUACCAAUGCAAAUAUCAGCUGGUCAUGUAUGUUUGUAAAUACUCGACUACAGUCGAGUAUCUGUGAAAAUACCCGACUGCAGUCGUGAACCAAUGCAAAUACCAACUGGUCAUGUAUGUUUGCAAAUGCUCGACUGCAGUCGAAUAUUUGUGAAAAUACUCGACGACAGUCAUGUAUUUGGGCUGAGUAUUUCUUAAGCAUAUAUGACCAUUCUAUUACAUCACAUACAUUAUAUAAAAUUAUCUUCUCUGUCAUUAAUAUACUUAAUAAAAAAAAACAUAUGUAUGAUGUCAAAUUAACUUUAAUGAUAUCAAAUAUCAACAACAUCCCAUUGUAAUCAUUACAUCUCAUGAUAAGUAAUCCAAAAAAAUGACAUAUCAAUGAAGUUUUUAAGAGUGGGACACUACGUAGUUUUUUUCCAAGACCUACUCCAAAAUUAUUUGACAGCCAAUGCUUUUUGAAAUUGUGCAACAUCAUCUUGUUGGCAAUAUGAAUUGACAUCAAGUCAGUGGGCCAAGACCUCCAAGAAUUGCAACAAAAAUGCUCAACAAUCACUACUAAAAAAAUUCAUAUAAAUCAAUCUUUAAAAAUCACCAUUGUUAUUGUUAAGUCAAAAAAAUAUAAUUUCAGUUUGUAGUAAAAAUAAUACUUCAAAUUUAUUAUCACUGUCGUAAUAUAUUAUCAAUCUACUAAAUGAUCACACAACAUAAAAGCAACAUGUAUGAGAACUUUUUACAACUUAAAAAUGUUCUAUAUAUAAGGCAACAUGACUUUCUUACAACUAGCAUCUACAUGAUCAGCAUAACUAUAUUAUUUCAAGAACAAACCCAUCAAAUUAAAAUAUAUUGCCAAUAACUAUGAACUCAAAUAAUUUUUAAAUGAGUUAUAAACAAAAAUAAGAAAUAAACCAUCACUGCCAUAUGACAUAAAAAUCAAACUUUAUGUAUCAAGUAUGUUAACAAAUCCAAAUAAAGUAUAAAUAUUCAAAGAAAAUGUUGAAUUUUUCCAUAACACUCAAACAAUUAAUUUUCAUUAGUUCAAUCUGAUUAAUAAGCUAUUAAGUACGUGUAUAAUUGGCAAAAACUAAAAACAAGUCUAGGACGAGUGUAUUAAAGUGCAUUUCUCCAAUAGUUAACUAGUUGGAAAUAUAUACAACAACAUUUGCUGCACAAUAAUAUCAAAUCCUAAAUGCUAUGUGACUUCUUCAGUCAAUAGCCUCACAAUGAGACAAAUUAAUAAAAUGAUCCAACAUUGUUUCAAAAUUCACAAGUCGUUCAAAACACAUUUAUUAAUAGUGUACUAUCAAUAGUUUUAUGCUAAAACAAAUAGCAAAUUGUUAAUAAAUUAGAAUUGCAAAAUAAAGGUUCUAUAGCAAAUAAUAGAGAAAAUCCAGAUUGUAGCAUAAUGAAUGCAUACGCAACUGAAGAAAAUUGAUAUAUAAUUCCCAUGGAUGAAGUUCAACUACAAACAACAAGUAAAAUUAUAUAAAGAUCUAAUGCAUAAACUAGUGUAGCCAUAACCAAGUAUUCAUAAGGAUAAUAUUUGUUUUAUCCAAUUAUCUAUGAAUAUUUAAUUAUGAACUCCCACAACCAUUAUUAAAGAGCCAUGAAAUCACUCUCUUCAAUUUCAAAUCCACAAGUUCAAGAAGCUUCAUUACAUUACCAGCAAGAAAGAUUAUCAGUAAAUAAGCAAGAUAAUGACCAAAAUCAUGUGGGUAAUUUAUUUUUUAAAACCCUAAUGCAUAUAACCCUAACAAUUAUGCACCAUAAAUUCUCUUUAUAAAGUAAAAAUCAAGUGUAAAUGUGGUUAAUGACCUUUAGUUCGGUGAAUUUCCAGCCUUUAAUUCGGUGAUUUUGUAGCCUUUAAUGUGGUGGAUGAACUUGCAGCAGCAGGAGCAUGAACUUGCAGCAGCAGGCGUUGUGUAUGGUAGCUCGUGAAGGUAGAUUUUGAAAUUUGAAGAAUUAAAUUGGGGUAAUUCUAUAAUUGCACAUUGAAAAAGGUAUAUAAAAGAAAUUUUGAAUUAUGGGGGUGUAGUUGGAUAAAUACCUAACCUUUAGGGUAUGGCGGGGACAAAUCCAAUCAUGUUCAGCAUAAAUUUAGAAUGACAGAAAAAAUUAAUCAUUAAAUAAGUCAUAAAAAAAUUAAUGACAUAAAAUAUCAAUCACAAAUUAUGUCACAAACGUAAUAUUUUACCCACCAAAAUUUGAAAAAAAAAAAUCACAUUUCUCGCCAAAAAUUUAAAUAAUUUAUUCAUUUUUUCCAUGACUGACAUAUGACAUUUAAACGGUAUCAUAAAUUAAUGACAUACUUUUUUCUAUCAUAAAAGUGUGACAGGUACAUAGAUGAUAGAUAAUUUCACUGUCAUCCACCCCCUUUUAUGAUAGAUUUUUUGCAGUCAUCUAUUGCCAGUUUUCUUGUAGUGACAUAAGAUGUAGCUUAUCAAAUAACUCUAGAAAGUUGAUUUGAAUUACACUACACUUAUUGUUCUAUAUAAACACUACAUGGGUGAAUGAUUGCACGUACAAUAAUAGUCAUAAGAAUCAAAGCAACAUCAAAAGAGAGUGAGAGAAAAGGAAAAAGGCAGUGGGUUCUUGCUUUGUGAAUUGAGGGGAUUUUCCAACUACGUGAUUGUCCUCUGAUCAUCAGUGACAUAAACUCAUGAUAGAUCCGUUCGUGAAGUAGAUUUGCUCAUAAAGGUUCCUAGCAAUUAAUUAUUGUUCGUUGCGAUCUGCUCGUGCUAGUUCCUAACAAUCCGCUUUUGAAGAUUAGAGGGAGCUUAUUUCCGCAUCAACCAAUAAGGUAUGGAUUUGGUUGAACAAAAUAAAUAGCAUAAUUUAUUUAGAAAAUCAUCAUUAGUAUCAGAGCAUGUGUAGUUUAUGUUCUGAUCUUGGGUGCAUUAUGUAUGCUAAUAUGCCAUGUUUUCUGUGAAAAUUUGAUAAAAUUAUGUAUGCAAUUUAUUUAGAAAAUCAUCAUUAGUAUCAGAGCAUGUGUAGUUUAUGUUCUGAUCUUAGGUGCAUUAUGUAUGCUAAUAUGCCAUGUUUUCUGUGAAAAUUUGAUAAAAUCACACAUUAAUGGUAUAUGAUAAUAUACAUAAUGUUAAAGCAUGAAAUUCGAAAUAUAAUCACGUGAACAUACAAGGAGUAUAUAUGGAACUUUGUUUGAUAUAAUAUGCUCUUGAAGAAUGAAUAAAUUGAAACCCUAAGUUAUAAACCCGCAUGCUUAUUUUGCUUAUAACUUUUUGUAUGUUCAUUCGUUCUCUGGAAAGUUGAUAUCAUUGGAAAGAUUAAUUAUAUUUGCAACGGUAUAUCAAAUGCUUGAUUUGGACUUGUAAAUUGAGAAAACGAAGUGUUUAAAAUUCUAGUUCGAAAUCUGGAAUUUUUGUUCAAAUUGAAGAAGAUGAACAGUGUUACAUGUGUUGUCCCAAUCUCGGGCAUGGCGUGUGAAAUUCACCCCUUCAAUAAAACAAAAAUUCAAGACCAGAUUUGAAUUCAGGACAUGAAAAAAGGUGGAAAUUCAUAAAUGUAACGUCAGAAAAUGGCCAGAAUCUGGGAUGUGUAUCACACGCGCCGACGAGGAGAGUUAAAAAAAGGCUUGACUCUAAAUCAGUCCAGGCCGCGCGAAUUGAACCAAACCGUGCGAACCAAACCCCAUGAACUGAACUCAGCUAGACUACGAGUUAGCGCAAGUCACGUGCCAAGCGUGCCGCAUUGACCUACCCGCGACAGUGGCACGUGUAAUGUACGCACCGCCUUCCCGACCUUUGAUUGCGGCGCUGUUUGCGGCAGCCAGACCAGAAUUAAUUUCCUAUUUUUCUAUUUUAAAAUUAAAUUUUUGUCUCUGUUUUAAUUUUAAUUUAUUUUUUAUUUUUUGACAUGCUUGAAUUUAUGAAUAAAAAUAGUUUUAUUGCCAUUAAAUUCACAUAAUAUGCAUCUUACAUGUAAGAAUGUUAUAUUCCAGUGGGAGGAAAUAUAAAAUACUUAAAAUAUUAUGGGGAUUAUUAAAGUCUCGCGUAGUAAUGUGAAUUUAUGCAUGUCUAGGAAAAUUCUGUCAAAAAGACAAUAAGAGUAUAAGGAAACAAGGUACUUAAGUGGAACCAUCCUAUCCCUACCUCUUUCCUGAAAAUUUUCCAUAUGAUUAUUCACGUGAACAAAUGCAUGAAGGCUUUUUUAUCCCUUAAAACUAAAAUAAGCAUUCUAUUAUUAAAAUACUAAAAAGAUUAAAUAAUAAUUAAGAUUUUUGCGCAAAAGGACUAAAUGAUGAUAAUUUAAUUAUUCCCGACCUCUGGCUUUUCCGUUCUCUUUCUUUCAAAUGGUGAAAAUAAUAACAGAGCAUGACAGCUCACUACUUUCAUUUGUUAAAAAGUGUUGCCUGAAUUCCUUCCUUUGCUAGCUGGAACUAUUAGGUUGAAGUAAUGAGUUCUUGUUAAAAGCACAAAUUUUACUUUAUUUGAUGAUUAUAAAGCAUUCGUCAGUUGUGAAUACUCAUCCAAGGCAGGACCGGCCUCAGAAUUUGGUGAAAUAGAAGAGCUUCUAAUGAGAUUGUAUAAUCAAGUCAAUGUAUACUGAAUUUUACAUGUGGAUAAAUUGAAGAGUUAGAAUGAAAUGUUACAACCCCUAGGACGUGUUUGGUAGCCCACAUUACAUGAGAUAAAAAUAUUGUUUUGUAUUACAUUUAUGCAGAUCCAUGUUUGGCAAUAAAAAUAACUACAACAUUAUUGCAUUAAUGGGCUAGGCUAAUGUGGCAAGUGCCGAAUUAGCUUCCUUCUUCUUUUUUUCCCCCUUUUUCUUUGUUAUAAUAAUAAUAAAUAAAUUUAACUUUUUAAUUUCAUUUAAUAUUAUAUAAUAUUUUUAUUUUUAUUUUUACAUUAUAAUUAUUAACAUAAAUAAGUAAUUAUGAUUAUUAAUAUAAAUUAAUAAAUAUAUAAUUUAUUAUUCAAUAAUAUUAUAUUAUAUUUUUUAUUUUUACAAUAUAAUUUAUUAAUAAAUUUACAAUUUAAUAUAACUAUAAUAAAUAUUUACAUAUGAAUAAAUUUGAAUAAUAUUAAUUUAAAAUUAAUAAUAAUAUUAAUAUUAAUAUAAUAUUAAUAUAAUAUAAAUUAAUAGAAUAGAAUAUAUAAUUUAAAUUAAUCACAAAAAAUUAAUACAGUAUAGUGUAGCACCAAUUAUACAACAUUGUUAUAACAUAGUGCUAAUACAAUACAGUAUAAUACAAUACAAUUUACCAAAUGCACCCAUUGGAAAAAGGACACCUACACCCCAACAUUUAGAGAAAUAGUUAUACAGACCCCUAAAUUUUCAAUAAGAGACAUCAAGACCCCCUUUUAACCAUAAUACAUUUUAAAAACUCAAAAAAUUGACCCGAAAAUUUAUAAUAGAUAGAAAUAUACAUAUUUUAUUAUAUUAAAAUAAUUUUUAACAAAUAGAAGCAUAAUAUCAAAAGAAAUUAAUUAAAGUUAAAAUUAUUUGAAUAUUAUGUAAAAAUUAAUUUUAAUAUUAUUAACAGGGAGAUAUUUUAUUAAUCGUAAAAUCUAUUUAACCCAUAAAUACAAAUAUAUUAUCAAAAUAAAUAUAGAAAUUUAAAAUUUUAAUAUUAUUUUAAAUGUUAAAAAUAAUUUAAUAUUAUUAGUCUACUGGAUAGAUUUUAUUAUUUAUAUUAAUUACAAAAUUUUAAAGCUAAUGUUCUAAUUACUAUAUUCAAUAGAUAUUAUCGUAUAAAAAAAGCAAGUCUUAGUGUCCUAAUUUCUUCAAACCUUAUGAGUGUUGGUGUCUUUUUUUCUAAACCUUACGAAAGGUUGUUUACACUAAUAGAACAAAAUUUUUCCCGGAUGUUCGUAAGAAACAACAGUACAAUAAUUCUAUCAUCAUCUUGUAAACAAAAGUACAAUAACUCUUAACGUAAUGUUGUCUGCUAACACCAAUUAUUUAUGCAUAUUUCUUUUUAAAAAAGCUCAAACAAUGCUCCCUUUAUUUUUCUUUAAUUGGACAAAAGAAAAAAAUGAUUACGGAGCCACUACUUUCCAAAUGACCCUAUCAACAGCUAGUGACUCUGACUAUAAGGCAAAAUAUGUACACAAAAGUCAUAACGUUAAAGUUGGAGGAGCCCAUUUGACAAUAGGGACAAUAAUAAAUAAUUAAUUUUCCGUGAUGCAUGAUUUUUCCAAAUCUUAUUUUGUUUUUCUUUUUUUCUUUUUACUUUAAGGGUUAAUUUUAGAUUUCGACUCGUGAUUUGAAUUCAAAUCACCUUCUUAUUUUUUAAAACCUUAAUCUACCUUUACUUUUUAUAAAGAAAAUUUUAAAAAAAAAUUAUCAACAUACCCAUUUUUAAUCUUUUAAAUGAGAGGUAACUUGAGAUUUUAAAAAAUAAAUGGGCGAUUCGAAAUUAACCAUUCAAGAGAGGGUAAAUUUUAGACUACUUCCCUCUCGAAUUGGCUAUCUUCAAAUCACCCCCUUAUUUUUUAAAAUCUCAAGUUAUCCUAUUUUUUGUGUAAAAGAUAAGGAAAAGAUGGAGGUAGUUGAUGAUCCUUUUUUUGGGUCUUCUUAACAAAAAUAGAAUAAAUUGAGAUUUUAAAAAAUAAAGAGUGAUUUGAGGAUGGUCAAUUCACAAGAGAAUAAUCUUCUUUUAUGAAAAAUAAUUUAUUUUUAUUUUUAUUAUUAACAAACUUCCAAUAAAUGCACGUAAGGAUUAAAAAUAUACGGAUAUAAGUUUUUGAGUAAUCUGUUCAUUUCUUUCCACACUUGUUUAUAUUUAUUGAUUUUAUUCCACUCUACUUAAAUAUGCAAAUAUUUCUAUAAAAAAAAAAAAAGGGGUCGGCUGAAAUAGGCAUGACGUGUUCAUACGCUAAAGUGGGAAUAAUAUAAACAAAUCAAUUAAUUAUCCGAUGAUGACAAUUUUUUUUUCUUUUGAUAGUUCAACUCUUUUCCCCCUAAACGAUGCAUUGUUUAUAAAUGAAAGCGUUACAAAAAUUAUGAAAAACAAUAAUUAUUUUUUUUACUAGUAAAAUAGCAAUUAGGAAAAAGCAUCUGGGUGCAAUAAUUAUUAUUAACAUCAUCAAAUCUUACAUUUUAUUAUUUUUCUAUGUUGAUCUUUAAUAUACCAGUUAUGCCCUUCUUUGAAAUUUAUAAAAGAGUUUAUCAAGAAAAAAGAUUUAACAAAUAAAUUUAUCCAUCUGAAUAGCUGAACUCUUACACACAUCUAUAAAAUAUCAGGAACGCCCUUGACAAAAAGACUAUUUUCUCAAUUUCCAUGAUAAAACAUUUUAAUGGUUGGCAGCAUAAACAGGUAUUAACUAUAAUAUUACUAUAUUAGGCAAUUAGUAUUCUAUAUUCAAGGGUAAAAUUCAUUUUAUCUGUUCAAAGUUCUAUUUGUAUUUUACAAGUCAAAAUAUGUAUAAUGAAUCUUGCAAUUUUUUUUUCCCAAAGCAAGGGCAUAAUUGAUAUUUUAAAUGACAACUAAAGGUCAAUUACUAUUUUUUUCAAAAUAGUAGUUAAGAAAUUUAUAAAUCUUCAAUAAUAAAAUUUACAUUAAAAUUUUGGAUAAAAAAUUUAUGUUGAAAUAACCCUCCAUAUCUAUAUCGAAAAUAAUUCUCAGGUGCAGAUUUUUAAAGUCAGAUUUCGUGUAGAUUUGCUAUUACACUAUACAGUAUUCUGGUUUUUUUUUUUCAACUAACACUAUUAAACCAGUGGCGUAAUAGUGAAUCCACAUAUAUAUAUGAGGAAAUUUUAAUUAGUUAAUUUCUUGAAAUUUUCUAAUCUGAAACUAUUAAAAAUGAUUUGAAUGUUUUAUAAUUAUAUUUUAAAGUAUGGUGCGUAUGCACAAUUUGAGAAAUGAGAAUAUCACCACUCAUUUUUUAAUAUACUUUUAUUUAAUUAGAAACUAUUGUUCUUAUCUUUACAGCGUAUAUUGUUAAUAUUUAUGGAGAAUAUCCAUUUUGAGAAUCACUAAAUAUUGCUAAUAUUUAGCGUAUAUUAUUGUUAUAUAUCACUCUUGUUCUUAUCUUUACAGCGUAUAUUGUUAAUAUAGUCUUUCAAAUCAUUAUCUCUAGGCUGUUUCAUUACUCCUCGUAUAACAAUAAAUAUUUAAAUAUUGAUACAUGAAUAUAAGAAAAUAAAUCAAUAAUAUCGAUUAAAUAAUAAUUUUUGACAAUUUUAGGACUAGUGUGCUAAAUUAGUAAUUCGAUAAAUUUAGACAAUCAUAUGUUAUAAAAAAAUUGUUAUUUUUAUAUUGGACUCGACUCAGAUACUCUAUAAAUUAAUAGUUAAUUUACUUGCAACAAAAUUAAUACGGUAUGUACGUACAUAGGCGGCUUUUGCGAAAUAUAGUUUUACUGUCUUCUUUUCUUGAAAUGGUUGUAGACUUGAUCUCAUGUCCAAUGUCACUAGCGUUUUAAAUAAAUUUGUGCAAGGUAGGCUCAAUAGUACAAAGAACUAACAUUUGAGGCAUGCACAAAUAUCUAAUUUCUUAUUUUAAUUAAUAAAUAAUUACAUAAAUAUAAGACUCCAAUAUAGUUGAAGUGGCUAGGUAAGUACUGAUGGAUUUCUAGUAGCAAAUGCAAGCAGUUCUUCGUCACCUUCAAAAAAGGCCAUGUCUUCGGGGCUCAGAGUCACCCAUACUUCUAUUCCCUUACCAUCGUUUGCGGCCAUUAUAAUAAUCAAGUUUGACACCCAAUAAUUUGGCAUAGUCAUGUGCACUGGCUUUCCCCAUCCAAAAUCUGCUGCUUCAUAAUAUGGAAAGUUAACAAGGCUGCUGAAAGUGUAGAAAUCGAUCUCAUCUUUUUCAAACUUGUCUUUAAUUGACUCCGGAAUAUCGAAUAUAUUCUUGUUUUUUAGCAAGGUUUUGAGACCGUUUCGUCUAAAUUCUGCCUUUGCUUUUCUUAAUGAACAAACCAAGUCUUGUAGUGUUUCAGUUUCCUUUUCACUCGCCUGCGCCGUCAGAUACGCGACGGAGUUGCCCACAGAGUUGUCAGGCAAGGGCGGCUCGGCCACGGCACGCACGUCUAUCGCCUGUACUGACAAAGAAGGUCUUGAAUACCCAAGGUUUGAUCUUGACGCCGCCCUUGCACACUUCCAAAUCAGGGCAGUCAAUGCCUCGACGCGUGUUGGUCUAGGCACGGUUGGACUUGCAACUUUAGCCUUGAGUUCGUCAAUUUUCUUUGCAUCAAAUACAAACCUGUUGGCUUUGACCGGUGAAAUAUGUGAGGGUGCGGCCACGAAGGAUUCGCUUGCUGGAAAAAUCGUUGAAGUAACAAAUCUAGGAGUCACUUCCUUAUUAUUGCUGCUGCCCGAUAACUGAUUAUCCGCACGAGCUGUUGUGGCCCAGCUGUCAACGAAUAUGCGUAACGAGGCUCCAUCAAUGAGCUUGUGACAAGUGCAAACUGUGAUUGCCAGUCCCCCGCAUUUGAAAAAGGUAGCUUGUACGCGCAGCAUUGGACACCCAUUGCUUGCUACUGGAGAUUCUACGUAGUUAAACGGGUGAAAAUCCCGUAAUAAAUUCUGAUCAGGCUUUUGUAGGUAUUCAAACAAAAAGCCGUUCGCAAGAGCUUCAACAUAUUCAGCCCCUUCGUCGUUACUUUCAAUAGAGAAAUCGUCUUUGACCCUCCCAGCAAGUGGGUAGAAUUUUGUGAGAGUUUUUGAUAGGGAUAACUUGAGACAUUGCGAAAUCUGGUCAGCUUUCACAUUACCGUCUGCUUUGUACAGAAAAAUGGUGCUCACAUAGACCGGAAAAGUGAUCUGGUCCAUGAGGGAAAGUUUAAAAUUUCUCAGGUGUUCAGGAGUUGGGUAAGCUGGUUUGAUGCUUUCUCUGGCCCGUACUAGUACUUCUAGUGCCCUUUCCAUUUUAGGCUUUGCUACUUUUGCAACCGUUUGUAGACUUCUUGUUAGUAGUACCUGUCCAAUAUUAAAAUAUCAAAAGUUAAAUACAUUAUACACAUAGAACUGUAACUAAGAAAAUUUCUAUCACUAGUUUUGAUUACUUUUCAGUGCCUGCCUUGUUGUUGCAGAUCUCGGUUGCUCUUAUUAGAUGGCAGCUCCUCGGUAACUAGUUAAGACCCUUAUAUAGUAAAAUUUGGUUGCCAAAUUUGACUCCAUUAGUUCGAUUCCGUGGUUUGUCAAUGCAUCAACAGUUCAAUGAGAACUUACUCGCGUUAACCACGUGCAUUGCUUUUUGAAUUUUAUGAAUACGAAUCCUCACGAUCGAAAUUGACAUUGAUCAAUACAUUAAUUAAGCGCACUUGAAUAUAUAUGGAAUUGAAAGAUAAAUGCUAGGUAACUUAAUAUUUAAGUCUCAAUUUGAAUCUCAACUAAUGUUGUUAGGGUUAACAAAACCUGGGUUUGAGCUUGGGUAUGGUAAUGUCCAGACCCAGCCCGAAUAUAUUUUUUAGACACCCAUCGAGCUAGAUUUUUUAAUUUGGGUUAUUAUAUCAGAUUUUAUACUUUUUAAUGUUAUAUAUUUACAAUUUUUAAUUUUUUUUAAUUUUACAAUUUUACAAUUUAUUUCUAUUAAUUUGGACAUGAAAUAUGAAUUUUAAAUAUUUAAAACUUUACAUAAAUAUAAUAGAUUGGCCAAAUAAAUUUAAUUAUUUAAACUAAUAUAUAUUUUAUAAUAUUUUUUUCAAUAAAAAUAUAUUUUAUUGGAAGCAAAUGGAUUUUACAUGUUAAACGAAAGGUGGAUGACACAAUUGAAAGAUACAAGGCACAUUUGGUAGCGAAAUGAUAUACCCAACAAAAGGGUAUAGACUAUAAGGAAACUUUUUCCCCAGUGGUAAGGUUUGCCUAUAUAAGAUUAAUUCUAGCCAUCGUUGCACAUGUGGACCUUGAAUUGCAUCAAAUGGAUGUUAAAACAAUAUUUUUCAAUAGAGAGCUAGAGGAUGAAAUUUAUAUGAAACAACCAGAGGGUUAUAUAACCAAUAACCAAGAGUGCAAAGUUUGUAAGCUCAAAAGGUUAAUACAUGGCUUAAAACAAUCCACCAGACAAUGGUAUCUUAGGUUUCAUGAAUCUAUGAUGACUUAUGGAUUCUCGAUGACCGAGGAAGAUCAUUGUGUAUACGUUAAAAGGUUAGAAGGUAACUUUGUCAUCUUAUCGUUAUAUGUGGACGAUAUAUUGUUGGCUAGAAAUAAUACAGAGUUUGUUCAAACCAUUAAGGAAUGGUUAUUUUCAAACUUUGAAAUUAAAGAUAUGGGUGAAGCGUCUUAUAUCCUGAGAGUUAAAAUCCAUAUGGAUCAUUCUAGAAAACUUCUAGCUCUGUCACAAGAGUCUUAUAUUAGAAGAAUUCUUGAAAAAAUUUAAAAUGGAUAAGUGUAAACCUAUGGAUACUCCCAUCUCUAAAGGACAAACUCUUAGCCUUGAAAUGUGUCCAAAGACUUUAAAGGAAUGAAAUGAAAUGGCACGAGUUCCAUACUCCAAUGCUGUUGGAAGUUUCAUGUAUGCUAUGAUGUGUACACAAGCAGAUAUUUGUUAUGAUAUGUGGUUGGUAAGCAGAUACCAAUCAAAUCCUGGGCGCAAGCAUUGGAAUGUUGCCAAAAGAAUUUUAGCAUAUUUGAAAGGCACUGCUGACUAUUCUUUAUGUUAUCAAAGAGGUAAUUUAUGCUUAAUUGGAUACACAGACGCCGAUUGGGGAGGCGAUCUUGAUGAGCGCAAAUCAACCUCAAGAUACUUUUUUCUACUUAGUCACGGUGCGACCUCAUGGAGUAGCAAGAAGCAAACAUGCACAACUCUGUCGACUAUGGAAGCAAAAUAUGUAGCAUGUUCGGUCGUAGUACAAAAGGCUAUUUGGCUUAGGCGCUUUUUAAAUAAUCUCAAGAUCGUUACUGAUCCUCCUCGGCCAGUAAUCAUAUAUUGUGAUAGCCAAGCAACCAUAUUCUUUACCAAAGAUGCAAAAUACCACAGCAAGUCUAAACACAUAGAGACAAAGUAUAAUUUUGUGAGAGAUAUUGUGGCGAAAAAGGAAGUAUUGAUGCAACACAUGUCUACACACUUUAUGGUUGCAGAUCCAUUCACUAAAGCCAUGACACAAGAUGUUUUUAUUGCACAUACGCGAUCAUUAAGAUUGCGCAGAUUAUAAAAGUUGUACUUAAUAAAUUAUUUUGAUUAAGUCUCAUAAGAUACUAAUUGACAUGAUUACACAUAUAUGAUUAUUGAAAGAUAUGUUCUCAGGUUAUGACGGACUUUCUUACACAAGCAGUCACUUCAAUUAUUAAUGAAAGCAAGCUGGGAUGAGACACAAGAUUAAGAGAAAGUACUGGAUACGUUCUCAUGGAGCUUUUAUCUUGAAAAUGUCGCCUUAACUAGGUCAAGAUGAAGAACCUAAUUAAGUCAGGUAUGAGUUCAUUAGGUACUUUAUGAAGGCAAGCUUAUUGAGACUCAAAUUGAGUGCUCGAAUAAGCGAUUGAUUUAGGAUAUGUAUAGUGGAUAGCUAGACAUAUGCUCUUACACAAAGAGAAUUUACUGUAAUGCAUGAUUCAUCCAUGCAUGCUUUUGUGACAAAAACAAAAAAGAGUGAAUAAAUCCAUGAUUCCUUAUUGUGUAAGUUCCUUCAAGGUAUAAGAAAGAUCUCAACAAUUUCCUUAGUUACCAUAGACUAUAUCUUAAAGGAAAUGAUUAGUGAUAGCUACUUUAGCAUAUUUUUUCCUUAACUAUAAUGUUAUUCGAUCUAUGAAACAUGUCUAAGAAAUCAACCAGCCUAAAACUGAAAGGUAUGAGUAGAGUGGGAAGAUUUAUUCUCCUUACAUCUAACUUAUGCAUUCAUCGGUCGACCAGUUAUAUAAUCUACCUAGGGAUGAAUACAAUUGCGAAUACAUACAGUGCACAGCGUCAAAUAUAAUUUUUGUUGAGGGAUUAAAUAUGUUUGUACCGAUGUAAAGGAUAAUGAAAUAUUCUAGGAAAUAUAAUGAGCAAGUUAUUUGAAUCUCUUGCAAAAAGUGCAAUUGAGAUUUUUGCUCCACAAGCUCCAGUUUAUAUUGUUCAUGGGUCACACGUUGCAUUUGCUCGUAUGAUACUGCGAUUGUGGCUUUAUGCCCAAAAACCCUACUCUCGUUGAUGUUAGAUUUAAUGCUCAUGAUGGGACAGAUUAAUCUAACGUAAGUGAUAAGAUAAACUUAGAGUUUGUCUAGGAUUCUUAUAAGAUAAAAUUAAUAUUUUAUCUUAAUCCUAAUCACAUAAGAUGUAGCUUAUCAAAUAACUCUAUGAAGCUGAUUUGAAUUAAACUACACUUAUUGUACUGUAUAAACACUACGUGGGUGAGUGAUAACACUUACAAUAAUAGUCAUAAGAAUCAAAGCAACAUCAAAAGAGAGUUAGAGAAAAGGGAAAAAGGCAGUGGGUUCUUGCUUCGUGAAUUGAGAGGAUUUUCCAAAUACCUGAUUGUCCUCCGAUCAUCAGUGACAUAAAAUCGUGACGAUCUGUUCGUGAAGGUUCCUAGCAAUCAAUUCAUGUUCGUUGCGAUCUGCUCAUACUAGUUCCUGACAAUCCGCUUUUGAAGAUUGGAGGGAGCAUAUUUAUAUUCUUGGAGGCUCGUGACGAUUCAUUUCCACAUCAAUCAAUAAGGUAUGGAUUUAGUUGAACAAAAUAAAUUGCAUGAUUUAUUUAGAAAAUCAUCAUUUUGAAGCCACAAUAGAUUUUUGGCCAUGGGGACUGAGAAUAGAUGUUUUAAUUUAUGAUAGAAAACUACUUUAAUGAUUCUUUCGUUGCUGAAAGAUUGAUUUUCUGUGAGUUGGCUGCAACAUAUCUUCUCCAAAUUCAUCAAAUCACGAAUAGACAAUGACUCCAGCAAGGGAAAGACUUUGCAAUGAACCCGUUCAAUUGAACCGCCAACAAAUGUAUGCUAUCAUUCAAGGCAAAUUUUUGUGGUGUAUACUAUCAUUCAAGGAAAAUUUCAUGCCUAAAUCAGAAGCGAGUUUGUCUUGAAUUUUCUGAGAAUUUGGGUCCUGUGUUACCUCAGCCAUAACGGCCUUAUCGAACGAAUUAUCUUCCAUCACUUGCUUUGCAACUUGCUUGACUAGCGUGGUAUUACCCAUGCCGCCCAUUCCAUAGACCCCAAUUAUGUUGAGCUUAUCAUCCUUCACUGCCUCCAGAACAUCUUGAAAUAAUUUCAUUCUUGAAUCAAAGGCCUCGUAACCUUUCGCUUGCAUAUGUUCUGCACUCUUUGGAGCAGGACGGUAGGAAACAUUAGAGAAGUUGGCUUGUACCACGAGAUUAGCGGCAGCUUCUGCGGCCUUUGUGGGGGGAAAAAAAAUGGAUCCAAAUAAAUUAAAGUGAAACGACAAACAAUUAAUUUUGGUCUUGAACGGACAAUUAAACAGAGAAUUUAUUAAUUUAUUUAUUUUUUGGGUCAAGAAUCAGAAUUUUGGCUAUUAACCGAAAGUUUUCACGGGCAUAAAUGAAGAGCAACAAUUUUUUUUUAGAAAUUAUUUCAGAAGAGCGAUGCAAAUUGACAAACGAUAAUAAUAAGAACACAGAAGUUAACAGUGAACAAUAACUUAAAGCUCAAGAAAACUAAAUGACAAGAUUAAGACAAACAAGAGAUAUUUUUUCUUGGAAAUUAAGAAAAAACUACUAUGAAGAUCAAGGAUUAGAGAUAUGCUAUGAAAAGAAAUUAUUAAAGGAUUUACAACAAGUUCACCUCUUUAAUUAUCUGGGAUGAUGAGCUCUUUAUUCGCCUUGAAUGUAUAAGAACAAUUUUAAUAGCAAAAGAUCACUGUUAACUGCAGAGCAAUGUGUGAGUAAAGAGUUGAUGAGAGUAAUAACAAAUGAAUCGCAAAAGAAAAAAACUUAAUCAUGCAUCCCUUUUCAUAUCACGUACUUGAUUACUGUUGUCCUGUUGAUGCACGUAUUUUUUUUUUUUUCAUGAAUAAUUGCCAGAUCAGGAAAGAAUUAUUCUGUUUGAUUGAAAGAUUGUUGAUUCCAAUUAAGAUAAGCUUGGAUGCCUAAUGAAAGAUAAAGCAGAAGCUUGGAUAAAUGAAAGAGGACCAAAACUUUUAUAAAAGUAGAUACCGAUAAAAAGCCGAAAAGGCAUUUUACAAAGAAGAUCAUCAAAGUAAGAUAGAUGAUGACUUGAUUUUUACUUUUUUUUUAAUUUCACCUAUUCUGUUCACAAAUGAUGGCUUAGUUGUUAGUAGUUCCACAUGGACAUUAUUUACAAAUUGUUGUUAUGUUUAAUAGAGAAAUGAAAAGCUGUUCAUCGUACAAAAUUGCAUGAUCAAAUCUUGGAUUUUUAUUAUUAUAAAAUAAAUAAAUUUCAUUAAUAGAUAAUGCGCAGGUUAAUGUUAGGAAUUUGAUCAGAUGAUCAUAUAAUUUACUAAACCCUUUCACAAGUGCAAAGUUUAAAAAUAAUAAAUAAAUAAAGAGUACGCGUAAAGAAUGUUAUUUGCAAUACCCAAACUGAAAAAUAGGGGAAUGAAAACAGAGGAACCUCUCAUUUUUCUUUUCUCUUUCUUUCAAAUGGUGAAAAUAAUAAUAGAGCAUGGCAACUAACUACUUUCAUUUGUAAAAAGUGCUGCCUGAAUUCCUUCCUUUGCUAAUUGGAACUAUUGGCUUGAAGUAACGAGUUCUUGUUAAAAGCACAAAUUUUACUUUAUUUGAUAAUUAUGAAGCAUCGGUCAGUUGUGAAUACUCAUCCAAGGCAGGACCGAUCUCAGAAUUUGGUGAAAUAGAAGAGCUUCUAAUGAGAUUUUAUAAUCAAAUCAAUGUAUACUGAAUUUUACAUGUGGAUAAAUUGAAGAGUUAGAAUGAAAUGUUACAACUCUUAGGGCGUGUCGCCCACAUUACAUGGGAUAAAAAUAUUGUUUUGUAUUACAUUUAUGCAGACUCAUGUUUGGCAGUAAAAAUAACUACAGCAGUAUUGUAUUAAUGGGCCGGGCUAAUGCGGCAAGUGCCGAAUUAGCUCGCUUCUUCUUCUUCUUUUUUCCCCUCUUUUUCUUCGUUAUAAUAAUAAUAAAUAAAUUUAACUUUUUAAUUUCAUUUAAUAUUAUAUAAUAUUUUUAUUUUUACAUUAUGAUUAUUAACAUAAAUAAAUAAUUAUGAUUAUUAAUAUAAAUUAAUAAAUAUAUAAUUUAUUAUUCAAUAAUAUUAUAUUAUAUUUUUUAUUUUUUACAUUAUAAUUUAUUAAUAAAUUUACAAUUUAAUAUAACUAUAAUAAAUAUUUAAAUAUGAAUAAAUUUGAACAACAUUAAUUUAAAACUAUAAAAUAUUAAUAUAAUAUAAAUUAAUAUAAUAGAAUAUAUAAUUUAAAUUAAUUACACAAAAAUUAAUACAGUACAGUAUAGUACCAAACAUUAUAUAGCAUUGUUAUAACACAGUGCUAAUGCAAUACAAUAUAGUACAAUACAGUGUGCCAAAUGGGUAGAAAAAAGACAUCUACACCCCUAACAUUUAGAGAAGUAGUCAUAAAGAAACCUAAAUUUUCAAUAAGAGACAUCAAGAUCCACUUUUGGCCAUAAUACAUUUUAAAAACCCAAAACAAUUGACCCAAAAAUUUAUGAUAGAUAGAAAUAUCGCAUUUUUACAAUCUAUUAGACAUAUUUUAUUAUAUUAAAAUAAUUUUUAACAAAUAGAAGCAUAAUAUCAAAAAGAAAUUAAUUAAAGUUAAAAUUAUUUUGAAUAUUAUGUAAAAAAUAAUUUUACUAUUAUUAACAGGGAGAUAUUUUAUUAGUCGUAAAAUCUAUUUAACCCAUAAAUACAAAUAUAUUAUCAAAAUAGAUAUAGCAAUUUAAAAUUCUAAUAUUAUUUUAAAUGUUAAAAAUAGUUUAAUAUUAUUAGUCCACUGGAUAGAUUAUAUUAUUUAUAUUAUAUUAAUAUUAAUUAGAAAAAUUUAAAUUCAAUGUUCUAAUUACUAUAAUCAAUGGAUAUUAUAGUAAAAAAGAAGCGAGUCUUGGUGUUCUAAUUUUCUCAAAUCUUAAGGGUGUUGAUGUCUUUUUUCCUAAACCUUACGAAAGGCUGUUUACACCAAUAGAACAAAUUUUUUCUCGGAUGUUCGUAAGAAACAACAGUACAAUAACUCUAUCAUAAUCUUGUAAACAAAGGUACAAUAACUCUUAACGUAAUCUUGUCUGCUAACACCAAUUAUUUAUGUAUAUUUCUCUUUAAAAAAGCUCAAACAAUGCUCACUUUAUUUUUCUUUAAUUAGACAAAAUAAAAAAAUGAUUACGGAACCACUACUUUCUAAAUGACCCUAUCAACAACUAGUGACUCUGACUAUAGGCAAAAUAUGUGCUCAAAAGUCAUAGCGUUAAAGUUGGAGAAGCCCAUUUGACAAUAAUAAAUAAUUAAUUUUCCGUGGUGCAUGAUUUUUCCAAAUCUUGUUUUGUUUUUCAUUUUUUUGACUUUAAGGGUUAAUUUUAGAUUACUGACUCGUGAUUUGAAUUCAAAUCACGUCCUUAUUUUUAAAAACUUUAAUUUACCUUCACGUUUCGUUAGGAAAAUUAUAAAAAAAAAAAAUCCAUCAAUGUACCAUUUUUUUAAUCUUUUGAAUGAGGGAAAGCCAGAGAUUUUAAAAAUUAAAUAGGUGAUUUGAAAUUAAUCAAUUUAAGAAGGGGUAAAUUUUAGACUACUUUCCUCUUGAAUUGAUUCUCUUCAAAUUACCCCCUUAUUUUUUAAAAGCUGAAGUUAUCCUAUUUUUUUUGUGUGAAGGAUAAGGAAAAAAAUGGAGAUAGGUUAAUGAUUUAUUUUUUUUUGGCAUUCUUAACAAAAAUAGAAUAAAUUGAGAUUUUAAAAAAUAAAGAGUGAUUUGAUGAUGGUGAAUUCACGAGGGGAAUAAUAUUCUUUUAUGAAAAAAAUUCUAUUUUUAUUUUUAUUAUUAACAAACUUACAAUAAAUAUACAUAAGAAUUAAAAAAAAUAAGGAUGUAAGUUUGUGAGUAAUGAGUUCAUUUCUUUCGACAUUUGUUUAUAUCUAUUGAUUUUAUUGCACUCUAGUUAAAUGUCCAAAUAUUUCUAGCAAAAAAAAAAGGGGUCGGCUGAAAUAGACAUGACGUUUUCAUACGCUAAAGUUGGAAUAAUAUGAAUAAAUCUAUUAAUUAUCUGAUAAUGACAAGUUUUUUUUUUUUUUGAUAGUUCAACCUUUUCCCCCUAAACUAUGCACUGUUUAUAAAUGAAAGCGUUACAAAAAUUAUGAAAAACGUUUUUUUUUUUUUUUUCUAGUAACAUAGUAAUUAGGAAAUAACAUCUGCGCCCAAUAAGUAUUAUUAACAUUUUACUACUAAAUAAUCAUAAAAUCUUACAUUUUAUUAUUUUUCUAUGUUGAGCUUUAAUAUACCAGUUAUGCCCUUCUUUGAAAUUUAUAGAAGAGUUUAUCAAGAAAGAGGAUUUAAUAAAUAACUUCAUCCAUUUUAAUAGCUGAACUCUUACACACAUCUAUAAAAAAUCAGCAACGCCCUUGACAAAAACACUAUUUUCUCAAUUCCCAUAAUAAAACAUCUUCAUGGUUGGCAGCAUAAACUGCUAUUAACUAUAAUAUUAGGCAAUUAGUAUUCUAUAUUCAAGGGUAAAAUUCAUUUUAUCUGUUCAGAGUUUUAUUUGUAUUUUACAAGUCAAAAUAUGUAUAAUGAAUCUUGCAAUUUUUUUUUCCAAAGCGAGGGCAUAAUUGAUAUUUUAAAUGACAACUAAAAGGUCCAUUACUAUCUUUGAUAGAAAAGUAGUAAAAUUUAUAAAUUUAUAAAUCUUUAGUAGUAAAAUUUACGUUAAAAUGUCAAGUACAACACUGAUUCAUGUGGUUUCGAAUCCAACCAUUGAUCGAUCUCAUCUUCAGUCAUGUUAUCACUUUGUCGGGCUGUUAUUGAUGUAUAGAUAAAUAUUAACCCUGCAUUACUAUAAAUGUCUGCAUGACAAAAAAUUAUCAAAAAAUAAUUAAGCGCACAAAAAUCAUCUUUUGCAACUCGAUCAUACACAAGUUUGAGCAAAAAUUCGUACAUAUCUUGAGAAUUCUUUCUAGAGUAAAGAGUUAACCAUAAACUCUCAUACAAAUUUAUUUGAUAUAAAUUAAUGUGACAUGAUUAAAUUAAUUGGAUUAAAUAACUCUUCAUCCACUUGAUUUGUAUUUAUUAUUUUGUGUUUUCAUCUAACUAAUAAAUUUAUGUCAUAUCAUUUUAUAUAAAAUUAAAUUUAUAUAAAAAUUUGUAGUUGCAUCGUCACCCUAAUAUAAGAUUAGAAAAAUUCUCUUUGCUUCUAUCAUUUAAAAAAAAAAAUGUGUUACUUUAUAAUUUAUAUUUAAAGUAAAAUUCAAGUGGAUGAUUGGUGGUUGAUAAAUAAAAUUUAUAAUAAUUAAUUCUAAUUCUGUACAGUAUGUAGGUACAUUAAAAGAAUUUCAAAACAAAUUACAAAAACGGACCUUUUCUGGAAAUUGUUUUUGGAGCCGAAAAUCAAGACUGUGCAAAAUAACAAGUCGUUGGCUUCUCGGCAGGAGUUCUUGAAUCCGCCAUUACUAAACUAUCUUGUUUCCCCAUUAUAUCUUUAUUACGCCACCCAAUAUAAACAUUUAAAAUUCAUAAUCAAUGUUUCGGUGAUAUCAUAAUUAAUAUAUAAAUUGUAAUUUUGCUACAUGUACAACAUCUAUAACUUACAUCAAUUUAAAAUUUAUUUUUUAUAUGACUCAGUUAUUGUCUGUCAAAUAAAUGGGAGUAAUGAAAAAUUAUUUUUAGGUCCACUAUUAGUUAGCAGCGCCAGACUGUGAUAUUAUAGAGUUUCAUAUAAGGAUGAAUAAUUUAAAAGCUUUGCGACUCUUAGAAUUUGGUGAAAUAGAACAGCUUGUAAUGAGAUGAAUAAUCAAAUCAAUAUAUAUUGAUUUGUACAUGUAGAUAAAUUGAAGAGUUAGAAUAAAAUGUUACAAUCCUUCGGAAAAAGGAUACCUACACCUCCAAUAUUUAGAGAAAUACUCAAAAGACCCCUAAGUUUUCAAUACGAGACAUCAAGACCCUCCUUUUGAUCAUAAUACCCUUUAAUUUUAUAAACCCAAAAAAUUAACUCCAAAAUUUUAUAAUAGAUAAAAAUAUAGCAUUUUUACAAUCUAUUAGAUAUAUUUUAUUAUAUUAAACUAAUUUUUAACAAAUAGAAGCAUAAUAUCAAAAGAAAUUAAUUAAAGUUUAAAUUAUUUUUAAAAUUAUGUAAAAAAUUAAUUUUAGUAUUAUUAAUGGGGAGAUAUUUUUAUUAAUCGUCAAAUCUAUUUAACCCAUUAAUACAAAUACAUUAUCAAAAUAAAUAUAGCAAUUUAAAAUUUUAAUAUUAUUUUUAGUGUUAAAAAUAAUUUAAUAUUAUUAGUCCACUGGAUAGAUUAUAUUAUAUUUAUAUUAUUUACAAAAAUUUUAAAGUCAAUAUUCUAAUUACCAUAUUCAAAGAUUAUUAUAGUAAAAAAAAAAGUUUUGAUGUCUCAAUUUUCUCAAACCUGAGGAAUGUUGGUGUCCUUUACCCUAAACCUUAUGAAAGAUUGUUUACACCAAUAUAACAAAAAUUUUCUCAGAUGUUCGUAAGAAACAAAAGUACAAUAACUCUAAGAUAAUCUUGUCUGCUAACAUCAAUUAUUUAUGUAUAUUUCUCUUUAAAAAGGCUCAAACAAUGCCCCCUUUAUUUUUCUUUAGGAAAAAAAAAUGAUGCAUGAUUUUUCCAAAUCUUGAUUAGUUACUCCAGCUAAUCGGUCAUUUAAAGGAGUCGGCCACUAUGUGCUCAAAAGUCACAACGCUGAAGUUGGAGAAGCUCAUUUGACAAUAAUAAACAAUUAAUUUUCCGUGAUGCAUGAUUUUUCCAAAUCUUGUUUUGUUUUUCAUUUUUUGACUUUAAGGGUUAAUUUUAGAUUAAGACUCGUGAUUUGAAUUCAAAUCACCUCCUUAUUUUUAAAAACCUUAAUUUACCUUAACUUUUUGUAACAAAAAUUUAAAAAAAAAAUCAUCAACCUACCUCUUUUUUAAUCUUUUGAAUGAGAGAUAACUUAAGAUUUUUAAAAAUAAAUAGGCAGUUUGAAAUUAACCAAUUCAAAAGAGGGUAAAUUUUAGAUACUUCCCCCUUGAAUUAACUAUCUUCAAAUCACUCCCUUAUUUUUUAAAGGGUAAAAACUUGUUUAGUCUCUAUAUUAUGAGGUUAGUGUCCAUUUAAUCUAUAUAUUUUUAAGAAUACCUCAAAACACCCUUGCUGUUAACUAUUGACACUCGUACCAUUUUUUUAUAUUCUUUUUAGCUUAUUUUUAUAAUAUUACACUCUUACAGUAAUGUUUCUUUUUUGGAUAUUAAUAAAAAAUUAGAUUAUCAAAUUAAACCCAAAAAUAAAAUAUAAACAAAAAGAUAUAUAUUAAUUUUUGUGGAAGCUCAUGUGUGUCCAAAAAAAUUAAUAUUGUAAAAAAUUAAAUUAUCAAUUUUUUAGAAAAAUUAAUAUUUUAACUCUUUAGCAAAGUGUUCCACAAAAAUUAAUAUAUUUUUUUUUCCUUUUUGGUGUUAAAAUGGUAAUUUAAUUUUUUUAAUAAUAUCUAAAAAAUAAGUCAAAAGUAACAAAAGGUAAUGGCAAUGGUGUCAAUAAUUUAACGGUAGGGAUGUUUUAAGGUAUGUUUAAAAAUAUGAGGAUUAAACAAACACUAACCUUAAAACCUCAAGUUAUCCUAUUUUUUGUGUAAAGGAUAAGGAAAAGAUGGAGGGAGGUUGAUGAAUUUUUUUUUUUUUUUGUCUUCUUAAUAAAAAUGGAAUAAAUUGAGAUUUUUAAAAAUAAAGAGUGAUUUUUAAAAAUAAAGAAUUGUGUGACCUCUUAGUCGUGCAUUUUGGAGGUUUAUGCAUACGUGAGCAGGAUAUGCAAGGAUUAAAGAAGGGAUUGAGAAUCAAUUGGUUGUAGAAUAGUUUGUAUAGUAAGAGGAUUGCAACAUAUGCUAAGGUGUACGAUCAGGCAAAAUGGAUGUAAAAAACUAAAGAUGCAGAAGAAGAAAAAAAGAGAAUGGAAAAAUAGAGGAUAUGUCUGAUGUGAAAAGGAGAACUAAGAAGAGGAUGAGAUAACCUUAGUUACAGCUCGAGAAGGAACUCAGAUAAUAGAUGUUAUUAUGACAAAGACGUGUUUAAUUACAGAUGACCAGAGAGGCCAUGACGAAACAAAACGUUGAAAGAAAUAUGAUAGAAGAAACAAAGGUUUCUGGAUAAUGAUAAGCUUUAUUGAAAAGUCUGAAUGAAUAAAACUAGAGUUUUGAACCCCUUUUAUAACAAGUCCAAAUAUCGCGAAUUUACUAAAAUAAGCAAAUCCAAAAUCUAAUAUGAUAAUUAAAUUCUCCUAACCAAAAUAAGAAAAGGAGAACAAAUGGCAUUAAAGUCCGAGUUCUAGAAAAAAAUAAAAAUCCUAGGAGAAUCAAGAAAAACAAGAAAGAAUCUUAAAACUAAAAAAUGACCAUGAAAGAAAUAGAAUUUUUUGUUCGACCAUGGGGCAAAAUGGCUUAUACAGAGUUUUGUUCAUCUCAUUACAAGCUUUAAAACAGUAUAUUAUAUACUGAAAACAAACAUUUGUAGCCCAAGUUAUGGCCUUCGGAAUGUAUAUUGUUCGCUACACACAACACCCUACAUCAAGCCAAUUCGUGAUUGGGAAAAAAAAUCUUUAAGAGAGGAAGUCUCACCAAUAGGCAAGGCCAAGAAAGAGCAAAUGACUAUAGGAAAAGCAAAUGGGAGAACUGAGUAAGAAUAAGAAGAUGUGUCACCUCUAGUUUGGAGAGGAUCAAUAUUAUAUAUAGGGUAAACUUAAUAAAGCAGAGUGGGAGAUUUACACCUCUAAACAAGAGUAGAGCAAAAAUAUUUAUUGUGACUACAUAUAAGGGCUAUUGAUCCCACCAAAGCCAAUUGUGAGACAUUUGUGUCCGGGUAUGGAACCACAUAUUGCAUAGACUUGAAAAAAGAGAUUGAAUGGCUUAUACAAAACCAAUAUCUAAAGCAAAUGUGAACACGAAAGAAGAGAUGGGACUAGAGGGGACAACAUAGACAGUGUGGUAAUGGUGAUUAUGGAGUGGCAGACCUAGCAAGGGACUUGAAUUGUUCGAGGUGGAAUUAUAGUUGAUACUCCCUGAAAAUUUAUGAUGUGAUUUUUAAUGUUCCGAUACCAAAGAAACAAUGAGUUCAAAGAGAACUCAUCAAAGCCCUCAAAUUCUAUUUUUUUUUUUUAAGAUGAAAAGAUCUGAAAGCCACUAUCAUGGGUUCCUAAUAUCCAAUUUGGUUUAGACACAUAAAAGAAGAUUGGCUUCCCAUAUACACAGAGGUGGUUAUCUUAUUCUGUUCGAAUUGGUUGGAGUCCAUAUAAAGUUUUAGUGCACAUGGUUAUUUUCCCAACCGACUUUUUGAAACAUAUGAUAUGAAGUUUGAGAACAUACAACCGGAUGACUCAACUUAUCCAAGUUGACAUGAAAAGCGGAGAGUACCUGGCGGUCCAUGAACAGAAAGAAGAACCGCUUGUCCAUAUAGGUUUCUAAAAAUUGAAGGAGCUGGCAGCUUCAUCGGGGUGGUGAGCCACUUGCUUUCUGUCCCAAAAUUAUGUUUAUUUAUAAUAAGUUGGUUAGCCGGCUUAAUUGUAACGGUUAGUAGUUUGCUAGAAAUGGUAAUGGGACAUGAUUUGUUAAUGUUGAUCAAAGGUGCUUGAGGCAGUUGAUUGAUGUAGGAAGUUAAUUUCGGUUAAUUUAGGAAUUUCAAGAUUCUAGAUUUUUAUUUUGGGACUUUUUAUUUUCAUUAGAGUCAAUUAUCGUAUUUUAUUAUUUUAGGGUUUUCUAUUUUCAUUAGAGUCAAUUAAGGUAUGAGAUUUAGUUAACUUAGGGAAGUAUCUUUUAUUUCCAUUAUAAUUGUGAUUUAGUUUCCCUUUUUAAGUUAACUUAGAGAAGUGGGUUUCCUUAUUAUAAAUAGAGAAGUUUUGAAAUUAUUUUCAUAAUUUAGAUUCAAUUAUUCAAUAAAACACCUAUUUAUAAUUCCCUCUGGGUAUUAUCUAUCAAAAUCUCUCUUAUAGAGUCGUUUGGAUUAGAGCGUCAUCUAAUCUCACUUUACACGUUAUUAAAAAUCUCAUUGAGUCAUCUGGUUUAGAACGAUAUCUAAUCAUGCUUUAAUCAGAGCGUAACUUAAUCACAUUGGCUUGGUUCAGUAUUCAAGCGAAAUCUAGUUUUUCUACCCCAUCAAUUUCUGCUUCCGCUACUCCUCACUCCAUCACUGAUAAGUUCUUCAGAACAAAUGAAAAAGGCCCUUAGAAUUAAAGCCGUUGGAUUAACGAGUUUGCAUCAAAGAGAUUUGGUCUUAUACUUCCAUCUUAUACUUUAUAAUUACAUUUGAAAAAGAAAAACUCUAAUUGCAACUAAUUUUUCAUUUUUUUCAUUUAAAAGUGAUCAAAUUUAUCUUUCUUUAUUGUGAGGUCUGAAAGAUUCGAUUCAAAUUGUAUUCUUUGCACGAUUAGAUUAAUUGCACUUAGCUAGAACAAGAUUACAAAUACAUUGUUGAAUCUGGUCCGUUAGCUUUACUACAAUGAAGAACCAGAUCCUCCCAAGAUUCUCAACCAAGAUUAAUCAAGAUGCAAUUUCAGCUUAGAUCAAAUUUAGAGAAUCAACUAAACCUGACAAGACUCGUAACAAAAGGGAUUAAUUACAAACACAGAAACCAAAACCAGCAAGAAAACCAAUCACACUAAAACAGACCACAAGCUUUAACGUGGUUAAGCCAUUAAUGGCUUACAUCCACGAGUGAAUUCCUCAGGCAGCUUUAUUGAAUGAUUCAAGAAGUUUGUUACUGAGAUUCUAAGAACAAGAACAAGUAAAACACUUCCUCUCAGAGUUCCCUCAAUCUCUAUCACACUCGAUGCCUCCAAUCCAGAAGGCUGCAGCUUAUAUACCAGUCUUGUAACAGCUUUAACAACCCAUAUCAUACAACUCCUUGACACGUGUGAUAUGAGUCUGUUAUUAACGAACUCAGAUUCAGCUAAUGGUCACGUGAACAACUCGUGAUCUUACUUAACUCGAGUAUAUUCAAAACGAUCUCAUAUGUUGCCGUUUCGGAUUAAGUACUAGUUGUGCUUCUCACGUGAGCUACUUAAAGCUUCUGAACAAUGCUGGAAACGAUGUCGUUUGCUGGUAAAGGUGUUUGAAUUCACCUUUCAGCCAACAAUACUCCACCUUGAAUCAAACACCCUGCAACUGAUACAUUCACCAACUAAUUUAUAUAAGGUUUUGCAUAUCCCAACUAAGUCCAAACAUUUCUUGAACUUAGUUGCAGGAACCACUUUUGUGAGCAUGUCAGAAGGAUUGUCAUCAGUGUGUAUUUUAACCAUCCUGAUAACUCCCCUAGAGACUUCAUUUCUUAUGAAGUGAAGUUUGAUAUCAAUAUGUUUGGUCUUCUCAUGGUGAGCUAGAUUCUUACACAAAUGCAAUGCACUGGAGCUAUCACAGAAAAUUGGUACAGACUCUUGUUUUAAGCCGAGCUCAGUGAUUAAGCCCUUAAGCCAAAUGGCCUCCUUUGCAGCUUCAGUGGCAGCUGUAAAUUCUGCUUCUGUUGUGGAGAGUGCUACUACAUGCUGCAAGUUUGCCUUCCAAUUUAUCAGGCAACCAUUUAACAUAAACAAGUAUCCUGUGAGUGAUCUUCUCAUGUCCAGAUCUCCUGCAUAGUUAGAAUCUACAUAGCCCCACAACCCUUCUUCUGUUCCAGAGUUCUUUCCAUAUACCAGACCAACAUUUAAAGUACCCUUUAGAUACCUUAGUAUCCAUUUCACCCCUUUCCAAUGUUCUUUGCCUGGAUAUGCCAUGUAUCUGUUGACAACACUCACAAUAUGUGAGAUGUCAGGCCUAGUCAACACCAUGGCAUACAUAAGGCAUCCUACUACCUUUGCAUAUGGAAUAUUAGCCAUCUCAAGUCUUUCUUCUUUAGCCUUUGGACAAUAUAGAUUGCAAAGUUUGAAGUGUGCUGCUAAGGGGCCUUGUACAUGUUUAGAAUCCUCCAUAUCAAAAGUUUCAAGUAUUUUCUUCAAGUAUUUCUCUUGAGAUAGAAAUACCAGCCCUUCACUUCUGUUCCUUCUUAUAUUAACUCCCAAUAUCCUUUUAGCACUUCCUAAAUCCUUCAUGUCAAAAGUAGUGCCAAGUAAUGUCUUUAGAGCAUCUAUUUCAGACAUUUCUUCACAAGAAAUCAACAUAUCAUCUACAUAUAGCAGUAGAUAGAUAUGUUUGUUAUGAUUUAGCUGUUUAAAGUAGACACAUCAAUCAUAAUUGCACCUCUGAAAUCCAUGAGUGGUCAUAAACUCAUCAAAUUUGAGGUACCAUUGCUUGGGAGAUUGCUUCAGGCCAUAGAGGGAUUUCUUUAGCAGGCAUACAUAAUCUCUUCUAUCAGGAGCUUCAUAACCUUCUGGUUGACUCAUGAAAAUUUCUUCCUGAAGGUUUCCAUGCAAAAAAGUAGUUUUAACAUCAAGUUGUUCCAGCUCCAGAUUCUGUGUUGCUGUUAUGGCCAUCAGCACUCUUAUGGAAGCAUGCCUAACUACAGGGGAGAAAACUUCCUUAAAGUCAACACCCUCCAUCUGAGUGUACCCCUUUGCAACUAACCUAGCCUUAAACCUCUUUGGUUCAGCUGCAGUCAUACCCUCUUUGAUUUUGUAUAUCCACGUGCAACCAACAAUCCUCUUAUUCUUAGGUCUUCUAACCAGCUCCCAGGUACAAUUCUUGUACAGUGAGGUCAUUUCUUCAUCCAUAGACUUCUUCCAUUCAUUGGCAUACUGACAGUUAAUGGCCUCUUUGAAAUUAUGUGGUUCUUCAGCAUUUAUCUCAUGAGCAGAAUGUAAUGCAAAAGCAAUCAGAUCAGCAUAGCCAUACGUCUUAGGUGCUUUGCUUUGUCUCUUCUGUCUAUCUCUUGUCAACUGAUAAUCCAUUACUUGUGAUUGAGUUGAUCCAGCUUCUUGAAGUGACUCAUGUCUUCCAAUAUCAUCAGCACUUUCAGUUGAUUCUAUAUCAUCAUUCUGAUUCAGAUUGCUAGGUGAUUCCACCUCAAAAUGUUCAUCCUGAACUUGAUCAGCUCUCACACUGUUUCUUUGAAUACUAUCCACUGCUGCUUCUUCAUUGAACUUGAUAUCUUUGCUUACUAUGCACCUGAGUGGAGAGAGAUCAGUACACCAAAGCUUAUAACCCUUGGUUCCCUCUGGAUACCCAAUGAACACACAUUUCAGUGCUCUGGGUGCUAGUUUUCCUUGGCUUAUGUGAGCAUAAGCCAGACAACCAAACACUUUAAGGUCUUUAUAGCUGGAUUGUUUACCAUACCAGAGCUCAAAAAGUGUCUUGAAUUCAAUAGCAGUGGAAGGGCUCAAAUUUACCAGGUAGCAAGCUGUGUUGAGAAUCUGAGCCCACAAAUUCUUAGGUAGCUUAGCUUGAAUCAUCAUGCACCUCACCUUAUCCAUGAGAGUCCUAUUCAUCCUCUCGGCUAAGCCAUUCUGCUGAGGUGUCAUUGUAACAGUUUUAUGCCUUGUAAUACCUUCCUUUGCACAAAAUUCAUCAAACACCUAGUUGCAAAACUCCAAUCUAUUAUCAGUCCUUAACUUCUUCACUGUUUUUCCAGUCUGUUUUUCAACCAAGACCUUCCAGUUCUUGAAUUUUUCAAACACCUGUUCUUUACUCUUGAGCACAUAAAUCCAGACUCUUCUUGAAAAAUCAUCAAUUAUAGACAAAAAAUACCUAGCACCUCCCAGUGAUACUACUUGUGCAGGUCCCCACAAGUCUGAGUGUAUGCAAUCCAGCAUGCUUCUAGUAGUGUGAACUGAUGACUUAAAACUGGUUCUUGUAGAUUUCCCUAGGACACAAUAUUCACAAAACACCAUCUCACCAAUUGCAUCAUUACCUAACAGCCCCUGUUUAGACAACUCUUUAAGGCCUCUCAGACUCAUAUGUCCAAGUCUUAAGUGCCAUAGCCUAGUUUUUUCAACACUAGAGCUAGAUGACACUGACACUAUCCCUGUCAUAGUUGUCCCUUCUAACACAUAGAGACCAUUCUUCCUGAUUCCUUUCAACAGAACCAAUGGCCCUUUUACAACACUCAUUAUUCCCUGCUGGACUUUAACAACACAACCUAUCUGAUCCAACAUUCCCAGUGAGAUCAAAUUCCUUUUUAAAUCAGGUACAUGCCUCACUUGUUUGAGUUCAAGAAUUGAGUUAUCAUGCAAUUUCAGUUUAAUAACCCCAAUUCCUAUAACUCUACAGAUUGCAUUAUUCCCCAUCAUCACCCUACCACCAUCAUAUUCUUGAUACUCAGAGAAAUGAUGUUUAAAAGGGCACAUAUGAAAGGAACAUCCCGAAUCAAGCACCCACUUACCUUCCUGAUCAACAUCAGAGGCAAUUAGGACUCCAAUUGAUUCAUAACCUUCUUCUUCAACUAUUGCUGCAUCACUAUUUUGACUUUUUUGCUCUUUGUACUGUUUUUUCUUUCUUUCUAGACAAUCUCUCUUAAAGUGACCUUCCUUAUGGCACUGGAAGCACUUAAGAGUCUUGUUCUUGUCUUUGGCCUUCCCUUGCUUCUUUUUCUUUUUUGUUUUCUUGUAAUGCUGACCCUUUGCAGUUAACCCUUCCCCAGUUUCUUGAUCAAGAUUUUCUCUCUUUUCUUGCAACUCCCUUGUGUUUAGAGCUGGCUUAACCUCAUCUAAUGAGAGAGUUUGUCUCCCAUACAUAAGUGCAUCAACAAAAUUCUUGUAAGACUCUGGUAGAGAGCUAAUCAGUAGCAAAGCUUUUCCUUCAUCAUCUAAAGCUUCAUCAAUUGUUGCAUGCAAGUGUAUCACACACUUGAUUGAAUUCAUCAAUGCGCUUAUCCAGCGAUGAGCCUUCUGUCAUUUUUAGAGUGAACAUCCUUUUCUUCAUAUACAGGCUGUUAGCCAAGGAUUUUUUCAUGUACAGGCUUUCCAAUUUCUCCAUCAGACCAGUAACAGAUGUCUCCUUAGCAACUUCUCUGAUUACAGAAUCAGCAAGGCUAAGGAUUAUAGUACCUCUUGCCUUCUUGUCAAUUUCAGCCAUCUGCUCUGGGGUUUUUGAAGAUGAUACCCCCUUUCCUUCAAUCUUGGUUGAAGCUUCAAGUGCAUCACCAAGACCUUGAGUAACCAAGAGAGCCUCAAUUUUAACCUUCCACAUGUUGAAGUCGUUUCUACCAUUAAAUUUUUCCAAAUCGACCUUCUGAGUAGCCAUACCUGAAUCUUGGUUUAAGAACCAAGCUCUGAUAUUAAUUAUUGAAUCUAGUCCGUUAGCUUUACUACAAUGAAGAACUAGAUCCUCUCAAGAUUCUCAACCAAGAUUAAUCAAGAUGCAAUUUCAGCUUAGAUCAAAUUCAGAGAAUCAACUAAACCUAACAAGACUCGUAACAAAAGGGAUUAAUUACAAACACAGAAACCAAAACCAGCAAGAAAACCAAUCACACUAAAACAGAGCACAAGCUUUAACAUGGUUCAACCAUUAAUGGCUUACAUCCACGAGUGAAUUCCUCAGGCAGCUUUAUUGAAUGAUUUAAGAAGUUUGUUACAGAGAUUCUAAGAACAAGAACAAGUAAAACACUUCCUCUCAGAGUUCCCUCAAUCUCUAUCACACUCGAUGCCUCCAAUCCAGAAGGCUACAGCUUAUAUACCAAUCUUGUAACAACUUUAACAACCCAGAUCAUACAGCUCAUUGACACGUGUGAUAUGAGUCUGUUAUUAACGAACUCAGCUUUAGCGAAUGGUCACGUGAACAACUCGUGAUCUUACUUAACUCGAGUAUAUUCAAAACGAUCUCAUAUGUUGCCGUUUCGAAUUAAGUACUAGUUGUGCUUCUCACGUGAGCUACUUAAAGCUUUUGAAAAAUGCUGGAAACGCUGUCGUUUGCUGGUAAAGGUGUUUGAAUUCACCUUUCAGCCAACAUACAUGCUCUCAAAUGAUACAAUACUGAAAAAUAUAAAUGGUUACAAAAUAGAUUCAUUAUUAUUUUGGAGGUUUGAGUAAGUUGAAAAAUAUAAACGGUUACAAAAUAUAUUGAUUAUUAUUUUGGAGGUUUGAGUAAGUUGAAGCAUCUCGACUUAAGUGGUAAUUAACAAACUCAACCUCAACUGUAGUGUCUUAUCUUCUCCAUCUUCGUUAAGAGAAUUAUAUGGGAUUCAAAGGAAUUUUUUAUGUUCAAGGUAAUUAAGCCUAAUGUCACGGGAUGAGUGUUUUGCGCAACGAACCCGUGCGGUAUUUAGACAACCUUUGCCGAAUGUUGCUAAGUAAGCCUUGAGUUUAUCGACUAGCUAAGCCUAGAGGUUGAAAUACAAGUAUGCAACCCAAGAGGGGGGGUGAAUUGGGAUUCUAAAAAAUAUUUAAUUUAUUAAAGAAAAACUUAAUGCAAUUAUAAAUCAAAUUCAAAGCAAUAACAAUUAAGAUGAUCACAAUAUAAAAAGAUAAGGGAAGAGGGAUUCAAACACCGAGAUUUUUACGUGGUUCGGCCAACCUUGCCUACGUCCACGCCUCCAAGCUUUCCGGGCUUGAGGAUUCCACUAAGCAAGCCUCCAAGGCUUCAAAUGCUUACACUUGACUUCCAAGGUGUCAAUGGACCUUUACAACAAGAGAUUAUCCCCAAUCUCUUAACCCAAGUGUAUCCCAACACUUACAAUUACUCAAAGUAAAAGAUUACAAAUUGUUUUUCUCUCACACAAUAUUUAAGAUUACAAAUCAAUGCCCAAUUUGUGAAUAGAUGAAGAGAGAAUGUGUUUUAAGCUCUAUGAAGAUUGUAUUCUCAAAUAUUUGCUCAAUGGUCGUGUUGUGAUCAAUAUUUGUUUGGAUUUGAAUGAGCUUAUUUAUAGUUGCAGCUGAAAACUAGCCGUUAUUGACUUUCUGCACACUGUCGGAUCACCGUUAUCUAGAUGUCGGAUCGCCGUUUGACUGGUCAAUAUGACCGUUGGGCUGAUUUUUCAAAUUGUCGGAUCGCCGUUAUCUAGAUGUCGGAUUGCCGUUUAGGUCCAGAGGCUACUGGUUGAUAUCGGCGAGCCGUUUAUCACACAUGUCGGUUCGCCGUUAAAGUCCAGAGACUACCCUUCAGUUCUGUUUGAUAUCGGCGAGCCGUUUUAUCAACAUAUCGGAUCGCCGUUUAGGUCCAGAGGCUACUGGUUGAUAUCGGUGAGCCGUUUAUCACAAAUGUCGGUGUGCCGUUUUCGUCCAGAGGCUAAUCUCCAUUUCUGCUUGAAAUCGGCGAGCCGUUUACUACAGAUGUCGGAUCGCCGUUUUCCACAAAAACUGCUGCAGUGAACUAUUUUGCAAGAUGACUGUUUUGUCUCCAAAUUUUUAUAAAAAUACUUUAUGAAACUUGUCAAAAUAGAUGAAAAUUAUGUUGAGCUUUUAAAACGAUUAAUCAAUAUUAAUCAUGUUUGUUAUCAUCAAAAUUAAUAAGGAAUAAUUUAUGUCAACAAUCUCCCCCUUUUUGAUGAUGACAAACUUUUCAAGAAAAUAUUUGUGCAAUUUUGCUCCCCCUAAAUAUGUGCUCCCCCUAAGUGAAAUUUUGAAAGACUUGUUAACGCCCUUAAAAAAAUAUUCAACUGUUAAUCUCAAAAUUUUAAACACGACAGAUUGAUUUUUUUUUUUUUUUUAAAAAAAAUGUAUGCCAGUAAACUCAUGCAUGCCAAUACUAUUUUGCCAAAACCAAUUUCGCAGUUUGCCAAUUGCCAAUUUCUCUCCCCCUUCAUCAUCAAAAAGAAAGAGACGCGAUGAAUGACUUAUGUUUGGAGAAAUUUGGGCAGAGUGUCCCCUGAAAUAUGAGCAUUUCCUCAACAACACACAAAGUUUAAAAAGAGAAACACUUCCAUAUAAAUAUACCACCAUAUCAACCAACCUCCAUACCAACAAAUUCACACUUCCAGAAAGAGCAAUAUAAUCAAUAUAAUACCAAAAAAACAACUUGAGCAUAAAUCAAGAGCACAUAUACACAAAAUAUCAGAAGCAUAAACACAAAAUAAAUAACAUCAUAUGCAUAAGGCAAAUAACAUGAAAUGAGAAAUGUCUGUGCGAAUAUCAUAGGGACAGAGAAAACUAAGAUGGAGGCUGUGAAGACGAACUGCCGGGGUCAUAUCCAAGGUGGCCGAGAAUGCGACGCUGUCCUGCAAUUAACUCCAUCUGCUGAUCAGAAAUUUGCUCCCGAAAGGUUGCAAAAUCAGAUCGAAGCUGCUGCUGCUGCUGGGACAGGGCAUCUACUCGGUCGAGAAGCUGCUGGAAGCGAUCCUCAGGAACAGCUGAUGCCGCAGGAGGGACGGCAGUCUCGGUAGGCUCGUCAUCCUGAGAUGCAUCUGCUGCUGGUGAAACAGGAGCUGCUGGUGCUGCUGCUCGACGAGGAACACGCGGUCUAGCCCCAAGACGGAAGUCAGGCAGCUCAUCCUCGGAGUAGACAUCAUUCAGCAUGCGAUCAUCCUCGGGUGCAAUCAGUGUGGCUUCGUUUUUGGAGGAUGUGGUCUUUUCCCAUUUCCCACGCUUCUUAAAGAAACCAAUGGCAGAAAUAAUGUCUCGACCGAGUUUACGAGUCUCGAGAAAAACAGGCUCGACGAUAGGAACAUGAAAGUGGUUCAAGAUUUUAGUAAUGAUGCUGCCAUAAGGAAGGGAUCGGUUGGAGACUUUAGGAGUGGUCAGCAUAUGACACAUAAUGGUGUAGGAUAGGCUCACAUGGCGUCUACGGAUGAGAGAGUCUAAAAGACCAAUAUCAAGCCUAGUGACCUCAUCAGUGUGACCCUGCCUAGGAGUGACCAUGUGUUGGAGAAUAAUGUGAAGUAUUCGAAUCUGAAAAGGGAGGAGUUGAGACCUAAAGGACAAAGAGCAGAUGUCAUCGGAAAGAUCCCGACGACGACAAAUGUUCCGUACACCAUCCACAUGACGAAAAUUACUAAACUCUAGUUCUUUCCUAGAGGUGUACAGAUCUAAUCCUCCAUAAGCGAUUCCUAGAAUACUACAUAAUUCGGGUUCAUCAAGUUCAAUACGAAUACCUCCUACAAAUGUAUGAAGCUCGUCACGACUAGAAGAGGAGAAAUCGAUGUUUGAAUAAAAGACUCGAACAAGAUUUUCAUAAAUAGGUUCAUCAACACUUAAAGCUUGUUUCCAAUGACUAAGCAUUUGAGUAAUUGAGUGACCACAAACAGAAAUAUCCGAGAACUCCGAAGUGUUAAGAGAAAAAGAGGGAGUUACGGGUUUACCCAUGAACUUUUCACGGAAACGCUGAGCAGAGGUAGCAUCGGGAAAAUGAAGACUUUCGAAGUCUUGAGGAGGAGACCUGGGUGGACUGGAACGGCGUGAAGCAGUGUGCUUGGUUCGAACACGCCUUGGAGGUCGUUCCGCCAUGGAUGAGAAAAAUUGUGAAAAUGAAGUUUUAGAGAUGAGAUAGUGAUUGUGGGUGAAAAUGUGGUUGGAAAGACGAAGAAAUUUGGGUCAAAGUGAACGAAUGAGAGUCGGCUGGUUCUAGGGUUUCAAGAUGAGAUUUUUCAAAAUUUGAAGAAAGAGAAGGAUUUGAAUCGGUUAAAAGGUGUUAGAAAUGAUAGAAAUGGUUUGUAAUGCUUCAAUUUGGUGAAAAAUGACAAGAAAAGUGAUGGAUUUGAGAGGAGAGAACUGGUGCAGUCGCGGGUUGAGGUGAGAGAGAGAGAGAAAGAGAAGCCGAAAUGAGGAGGAAGGCGAAGGACUGUUCAAUUAACGCGUGAUAACGGCGAGCCGUUAUAAAGAAAACGGCGAGCCGACAGAUUCCAGAGAGUCCUCAAAACAAAUUCAUAAAAAAAACGGCGAGCCGUUUAUAUAAAUAACGGCGAGCCGAUAGGGUCCAGAGAGUCCACACAAGAAAAAUGUAACAGGACGGCGAGCCGAUAGACAUAUAUCGGCGAACCGAUAGCUUCCAGAAAGCGUUCCAUUGUUUCUGCCCAAAACGGUUAGCCGUUUAUUUAAAUAACGGCGAUCCGUUUUCUACAACCUAUGAUUUCGCACAUGUAUUUCGAUAUUUGGCUACUUAUUAAUACAUUUCAAGAUCAUUUUAUUGAUCCAAAAUGAUUUGAGUGCCAUUUCAAUGCAUAAUUCAUGAAUAUAUAUAUAUGUAUUGCAAUAAUUAAUUCAUACAUUUUCAAAUAUACAUACACAUUACAUGCAUAUUACGAUUGAGCAUUCCAUAGAAAUUAAAGCAUCAAGUCAUAGAUCAAUCAAUAAUAAUAGACUCAAUAGCAUGAAUGAAGAUGUUAAUGUGAAAAUUUCAUCAUCCCAAGUUCAUGCCGAAUUUUGGAGAAUUGUUCUUCGCAAAGAGGUUUUGUAAAAAUAUCGGCAAGUUGUUUUUCCGUAGAAAUAAACUCUAGUGCAAUGUCUCUCUUUUGAACAUGAUCUCUCAAGAAAUGAUGUCUUAUUUCUAUAUGCUUGGUUCGAGAGUGUUGAAUGGGAUUCUUUGAAAGAUUAAUAGCACUAGUAUUAUCACACUUAAUAGGAAUUUGUUCAAGAUUAAUGCCAUAAUCUCUAAGUGUUUGUUUCAUCCAAAGAGCUUGUGCACAACAACUUCCGGCAGCUAUAUAUUCAGCCUCGGUAGUUGAAAGUGCGACAGAAUUUUGUUUCUUGCUAAACCAUGAAACAAGAGAGUGUCCUAGAAUAUAGCAAGUUCCACUAGUGCUCUUCCUAUCCACUUUAUAACCAGCAAAAUCCGCAUCCGAAAAACAUGUUAAAUCUAUAUGAGUUCCCCUAGGAUACCAAAGGCCAAUAUCUAUGGUUCCACUCAAAUAACGGAAAAUUCUUUUAACAGCGAGCAAAUGAGAUUCCUUGGGACAUGACUGAAAUCUAGCACACAAACAUACACUAAACAUGAUAUCGGGUCUACUUGCAGUCAAAUAAAGUAGGGAUCCGAUCAUACCUCGAUACAUUUUGAUGUCCACUUCUUUACCUUUUUCAUCUUUGUCCAGCUUGGUUGUUGUGCUCAUUGGUGUAUUCUUGGUCUUUGAAUCAUCAAUGCCGAAUCGUUUGAGUAGAUCCUUUACGUACUUGGCUUGAUUUAUGAAAAUUCCUUCCUCGUUUUGUUUGAUUUGAAGUCCAAGGAAGUAUUUCAACUCUCCCAUCAUACUCAUCUCAAAUUCUUUGCUCAUACAUGAUGAAAAUUCUUUACACAACAACUCAUUAGUAGAACCAAAAAUAAUAUCAUCAACAUAAAUUUGAACAAUAAGUAUGUCUUGGUUCUUAUGCUUAACAAAUAGAGUAGUAUCCGCUUUACCCAUUGAAAAGUCAUUUUCCAACAGAAAAUUCUUAAGUCUAUCAUACCAUGCUCUAGGUGCUUGUUUUAAACCAUACAAAGCUUUAAACAACUUAUAAACAUGAUUUGGAAAUUUUUCAUUUUCAAAACCAGGGGGUUGUUUUACAUACACUUCUUCCAUAAUAUAUCCAUUUAGGAAAGCACUUUUCACAUCCAUUUGAAAUAAAAUAAAAUCUUUAUGACAUGCAUAUGCUAACAACAUUCUAAUGGAUUCUAACCUUGCUACAGGAGCAAAGGUUUCAUCGAAAUCAAUUCCUUCUUCUUGGUUGUAGCCUUGAGCCACUAAUCUAGCUUUAUUUCUUACAACCACACCGGAUUCAUCCAUCUUAUUCCUAAACACCCAUUUAGUACCUAUUAUAGAUUGAUGUUCAGGUUUAGGAACUAAUUUCCACACAUUGUUUCUUUCAAAUUGAUUUAACUCCUCUUGCAUUGCCAUAAUCCAAGAUUCAUCAUUUUCUGCAUCCUCAAAGGAUUUUGGUUCAAUUUGAGAGAUGAAUGCAUUAUGCUCACAAGUAUUUCUAAGUGAUGAUCUAGUUGUAAUACCUCGUGAGGGAUCUCCUAAAAUUACAUCUUUAGGGUGAGAAGAGACAUACCUCCACUCCUUGGGGAGUGUUUGAGAAGUACCUUCAUUUUGCUCCGCAUUUAGUUCUUCAUGAUGUUCCUCUUGAAUUUCAUGUGGUGCAUCCUCUUGUUUGUCAUUUGAUGCUUCUUCUUCUUGUUCUUCUUCUCCUGCAUCAUCAUCAACAACGACUUUCUCCGUAGAGGAGGGGUUAGACUCAUCAAAUGUCACAUGCAUAGAUUCUUCCACAACUAAGGUUCUUUUGUUAUAGACUCUAUAAGCUUUACUUGAAUUUGAAUAACCAAGAAAAAUACCAACAUCGGAUUUUGGAUCAAAUUUACCAAGAUUGUCUUUUGUGUUCAAAACAAAACAUUUGCAUCCAAAAACUUUAAAAUAUCCAAUGUUGGGUUUUCUAUCUUUCCAAAGCUCAUAAGGAGUUUUGUUAAGAUUAGGUCUAAUCAACACCCGAUUUAAAACAUAACAAGCGGUGUUGACGGCUUCGGCCCAAAAAUAUUUUGGUAAUGCAUUUUCAUUUAACAUGGUUCUAGCCAUUUCUUGAAUAGACCUAUUCUUUCUCUCAACAACUCCAUUUUGUUGUGGAGUUCUAGGUGAUGAAAAUUGAUGCUCAAUGCCUAGAUUAUUGCAAAAACACUCAAAUGCAUGAUUUUCAAAUUCUCCUCCAUGAUCACUCCUAAUGCAUACAAUACCAUGCCCUUUUUCAUUUUGUAAUUUCUUACAAAGCACUUUAAAAGCAUCAAGAGCAUCAUCCUUAUUGGCUAAGAAUAAUACCCAUGUAUAUCUAGAAUAAUCAUCCACUAUCACAAAUGCAUAAUAUUUGCCAUUUAGACUUGCAUAUCUAGAUGGCCCAAAAAGAUCUAUGUGAAGAAGUUCAAGUGGUUUUGAAGUAGAAAUAUGGUUUUUAUUCUUGAAAGAAGUUUUAAUUUGUUUUCCAAAUUGACAAGCUUCACAAAUCUUAUCCUUUUGAAAACCAAUUUUCGGAAGACCUUUAACUAAAUUAUCUUUCGAAAUUUUUGAAAUCAAAUCCAUACUUGCAUGUCCUAACCUUCUAUGCCAUAACCAACAAUCAUUAUGCAAUGCCGAAAAACAUUUAUCAAGAGUAGAUGCACAUUCUAUGUCAAUGAUAUAAACAUUACCACAUCUAUUUCCAACAAAUAAGGUUUUGCCAUCACAUGAGUUCUCAAUAACACAACUAAAUUUAUCAAAGAUAACUUUAUAACCUUUGUCACAUAAUUGACUAAUGCUAAUUAAGUUGUGUUUCAAGUUUUCAACCAAACAUACAUUCUCAAUUAGAGUUGAAGAAACUUUACCAACAUUUCCAAUUCCAAGGAUUUUUCCUUUUGAGUUGUCUCCAAAGGAUACGUCUCCACCAUUUUCAAUUUUGGUAAAGCUUGAGAACCAUGCAUAGUUUCCGGUCAUGUGCCUUGAACAACCGCUGUCCAAGUACCAUUUAUUCUUCUUCUUCUUCAAGCCCUACAAGAAAAAAUCUCAAGUUUUAGGUACCCAAAGCUUUUUGGGUCCUUGAGAGUUAGCAACGGUUCCUUUUGGAACCCAAAUGCACUUGACACCAUAAUAUGCAUUCCUUUUCACGGGACAUCUAAAUUUCAUGUGACCAUUUUGAUUACAAUAAUGACAUACAAUCUUAUGAUCAUUUGUGGAGGUAGCUUUAACAAAAUAAUUCUUAUAAUACUUUUGCUUCAAGUUUGGCUUAUAUCCAAGUCCUCCUUUAUCAAAAACACAUUUUUGUGAGUUAAGCAUAUUAUCCAACAUCUUUUGCCCAUUUGUAAAUUUCAAAACAAUUUCAUUUAAUUCAUUAUUCUUUUUCUUGAGCAAUUCGUUCUCAUUUUUCAACUCAUCUAUGUGUGAUUUCAAAUGCUCAUGUAAGAUGCUAGGUUUCUCAUUUGAUAAUGCAAUUUCAUCAUGCAAUGUUUUGUUUCCUACUUCUAGGCAUACAAUUCUUGCAUUUAGAGAUUCAUUUUCAUUUUUAAGCUUUGCCAUUUCCUUUUUAAGACAUACAUUCUUUUUACCAAUUUUCAUCAACUCAUUAUGCAAAUCUUGAAAAGCAUCAUAUAAUUCAUCAUAGGUAGGAUCACUUACCUCAUUUAGAUCAUCAUCCCCUCCUAUUGCCAUGAGUGCUAGGUUUGAUACUUCUUGCGAUCCUUCUUCAUCAUUUGAUUCUUCCUCACUAUCAUCCCAAGUUGCAACCAUUGCUUUCUUCUUGAGUUUGUUGAUAAGUGGGCACUCCGAUCUUAUAUGUCCAGGCUUCUUGCAUUCAUAGCAAGUGAUUGCCUCCUUCUUCUCUCUAUAGUUCUUGAAGUUUCUGAAAUUUCUUCGCUCUCCGGUUUUCUUGAAGAAUUUUCUGAACCUCCUUGCUAGCAUGGCUAGUUCUUCAUCAUCCGGUUCACUCUCCUCAUCACUCUCAUAUUUUGAAGCUUUGAGAGCAAUGCUUUUCUUCUUCUCCUCAUGUCCUUUUUCUGCAGCUAAAUCCUUUUCAUACGAAAUAAGAGAACCAAUUAAAUCAUCAAGAGGUAAAAUAUUUAAAUCUUUGGCCUCUUCAAUAGCGGUUCUUUUAGGUCUCCAUUCUUUUGGAAGUGACCUAAUGAUUUUCUUAACUUUCUCACUAUUUGAGAAGGUUUUCCCUAAGGCACCUAGGGUGUUCACUAUGUCCGUGAAUCUAGUGUACAUAGAAUACACAUUUUCAUUCUGUUCCAUUUGGAACAACUCAUAUUGGCGAGUGUAUCUACUGAUUUUAGACUCUUUCACUUGAUUUGUCCCUUCAUAGACAACUUCAAGUUUGUUCCAUAUCUCUUGUGCACUUUCACAACUAGAUACUCUAUGGAAUUCUUUCUUAUCAAUGGCACAAAACAAAGCAUUCAUAGCCUUGGAGUUUAGAGACAUCUUUCUCUUUUCUAACUCACUCCAUUGACUCGAUGGUUUAGGAAUAUCAUCUCCUACUUCAUCUUUGAACGUAGGCAUGAAUGGACCAUCACAAACAACUUCCCAAAUUUCAUAAUCUAAGGCUUGCAAAUAGAUUCUCAUUCUAGUUUUCCAAUAAGCAUAAUCAUUACCAUCAAAAAAAGGUGGUCUAGUUGUGGAUUGCCCUUCUCUAAAGGUUGAGUCAUUUAGGGUUGCCAUGGAUCUUUUACUCUAGACGAUUAAGUCUUAACAAGAGAACAAGGCUCUGAUACCAAUUGAAAUACAAGUAUGCAACCCAAGAGGGGGGGUGAAUUGAGAUUCUAAAAAAUAUUUAAUUUAUUAAAGAAAAACUUAAUGCAAUUAUAAAUCAAAUUCAAAGCAAUAACAAUUAAGAUGAUCACAAUAUAAAAAGAUAAGGGAAGAGGGAUUCAAACACCGAGAUUUUUACGUGGUUCGGCCAACCUUGCCUACGUCCACGCCUCCAAGCUUUCCGGGCUUGAGGAUUCCACUAAGCAAGCCUCCAAGGCUUCAAAUGCUUACACUUGACUUCCAAGGUGUCAAUGGACCUUUACAACAAGAGAUUAUCCCCAAUCUCUUAACCCAAGUGUAUCCCAACACUUACAAUUACUCAAAGUAAAAGAUUACAAAUUGUUUUUCUCUCACACAAUAUUUAAGAUUACAAAUCAAUGCCCAAUUUGUGAAUAGAUGAAGAGAGAAUGUGUUUUAAGCUCUAUGAAGAUUGUAUUCUCAAAUAUUUGCUCAAUGGUCGUGUUGUGAUCAAUAUUUGUUUGGAUUUGAAUGAGCUUAUUUAUAGUUGCAGCUGAAAACUAGCCGUUAUUGACUUUCUGCACACUGUCGGAUCACCGUUAUCUAGAUGUCGGAUCGCCGUUUGACUGGUCAAUAUGACCGUUGGGCUGAUUUUUCAAAUUGUCGGAUCGCCGUUAUCUAGAUGUCGGAUUGCCGUUUAGGUCCAGAGGCUACUGGUUGAUAUCGGCGAGCCGUUUAUCACACAUGUCGGUUCACCGUUAAAGUCCAGAGACUACCCUUCAGUUCUGUUUGAUAUCGGCGAGCCGUUUUAUCAACAUAUCGGAUCGCCGUUUAGGUCCAGAGGCUACUGGUUGAUAUCGGUGAGCCGUUUAUCACAAAUGUCGGUGUGCCGUUUUCGUCCAGAGGCUAAUCUCCAUUUCUGCUUGAAAUCGGCGAGCCGUUUACUACAGAUGUCGGAUCGCCGUUUUCCACAAAAACUGCUGCAGUGAACUAUUUUGCAAGAUGACUGUUUUGUCUCCAAAUUUUUAUAAAAAUACUUUAUGAAACUUGUCAAAAUAGAUGAAAAUUAUGUUGAGCUUUUAAAACGAUUAAUCAAUAUUAAUCAUGUUUGUUAUCAUCAAAAUUAAUAAGGAAUAAUUUAUGUCAACAGAGGUUUCCGAAGAGUUAGAGAGAAAAGAGCAAUAAAGCCAAAUGAGAGAAAUUGUAUUACUCGCAAAGAGAUUACAAGAGAGCUUACAAGCGUGUUUGAGUUGCUUGCUCAAAGCUUGAUGCUCAAAUGCUAAAUGUCAUGCCAUAUUUAUAGGGGAGGCUUGCCAAGCUCAAAAGCUCUACCACUUGCCUAGAAUUCUAGAUAUUUACAUGUGCUAGAAAUGUGUAGAGAAUUCUAAAUAUGUACAAGCUUGAGUGUGCUAGAGUUGCCUAGAAAUUUCCAGAAUCGGCCCAAGCUAGCACUCUUAGCCUUGUCUUGAGCUCUCUAACCCGAAUUUGUGGACAAUUGGGCUAGUAACUUGGGCGGUCCGCAGCACUAAGCAUGCUUCUCAUUUUAUCUACUACCUAAAUUUAUAGAUCUUCAACAAUAUUUAAUAUUUUGAUUAGCUCAGAGGAAUCAAAUUCUAACAGGCUUUAUUAAUCAACCUUUCAUUUACUCUAUCAAUUAAUUAAUUCAUACCUAUAGUACUUUUUUUUUUUAAGUUAUAGCCUAAUUGCAACCUAAAUUUUAUUAAAUUAAAUAUGUAAGUAGAAACAUAAUAUUGAUAGCCUAAAUUUUAUAAUAAUUAGAAACAUAAUACUAAAAUAAAAAUACAAAAUUUAAAUUAUUUUCAAUAUUGUAAAAUAUUUUUUAUUAUUAUUAAUACAUGAGAUCAAAUCUAUUUAACCCAAAGAUUUAUCUAAAAUUUGUAUAAUAAAUUUAAAUAUAUUAUUAAAAUAAAUAUAAUAAUUUAAAUGUUAAGACUUAUUUUAUAUAUAAUUUUUUUAAUAUUAUUAGUGUAUUAGAUAAAUUAAACUAUUUAAAUCAUAUUUGUAUUUAUUAAAAACUUUUAAAGUCAAACUUUUUAGUUACUAUUUACCACGAGUAUUAUAGUUAAAAGAGGUCUUGGUGUCUCCUGACACGACUUAAAAUGUGUUUGAUUUUCUCCCAAGUAUAAGAGUGCCUAGUUAUAAUUUAUCUCGGUGAGUCCGAUGUCGAUAUACAGAGAAAAUAUUUAAUUUGUUUACUUAAGUUUAUCCAAAUAAAAAUAAAAUUUAUAAAUAUGUAAUUUAUUUAAGAAAAAAUAUAAAAUUGAAUUAGUUAUGGUUAUGGAUCUACUCUUAGUAACAAAUACAAUUUAACAAAUUCUUUUUAUUUUUAUUUUUAUUUUAUUUCUCAAAAGAUUAAUUGUAUAAAUUAAAAUUAUUUUCCAUUUAUUUUAUUGUGCAUUAAGAAUUUAAUGUGCCAAAACUUAAUUUGUCUACACUAAAUCAAAAUUCCAUUUUUCCAUAUUUUAUACUAAGAUAUUAAGAAUUCAUUGUGUCAAAUUCCUAUUUUUGUCUACAAUAAAUCAAAAUUUCAAAAUAUAAAAUAUGAAUAAAAUUAAAUAGAAAACAAUUUAAUUUAUAAAAUUAAAAAUAGAAUUUGAUUAAACCAUAUUUUUACUAAGAGUUUCACCUUCCCCUAACUACUAAUAUUUAGCUAAACAUUUUUAAAAUAAAAGGAAUUUUCUUUAAAAACAAAAAAAGACAUAAUUAAAAAAUGCUUGAAAAUUGAAAAUAAAACUAAUUUUAUUUAUUGAAAAUAUAAUACAAAGAGAGAUGAAAAGAAGAAUUUGGGGGAAAAGAAGAGAAGAGAAGGUGUGGAGAGGUGUGUUCACCCCCCCUCGAUUUAUACUAACACAUGGUAAAUCCUAACCACACAAAUAAAAAAAUCUUAUUACAUCUUAAUCUUACAUUUGUCCCACAAAUAAUCCCACUAAUAAAACAUAAACCUAACUUAUCCACUCAAACAUAUCCAACACAUUCCACUAACAAUUACCAUACCUAACAUGAUAAAAACUUAUAAUUUUAUAAUUACCACAUUUACCGUGGUAAAAACGUAAAUAUUUACAACAAAAGUCUUGGAUCCUCAUCGACAAUGACAUAAUUUCUUGGACUUCCACAAUCCAAAUUUGACAUCCAUACAUUUGUUCGAAGCCUCAAAUUGCAUGAAAUUAUUAUUUUUACCUAAUAAACACACAAAAAUACACAAAAUCAAAUAUUUAAAAAAUAAUUAGAAAUUCACAGUAUGUUACACAAUUACAAAUAUAAAUUACAUUAAUAAAACAAAAUAAUAUUUUUAUCCCUUAAUAAACAUACAAUUUUGAACACUAAUCAUCUCCUAUUGAAAACUUUGGUUCUAUAUGAUUAUCUCCCCUAACUUUGGGGGUGUGGCUGUUUUUUUUCCUUCAUUUUAUUAAUAAGUUUAAUUAAUAAAGAGUAAUGGUAGAAAUCCCAAAUUUUUUAAUCCCAAAUGAUGGGCAUUCAUUCACUGGUUGAUAAUUCUUUACAAAUCCAAGUGAAUUAAUUGUAUUAUCUCACCAACCAAUUGAUAAAUGUCAAUAAUUUGAAAUAGUUAUUUAGGAUAAAAAAUUUGAGGUGUAUAACACUACUCAUUAAUAAAAGAAUGAGGGAAGGUUUGUCCAAGUCAUGCAUUAUUUGAUUAUCAUCAAUCAAGAAAGUGAUCAAAUUAAUUUCUCUCCAUGAUUUCCAAAAGCUAGAAAAUUUUGUUACUUGAAAUUGGAAAAUAACACCAUUAAUUAUAGAAUGGAUCAAAAUCGCAUUAUUAUCUUUCAUGAAAUUGAUGUAUAUCAAGAGUCAUAUUCUUUACUUUUGACAAUUCAGUCAACACCAAAUUGAACUUUCUUAUUUUUACUAUUGUUAUGUUAACUUUUUCGAUCCCCGAUUAUUUAUUCAUGAUUAUUACAUCAUUAAUUAGAGUUUAUCAAACCGCAUUUUUUUCCUUCAUGGAAUUGAUGCAUGUUAGGUCAAUGUUUGGGAUGCCACAUUGCGUAGGACAAUUGGUCGCCCUCGUAUUGAUUGAAAAGAAUCUCAUGUUUGGCAAUUCAAAUGGUGCGCAGCACACCAGACUUAAUGCUGCAUUUGCCUCAAUAUUGAAACCCAUCAACCCCCUCGGAAUUAAGGUGUGCAACAUUCAUUUUUAAGAAUAAAAUCUUAAGGUUUUCAGAAAUGGUUAUAUAAAUCCUCAUAUCCUCAAUAAGGGACUCUAAAAUCCCUUGCUGACUAAAAUACCAUUUGGUUCUAUCAAUUUAAAAAAUUUGACUCCAAUAUUUUAUAAUAAAUAAAAAAAUAACAUUAAAAAAAUAAUUUAUAUUUUAAAAAUAUUGUAUAUAUUACAAUGAAUAUAAUAUUAUUAUUCUACUAGACAAAUUAAACUAUCUAGAUUAUAUUUAUAUUCAUUAAAAAAAUUUAAAAUCAAUUUUUUUAGUUACCAUCUACUAAAGAUAUUAUAGUUAAAAAGGGGUCUUAAUGUUUCUUAAAAAUUUAGGCGUCUACAUAACCAUUUCCGUUGAUCAAAUCAAAGCUUCCGUCCUCGUAGAUCUAUGGUCAAAAUUUGGAACCCCAAAAAUUUGACCAUAUAUUUACAGCUAAUGAAAGCUCCUUUUUUGGUGAUACAUGUAUCGUUGCAUAGAUUUGGUGAUAAUAAUUCCAAUGGUGAAAAAAUGAUACCAAUAGAUGCCAAAAUGUGAUUGGAGCGGGCGGCUUGUGGUGGCCAACGGUGGAUAAUUAUAAAAUCUAAAUAAUAGAUUUAAGAAAAUAAGACCAAAAACAUUUAAGAUAUUAAUAAUUAUUAAAAAUUAAUUUAAUAUAAAUAAUAAUUUAAAAAAUAUUAUUAUAUAUAAUGCUGUACAAUGUAACACCAAACAUUGAAUAUUAUUAAAGUAAUACAAUAUUAAUACAAUAAAGCUUACUGCAAUACAUUUUGCAUUAAAAAAUAUAAUAUAGUGUGCCAAACACACCCUUAGUGUCACACUUUUAAACAACCUCGGGCUGCUCUUUUUUUUUUUUUUUUUUUGACUUAAUGAUUUCGUCAUUAACUUAAUUCGAUCAGUUAAACUAUUAAGUCCGUUUGUUUUUUCAACAUAAUGAAAAUUUUCAGUCAUUAAGUUAUUAUAUUAUUAAUCAAACUCUUUUAGCUUUUUGCUUAAUUUAAAAAAUUUUUAAUGAUACCAUUAAAGAAUAUUCUCUAGAUACCCUAUGUAAUUAAUUAAUUUUCAUCCUUACCUAAGUAAAAUUUAAUACUUUUCAUUAUUACCAUCUUUAUAACUUGUGACAAUAUGGCGAUAGACUAUUAUUAUUUUUAUUUUGUACUUUUUUCAAAUUAGCAUUAUUUAUCUUCAUAAUUUUUUAUGAAUAUUUUUUGUAAAAAAAAAUCAUGAACUACAAUAAAAUUGAUUAACAUAUACAAAUUUAGAAUUUAAAAUAUCUUAUUCAAUUGAACAUGAUUUAUGUUAUGAUAAUAUAUAAUCUUACCUAAGUUCUUUGAAUAUUUAUUAUUUAUUUAACAUUCAUAAUUUUUAAGGGGACAAUGUAAAAAUAUUAAUUUUCAUAAUUUUUUAAAUUUAAAAAAUACAACUUAAUAUUUGUAUUCAGUAAUUCAACAAAAAGUAAUAUAAAUAUAUUAUUCAGAUUCAGACAUUCAGUUCAAUUCAAAAUUCUGGCUAAUUAAGGUCUAUUCAAAAUUUUUGACAAAAAAAAAAAGGACACCCUAAUUGACAUGAACUUUUUUUUUAUUUUAAAAAUUAAAAAGAUCUUUGGAUUUCAACCCAUUUGUUUGGCCUUAAAAGAGCCAGUAUUCUUACCAUUUGAAUUAGCCUUCGCCUCAACUUCAACCUUAUUCUUUCCAUGCAACCUUGGUCGAUAUCAACUUGAAUUUUGCUAGCUAUGUUAAUUAUUUCAAUCCCCCACAUUAUGCAGUCUUUGUACUGUAAACUUAAUUUCACACCUAAAUAAGUUGAUGAUCAUUACUCAACCAUUAAUAUUUCAAAAAGUCAUUUCACCAUCCAUGCUAUUAGUUUUUCCCUUAAAUUUAACUAUUGACUAUUUUACCAUCUUAAAGUAUAUAAUUAUGCCUUUAAUUAUGUGAUACAAUUAUGAGAAUAUUCAUUUUAGCUUAAAAUAACUAGAAUAUCCAAAAAAAUAACUUAAAUUAAUAAAAUAAAACUAUCAGCUCCUUAAAGGAUUCAACAUAUAUAAUACUAUAGCUAUUAAUAAAUUUUUAUUAUUCAAUAUAUAUGCUAAAAUAUUUUAUACAUUUAUAACUGUUAUAUAGCUCAAGGAUGAAUGAUUCUUCAGGUCUAUAGAGUUGGUGCAUCUGCAAGACUUAUUUUUAUUGACCAUGAUGAUCUAAGGAUCUAAGGGGUAAUUUACCUUUGUGCUUGGCAAAAAUAACCUCCCUUCAAGGUUUGGGCGUCACUUUCAAUUAACUUAUAUAGAUAUCUCCUCAUCUCCCCUCAUAUCUAUAAUGAUCCUUGAAGAUCUCACAUUUUCAAACAAUCGCUUCCAAAUUUCAACAUCAUUUGGGCCAUUCUUAAAGUAAAUAGUUAAAUUCAUAAAUUGUUAACUAAUUCCACUCUCCAUGCAUAAAGUCUUCUUAAAAGAUAAUUUUAUUAGUUGUUUGCUUUUAAGUUAAUUCAUAUUUUAAACAAAAACGUUUAAGUUGUAUAUAUCAUAGUGAGAGUUUCUUCAUAACAACUCCCUUGUUCUAACAUACACAAAAAAAUGGUAAUUUUAAAGAUAAAAUAAACAGGUGUUGAUUAUAUAUCUUGAUUUUCAUUGAUUAUGUGAUCAAAGUGACAAUUUUGAUUAAUUUCUUUUUCAACGUUAAUUUUUAGGUUAUCUUAGUUUCAAGGAUUUAGAAUAUUUGGUCAUGAAUUACACGCUUGUUAAUUUUUUCAGCCAUUAAUUGUCAUAUUCUAGACUUAACGGUAUUUUUCUUAGUUAGAAUAAUCAUUCUCUUCACCUCUUAUAAAGAUCAUAAUAAUUAAUUUAUUGCUACAGUUAAUAGUCUUUAAAAAUGGAUAGAUUUAUUGUUUUGAUGACUAAAUAAUGCCUGUUAAGGCUGCGACUGUGAACAAAAUUGGUAUUUAAUGUAAUAUGUUAAUAGAUUUAAGAUUUUAUAGAUUACCAAUUGUUAUAAGUUAAAGGAUGAAUUAUUUUUCAGGCCAAUGAGUUAUUGCAUCUGCAAGAAUUUUUUUUUAAAUUCUUAUAUUGACCAUAAUUAUCUUAAGGGUAUUAUAAUAUGCUUUAGUGCUUAGCAAAAUGUGGCAUCUCCCUUUAAGUUUGAUACGUCUCUUUCCAUCAAUUUACUGGUAAUAUCUCCUCAUCUACCCUCUUUUAUCUUACAUCAAUUGAAGAUCUCACAUUUUCAAACUAUCAUUUCCAAGUCUCAAUAUAACUUGAGCCAUUCAAAACUAAUCAAGUGUGGAAAUAACCAAAUAUACGUAUUAAAAUUCUCUUGCCUCCAAAAUUCUAAUUAUAUAACUUCUACAUAUCUCAUUCCUGGUCACAAGAUGUUGGCAUAUUUUCCAAAUUCCCCUUCCAUCAACAUCACUAGGAGUAUGUUAAUCUCUAACACAUUAACUUGAGUGGAGAGUUUCCAACUUGAUUGCCAGAAAGCAAUACAAAGCUAGACACACUUGAUAAUUCUCUUUUGGUAAAAUUUAAUUAAGUUUAGGGGAAUGUUCGGCCAACCUAUAGAAUUUCAAAUUGAGCAUUAGCCUAUACAAAUUGAUAAAAAGUGAUUAGAUGUUAAUUUGCUAACGAUACAUGUUCAUGACUUGAAAUUAGAUCUCUAUCGAUUCGUAUACAAAUGGACGUACUUGUGGUGAUAAUUGAACCAAAAGAUAUGAAGCUCUAAAGAUUUGGCAACUGUAAAUUGAUGAAGUGGGUUUCAAUUAGCUUUAUUUUUUCAAGGGAAAUUAUAAGUCAUAUACCCUUAAAUGACACCAGUAUCAAACGUGCUAUAACACUUUUUAAGUAUAUCACUCAUAUACCCUAAGUUGACAACACUUAUGCCGUCCAUCAAUCCGUUAACUGUCGUUUGCAAGCGCUAACAUCAUAAGGGUAAUCUAGUCUUUUUUAAAAAGACAUGUCAUCCCAUUUACCUACUAAAAAAUGACAUGUCAUAUGAUAUAUAUUGAUAAAAGUGACAUGUCAUCUCAUUUAUCGGAUAAUUGUUAAUAAUUGCUAAAAAAAAAGCUACUUUACAACUGAAUCUACUCCUCCAAAAUUUAACCUAAAUUUUUGAAGAUCUACUCCUUCAAGCUCCAACUGAAAUUUUUUAUGGUAUAAUAUGUAUAAUUGUAAAUAAUAUGUUGUUAAUAAUUUUUUAUGGUAUAAUAUGGAUAUCUUUUACGGAUAAUUGUUAAUAAUAUGUACCAUUAAUAAUUCAUAUUUUUUAAUAAAAAAUGUAUUGUUAAUAACAAAAUAAAAAAAAUUGUGUAUUGAAAAUUUACGUUAAUUUUUUGGGUAAAUUUAUAUUUUUACCUCAUUUUUAGUUUCAAGGGCAAAAUAAUCAAUUUGUCAUAAUUCUGUUAAAUUUCUAACAGAAGUUAACGGAUUGGUGGACGGCAGAAGUGUUUUCUCAACUUAGGGUAUACAAGUAAUAUACUUGAAAAGUAUUGUAGCACGUUUGAUAUUAGUGUCAUUUAAGAGUAUAUGGCUGAUAAUUUCUCUUUUUUCAAUUAGCAUCUGAUUGGGCCAUUUUCGGUGUAAUUUCAUGCUGUGUAAGCCACAACAAAAAAUCAAACAGCCCCUUCACAUGUUUCUUCCAUUUUAUCUGCAAUUUUUGUGGAUCUUAUAGGCAUGGGUAGAAUUUAAUGUUUUUAAUAUAGUCUCAAAGAAUAAGAUAUUGGCUCCAAUAGAUUAAAGAAACUUUUAUUUACUCUAUCAAUUAAUUAAUGCCAUUUGGUUUUGAAAACACUAUAAUUGAAUUCUCAUGUUUAAUUUGUUUCAAGUUAAAAUAUUAAUUAAUUAAACUCUCUUUUAGUUCUUGAGGUAUUGGCACAUUGCAUUCAGAAUUGGAUUCCUUUAGCAACUUGUGAUGCCUCAACGUAAUUGUAAUAUUGAAGAAAAACAAAUUUUUUUAUUGAGAGUUUAAAUCUAAACUCAGACAAUGAAUUUGGACGUUCUUCAAUCCUAUCCUAAUUGUUAAACAUAUUACCUUGGUUCUAAUUCUUUUGCAAUGCAAAAUAAAUAGUCAAAUUCAUAAAUUUUUAACUACUUUUAAAUUCGUAAAUUGUUAACUAAUUUCCUGAGAUAUAUAGCUAAGAUUGUUGCUCCUAAUUAAAUAAUUAAAGUUACACAAUUUUAACAACUUGAAAGAAUUGACAAUAAUGGACGGGUCCCCUCUCCAUAUAUAUAGCCUUCUGCCUAAAUAGAUAAUUUUACUAGUUAUUUGCUUUUAAGUUAAUUUUCAUUUUAAACAAAAAUGUUUAAGUUGUAUGUAUUAUAGUGAGAGUUUUUACAGAGCAAUUCUCUUCUUCAAAUAAUAAAGGAAAAGAAGUAAUUUAAAAGUAAAAUAAACAAAUGGUAAUUAUAUGUCCUGAUUUUCAUCGAUAAUGUGAUCAAAGCCAGAAUUUUGAUUUCUUCUUGUUCAAUGUUAAUUUUUAGAUAAUAUUAAUUUUAAGGACUUAAUAUAUUUGGUCUUAUUCUAGACUUGAUGGUACCUUUUUUUUAAUUAGAGGUAAUGGGUACUUUUUCUCCUAUUAUAAGAAUUACAUUAAUUGUUUUAUAUAUUGUUACAGUUAGUGAUCUUUAAAAAAGGAUAGAUUUCUUGUUUUCAUGACCAAAUUAUGCCCGCCUAACGUUGCGACUAUCAAUAAACUUAUUAUUUAAUGUAUAUGUUAAAAGAUUUAAGAUUUUAUCUAUUUAUUAAUUUUUUGUUAUAAGCUAAAGGUUGAACUACUUUUUCAGGUCAAUGUGAGUUGGUGCAUCCGCAAGAGUUCUCUCUUUUUUUCUUUUUCUUUUUUGGGUUAAUCGACCGUCCCACUGGCUAAUUUGAGGAUGGAGAGGAUGGAGGAGACUAAUAGUCAUUUACCAUGUUUCCAGAUGAUGAUGAUGGUAAUUGGAUCGAAUAUUUGUUUGAUAUUGAGGAAUUUGAAAAAACAACUCAGAGAGGAUACCCUUGGUUGCCAAAUGGAGAUGUUAUUUGUGGACGUAUACUAUACCUGCAAGGACUUGUCUACUGUUCUUUAGAUGUUUCUUUGAUCGCAACUUUCAACUUUGCCCUCAAACAAUGGAAAAUUCUUCCAUAUUCUCACAUCGGUUAUGAACAUUUCAUUUAUUCUGACUACCUAAUUGACUCAGGAUCAGGUCGUGACAGCAACAAUAGUUUAUUAAUAGGACAGUCUAGAGUACUAUUCCAGGACCCAUAUUCGUCAUAGGUGUGAUCUAUCAGAGAUGAAGUGGUGUAAAGUUGAUAAUAAUAGUGUUUCAUUAAAGGACAAAUCAUUGAUCUUGGGUCACCGUCAUUGUACAUCAUUACCACUUCAAGUGGAAGAUGAAGAUUAUGCAAGCGAUUCCAGGAAUGCACCCAUUGCUCUGACUGCUGGGAGGAAGAAUGCACCCAGAUAUCAGAAUUUUAUGGUGGCAGACUCGAGCAAUAUACCUGCGUUCAACCUCCUCUGCCAACGGAUUUCCGUUGACUUCCCCCAUGUAUUUUUGUACCUAUGUUUAAAAUGUUUGGUCUCAUGUUACUUCUUCUGCCAAUUCACAAUGCUUGUAAUCACAUACAAAACUUGGAGCAAUUGCCGCAGCAGCUAAGCAUUAACUAAGAUUACAAUUGCUGCAGCUACUGGUAAAGAAGAGUUCAUUAAUUGGAGCAAUCAAACUAACCACUUAUGUAAUUGAUUGUUGUGCUAACAGUUUUAUUAACUAAAUAGCAACAAAACACAAGAAAAAAAGAAGAUACACAUACUUGGCACGAGUUUAUUCAGAAGUGGAAUCACAUUUCGGUGAUGAGUUAGCUUCCGAUAUCUUGCUAGCUGGAGCUCUCUCCUGUCUUUCUCUGUAAGCUGAGGGAAACCAACCAACCUUGUCCUUGCAUUGUGAAUUCGGGGAGGAAUGACAUAUGGUAGUAAAUUCUGGGAGGAAUGACAUAUGGUGGUAAACUAGAUGUACUGAAGUAGGUUCAGGAAGGAAUAUCACUUGGAAAAAAAAAGGACCGGAAACUCGAUUCCAAUUCAUUUUUGUUUCAGAUUUUAAUUCCUCUUUCUCCAGAAAUAUUACUUGGCCAGUGUAACAUUACUUUCAAAAACGAUAUAUAAAAUUUCUGUUAUUACUUUAAAGAAAGAUCUAUAAAAUUUCUGUUAAACAUUACCGUGACUUUUAACUUCCUUUGUAUUAGCAUUUUUAAAUGCAAGAAUAAUGAUAAUACUGGAAAAAUCAAUAAAUAAAUAAAUACGAAUUUUCAUAAUUGGGCUAAACCAAAUAACAAAAAGACAGAUUAGGACAUCUCAUCUCUUCAAAGUUAGCUUAACUAGAACAACUCCAUCUCUUCCUUGAGAUUCUUAACAGCUUCACUAACUCCAUCCUGAAAGAAGCAUUAAGUUUGUGAAAUUUAUUUUCAGUAAUGGAGCUCACAGAACAAAUAGUAUACCCAAAAAUUUACAAGAUACAGGCUACAGUAAUUCCGACAGCAAUGGCUUCAACAAAUUCAUAAAAUAAAUAAAAACAAGAACUUGAACAAAAGAGAUACGGAAACUACUAUAAUUCAACUCAAACUCAGUAACUGACAUAUUUGAUAAGUGAAUAAGAUUCGAAUUCCUAGCAGCUAGUCGACAAUUAAAUCUAAUAAAAAGAUAAUUUAAUGGAAAGAAGAUCCAAUUUAAUGCAGAUAUGAGAUACGAAAAGAAUGAUACUUAAUGCGGCAACCAGCCAUAGCAUUGCUAAAGCUGGGAACAAGAAGUACUUUAAUAUGCAUUUACCUCAACAGAGAUUCUUUCAGCAAUCUCUUUUGCACAUUCUUUGACUCUGGGAGAUAGUGCAUACUGAAUGGCUUGUGAUAGUGCUUCUGCAGCUUCUUUGAUGCUAGUGUCAUCUGCAUUAUCUGGAACCAAGUGAUUUCUUUUUAGUGGUUCUGGAGCAACUCCAAGCCAAAACAUCCUCUCGGCCCAGUAGAACUGGUCCAGCAUGAAUGGACACAGUAUCUGACAUCCAAUAUCCAUAAAGGAGACGAAUAAAUGAGUCAAAAUUAUAGCAUACAAGUACUAUCACAAAAAUAAAACUAAAGAAAUAAAGGUAACACAAAUGAACUAAUAUUCUGGCAAAGACCAUUUAUACCAUGUUUUGACUCAACAAGCUCAAUGAAGUCCAGAAAGUUACAAUAAAUAUUCAUUUACCACCCUGCCUGUUCUAGAUGUAAUCACUGUUGGCGGGAUUGUCAUGGAAAGAAAUUAUAUAUACAUGCCCUUACUUGACAGCAAAAGUGAUGAAAGGAGAAAUUUACCCCUAAAUUCUUACUACAAAUACAUAGUAAAGCAAACAAGGCGUCAACAAUAGGUAACAUUAGGGAAAAGGAAUCUCUGUUGAAGACAAUAUUCAACAAACCACUCUUGAAAUUCAAUCAAAAAACUGACAUCAAACAGAAAGAGUGUCACCAGCAUAAGGGCAACAAAGAUGAUCGCACUUUAGCAUUUCAACCAAUACAGUAAAAUUAUGUAUGGAUACAACACAGUAUGUAUCUUAUUUCCAAAGUAAAUAAAUCAACAAUUAACAAGCUCAUUUCCUUCUCCCACAUAUCCGGAAAAAGUGAUAUUUUCAGAACUUUCUGGAGUAUAUUCAUUUAAAGUUACUCCUUCUGGAAAUUAGAUUUAAAAGGGGAAAAAAAGGAGAAAAAUGGGUUUGCAGUUAAUUAUAUUGGCAGAAGAAUUCCUAUCACCAUCAAAAAUGCAUGAGCUUGUUGAGUUAUAUAGGUGUUUCAAUUACAAAGGUUAGGUAUGAAUGGCUGCCUUUGCACCCAAAGAUUUUUCAACAGUACUAAAAAUAUAUUAGAAGAAAAUUGUACAUAAAGCAACAAAGUGUUUAGAAAUCAACCUGAGGGAUUCCUGCAUGUAGUGCUGCUGCAGUAGAUCCACUGGUUUGAAAUUGAAGAAAGUAAUGCAAACAUGUAAAUUAGCUUUGUCGUAUUUUGCACUUCUAAUUUAUAUCAAAAGGAAUCACAAAAUAGAAAGCUCUCACCUUCCUCCAUGAUGAAUUGCAGCCAGACAUCUUGGAAACAAAUACUUGUACGGUACCAUUCUGGUUUACAUGAUAACAAUUCAAAAGAAAACAUCAAAUUCCAAGGACAAAACGAUCAGAAGGAAACUAAUUGACUAAAAUAAUCAUUUAGUAGUCAACCAAAAAGAAGCAGUUGUCCAACUCUCAGGACAUUAGUUAUUCUAGUUACGCAGUCAGAUUGCCCUUUUUUCAUUUCCAUUUCCAAGAAGCCAACCGUUUUAUAUAUUGUAUUAGUUGAUUUAUUUGAAGACACUAGUUCAUUUAAGAUUGCAUGCCUUACAAAGCUCCAUUUGGAGAAGUCCUAAUGGAAGUUUUAAAAAAAAUACUAAGGGCGCAUUGCUAUCGUAAUUUCACAAAGGGGGCACCAAGGUCCCAAGUUUCCACGAGUCUCAUACAUAGACAUCCACGUUUCCAAAACCAGUUCUAUAACAACAGAGUAGAAAAUGGGUUAAAUCAAAAGUAAUUGUUAAUUCACUUUUUGUGAGCUGAUCGCAAGAAAUGUUGCUUAAAUCAGCAAGGAAUGUCAUUGACACCAGAAAAGAUUUUGCUAUAAGUGAUAGCUUGCAAUCAUGUUUCAGAUAGCUAAAUCUUAUCUAACCAACACUAGGGCCUGCACAUUUAUGUCAUGAAAAGAAAAACUCACAAUGUAUAUCGUACAGCUCUAUUUUUGUUGCUUCACAAGUGAAUAAGUUUUCAUCUUUAUUCUUCAGUUAUCUUAGCUCAAAUUCAAUAAGAAUUUAAGAUAUACUGACCCAGAAAAGCAGAAGAGCUUGCCAUCAAAGAUAGAGAUCCCAUAUUGAGUGAUUACUCUUUGAGUUAAAACUGAAGAUGUUCCAGGAGCCAUCACUCGGAUAGCUGUGUCUAAAGGUUCGUAUCCAGCUGUGAAAAGGACAAAUCUAUAAGUUGUGGUGUGUAGAACAGUUUGUAAAACCCGAAGAAAUGCUUCAGGAUUCUUUAAAAAACCCAUGCUGCAAGAAGAAAAGAGAAAUGUGGCUUAGUACAGGAUAAGUAAUUAAAGUUCCAAGUCCAAGUGCACCAAUUAAGGAGAAAUCAUCCCACCACACAAAAGCAUGACACUUUUUAAUAGGCUAUACUUAGAGGAAUUACACUUUUAAUCCCAUAAUAAUAUCAAAUUGUCAGCUGAUAUAACAUGGUUUUCUAGUAAAAGAAUGAAGUAAAAGUAUCUUAAGGAACCAGAAGAAUAAAAAUUGAAAGGACUACAAAGGUACAGGGAAAGUAUACAAAGAUUUGAAAACAAUUAACUACAUACAAUCAGGAGAUCUAGGUGAGGAACCUGCCUUGCAACAGAGCUCAGUCCAACAAAAAUAGGUGGCGUUGAAUUAGCAGCGUCCAUAAAAGCUUGCAGCCCAAUGUGAGAUGCACACAAUCUAUUAUUUGCAUCCAACAAAAAUGCUGAAAGCUCUCCACACUGCUUACACGAGUACUGCCACGAAUUAGGGAGAAACCAAAAGCCACAAACCCGAACACUCGAUGGCCAGUAAUCUGUUGUUGUGCUAAUAUUAGCAAGGUGAUUAAAACAGGACAAAGGAAUCUUUACUAAAAUAGGAAUUGGUCAAUAUUAAGAAGAAUAUCUUUUGCAACAAAGGGAAAGGCAAUUUUUUGCUUUGAUAAGCAUGAACUAUUCAUUCAACAUUUUUUUAUUUUUUUUGGAGGGGAUCACAGUUGUUUGAAUAUUAAAUCUUUUUGAGUGCUAAGGUUUGUUUACAAAACUUAUUUUGGUCGUGCUCCUACUAGGGUCAUAGCUAGAAAAUCUUUUAGAGAGGACAAAAAUUUUGAAAGAUAUAACGAAAAAAAAAAUUAUUAUCAAUAAUAAAUAAACAUAUCACAAUAUUAAGAAAAUUAACUUUAAUUAGCCCAAUAAUGUAUUUACUUUUUCAUACAUAACUAACUAUCGUAAAAUCAUGUCGAUGUUUUAAAUUUCA